rnacentral:lncRNA from 1 species
UACAAGCAGAUAGAAGCUUUUUAACGUUCAUAUAAUGUGAUCUUGCCAUGUAUAAAAGGAAACAAGUUGAGAUGUUGCAGAAAAAUGUGUCAGUAUUUACCUCAUAAUCUAUGUCCUUUUGAUGGUUGCCUUUUAUUUAUUAGGGAUACAUGGAUCCUGAAUAUUACAUGACAAACCAGUUGACAGAGAAGAGUGAUGUUUUUAGCUUUGGAGUGGUGCUGCUUGAGAUAGUCACAGGAAAAGUUCCUAUUGAUAAAGGAAGAUAUAUUGUCAAGGAAGUGAAGGAUGCGAUGGACAUGACAAAAGAUUUGUAUAACCUUCAUGAAACUUUGGAUCCUGUAGUUCGUUCGGGUGCAACUCCUAGAAGCUUAGAGGAAUUUGUGGUUUUAGCACUCAAGUGUGUUGAAGAAGGAGGAGUCAAUCGCCCAAAAAUGAGUGAAGUGGUGAAACAGAUUGAAAAUAUUAUGGAGAUUGAAAGACUGAACCCCUAUGCAGACUAUGCAUCUACUUCAGCAACCUAUGAAGGAGAAAACAAAGGCUUGAACCAUCCUUAUACUGAAAGUCUCUUUGUCUAUAGUGAAGCAUAAUUUUCUCAUCUUGUAUUUUUUCAAUUGGAUUACAAAAAAGCACAAAACAAAACAAGAAAAGAAGGGAAAAUAGUCAGUAUAGGGUUGGUCACUUGUACUUGAAUUAGAAGUAAAAUUGCCAUCAUUUUAGGAACAGUCUGAAGAUUCAGUAACUAAGUAGUUCAGGACAUUGGUUUCUCCAACAAAGCAGAGAAAUACCACACAUUCUUAUCGAUCCCUCGAUCAAGCUCUAGCAUAGGAAGAUAAGCUACAUUUAACUGUGAUUCCAGGCAGAAGAGUCCUCCAGGCCUCAGAGCUCUGUAUAUGUCAUAUUGAGUGAACUCAAGCAUGGUAUCCAGAAUCCAAUUGUUCAAGAUACGAAUAGAGUGCAGGAUAUCCAGAGUAUUCUUGAAGAAAGGAAGCCUCUGGGAGACGCCAACGUGCAUUGAUAUUAAUCCCCUGAAUGCAAUGAAGCUGUUGAAUGGACCAACCAAAUUCAUGGAAGUUGUUACAAUGGUUACAUUCCUUUCCUUCAUCCUAGCAACCGUACCGAGGAAUUCUACUGAAUUCCGUGCAGCUAUGUUGAUCUUCCAGAGUCUACCCAAAGGUUCAAGCCAGAUUGUAGGAAGUGGGUGAUACGUUUUUGUAUUUCUAUGAGAAGCUCGACGGAACCCACAAUUUCCAAGUAGUAAGUUGUUGGCAUAUCGCGUCGUAACUCUAUCCUAGAUUUAAAUAGAGGUAGUCCUAGAUCAAACUAUUAGGAAUCAAAGCAAGAAAAGUAGCUGAUGGAACGGGGGAUCACACCUUUAGAAGUUUUUGAAAUCCCAACAAUAUUUACUAUAUAAAAAGAAUCCAGAAAGUCUGAUGGCUUUAAAGGAUAGGGGUUCAAUUGUUCCCUGACGCCUGGUUGCCAUAACCUGAUCCAAAAUUUAACAUGUUAUAACAGAUUAUUUACUACUUUAUGCAUCUGUCUCAUUAUAUGUGAAGGGGUUACUGUUUGGAGAAUCAAAUAAUUUAUUUUACCACAAUUUUCUGAAUUUUUUUAAAAACAUUUUGAAUUAUUAGUUAUGUUGACUUGUAAUACUUUUUGUAUAGAUUUUAAAUAUGUAAACAUUAUUGAAUCUACACCCGGAAUCAUAAUCAAUAUGAAUGUCACUUAUUUUCCUACUUCCACUGAGGAAGCCAUUUUCAAAACCUUACUUUUUUAGAAAAAAUAAUUUCCGAAAAUUUUGACCAAUAAACAUUAAUGAAAAAAAAGUUGCCAAAUUCCCUUUCUUUGGACAACCAAUAUGAGUAGUGAGUGAACCCACCUCAUUAAGAGCAACAUAUCUACCUUAGUCAACACAAUGGACCCAGGCCCUUGCUUCGGAUGAUCAUAGAAAAAUCAAUAUUAAAGUCACAAUAAAUGAUAGGGAACUUACAUAUUUGGCCGCUCACCCAAAAAUAAAAAUCCGCACAUAAAAAUAUCUUAUAUAUAUUUUCUUUUCGUUCAUUUUUACUGGUUCAUGUUUGACUUGACAUACCAUUUAAGGUAAUUCUAUAUUCAAGAGGACUCGAGCCUAUGACCUCUGAUAAACUUUUAUACUUAAAAAAAAAAAACUAGGAUGGACUAUUUUUUCAUCUUUAGAAGAGACAAAAUCAUUCUAAGAGUACUGUACAAGUUAGGGUCCAAUUAAUGCAUGAUGUAAGUUGAAACAUAACCUUACAUAGAGGGAACUGUGUUUUUUAGCCCCUACAAGGGUGUCUCUGUUUUCGUGGACUUAGAAUGUUCACUACUUACUACAACAGUAGUAUUUAGAAUGAUUAAGCUAUCACGUUGUUUGAUUGGGAACAAGUUAUUUUAUAAUUAUUAAUUCCAGAAUAAGUUAUUUCAUUAUUACGUAUAUGAAAUAAUUUAUCUUAUUACUAAGAUAUAAAUGGUGAGAUAAAUAAUCUCAGAACUGUCUAAUGCCUUCAAUCAAACGCACGGUAAAAAGUAGACCUACAUUUUAUUUCUAAAAUUAUUACAUAUCUUAUACCUCACAUUAAACACUGCUCAAGUUUACGGAGAGAGAAGACUCGUAUACGUAGAGAGAUAUUAUCCUUUUGCUGUUUAGAGAACAGUUUAAUCCUCAAAACAAACCAAACACUUGUGGUUUCUCUUUCUUCCCAUUAGUCUUUUUUUUCUCUCUUCAUUUUAGUACACAUAUUGGCCCAUAAGAAGAAACUUAGGUUGCAUGGUGGUGGAUUUAAACAAUGGUCCAAACAAGAACAAUCCAACUGAUCAUCUUUUGUCUGCUUAUUAUUUCUAUGCAAGUUUUGGUGCAGCUGGGAGCUUCAACAAAUUCUGGUGACUGUAAGUCCUACUUAUCACAUCUCUUUUGUUGUUUUUUUACUCUAAUAAUCAUGAAUUUAACUUGUAUACACCAUAUCGCGAAUAAAAAAUAAAGUUAUACUAGUACCUAGCACAGUUUAACAUGUUAUAUCGUAAGUUACUUAUUGUAAAUAGUUAUUUUUUAAAUGAUCUGAGUUAUGAAAGCAAAUUGUUUUCAUUUCUUUUCGGGUUUUUUUACUAGGGAAUAUAUUAGUGUCCACUAUUUUGACUCCAAUUUGUUUUGAUCCCAUUUUCGAGUUCAUUACUUAAAAGGUCAUUUCAAUUAUUAAACAUAGUACUGUUUUUCGUUGUUUUGUAUCAGAAAAGUCAAAUAUGAUUUUCUUCAUCAAUUUCAUUCCGUAUGUUCUGAAUUUUUUUAAAAAUAAUUAGUGUAUGGUAUUUUUGUUCAAAAAUAAAAUGAUUGGUGCAGAUGUUGUGUUAGAGCCACUGAAGGAAGAGUGGGAAAACAUACCUCCAAGUUGGGAUGGGUCUGAUCCUUGUAACGAUCCAUGGGAAGGCAUCGACUGCAACAAUUCACGCGUUAUUUCUAUGUAAGCCUUUUUUUGUGAUUAAAUUAAAAUUGUUAAAAGAGAAUCAUAUUAAUCGGAAAUAAUAACAAUAUUACCACUCUUUAAAUUAUUCCUAAAUUUAUGAAUAAAAUGUUGAAAUUAAGAAAUAAAAACACAAGUGCACUCUGUCAAAAAUUCCAUUUUUCCUUAGCUCGACAACGUCACAUGUUUAAUUCAAUGUUCACCCACCUCAUUUAUGCCAGCUAAAUAAUAUCUUCGAUUUUUUUUUUAAAAAAAAAAAAAUCUUCAAUUUUUUUUAAACACUAGAAUAAAUAAGGAAUUAUUUCCAAAAAAAAGCAAAAUAUUUUUUUUCUUAAAAAAUCUUAAUUAGUAAGAAAAGUACAAAAAUAUGUAACUGUUACUGUAUUUACUCUUCCAUUUUGGUCAGUUCAUGCGUAUAUAUAAUAACUAGUUCUGGACACGUGCGUUGCACGUGUGUUCCAUGUUAAUUCAUGUUGACUCAGCGUCCCAUGUUGAUUCAUUCAAAUAUUUUAUAUAUAUAUAUAUAUUAUUUUUUACAAUAGUCUAGGUGUUUCAUGAGUUGUUAUCGGUAGGUUGUUUAUGUAAACCUAAAAAAUUUAACUUGUUAGUUAACUUAGGCUUGCACAAUAUUUAGAGAGUUUAUUGUUUGCAUUUUUAAGAACAAAUAUGUGGUAUAGAUGCAACAAAUAUUAUGAUAUAUUUAUAUCUAAUAUAAUAUUUAUUACGAUUAUGAUUAUAUUUAAUUUUGUCUUUCACAAAAUUAUAAUAUUAGUAUUUAAUAGAAUGAUUAUUGCUUUUGAAGGCCCACAAUAUAAUGAUGGAUUGUUAGAAAUUUGAUAUUAAUGAAUGAUAUACAUGUGCAUAUAAGAAUAAACUCUUCUUUAUCUAUAGCAAAUUUAUAAGUGGUUUAGACAUUUAAAAUGUGAUUUCUUCUAUGCUCAGAUAUAAGAUAAUUUCACAUUAUUUUAAAUUGUCACCCCCUUCUUCACUUCACAAAAAUUAAAAUUAUUAAUGAGUGACACCCCUUCAAUAUUUAUGAUGUCAUGACGAUUUAAUACUUGAAAGAGGUAAAAUUUAUUUAAAACUCUCAUAUCAGGUUGCAGAUUUCUUAAUUUGGAGAAUUAUAGUUAAAGGAUGAAUUUUAAGAAACUGUUAGAUUAGUUUACUUUUUAAUUAUAUUUCUAUUUUAUAAAGUUUGUAUUGAACUAUUGAUAGAUGUUAAAAUUGAAACAUGAUUAUCGUGUUAUAUUUUGUAAGAACUAUAUUUAAUCAAAUAAAAUAAUUUAAAAAAAUACUUUAUAAUGAGAUGUUAAGAAUAGUAGAAAAUUUCAAAUUGCACUUGAAAAAUUCCUUUCUCAAUCAUGAAUUCGAGCUUACUACUUGAAUCAUGAAAGGCGAUUUUCUCACUGCCUAUUCAAUAAUUGAUUCCUCAAAUAGAAACUAAAACACAUUAUAAAUUGUGAAGUCUACAAGCUAAUAAUUUUCUUUAAAAUGAAAAAUUGCCAAACCAACAAUAAUAUAACAUGCAACCAAAGCUAAACAAAAUUAAUUUAACAUUGCAUCAAACGGUUGGCUAUAUGUGAUUUACACUCCUAGCGGUAUAUUGUGUUAACUGUUGAGUAUAUAUAUUAGAUCAAAACAUCUUCAAUUACAAAACUUCGAUUGCAAUUUCUUAAUAAUUCUCUUUUGAUCUCAUGGCGUGUUAAAAACAACAGGAAAAAAUAUGAUAUUUAAUAUGAUAAUAAGGAAAAAUUUUAAAAUAAUAAUAAUUAUACAUAAAAAAUAAAAAAUAACUUAUCUAAAGCAUGAAUUUAAAUACGAAAAUUAAAAUGUUUUUAUUUGCAACUUAGAGUUUUAUAUGAAUAAAUUUACAAUAAACCGUUACAGUAGAAUUCAUUCAAGGAUUUGAAAUAUCAGAUCAGAUAAAAAAAAAGAAAAUAACAAAUAUAGGAAUAAUGUAAUUUCAUAGAACAUGAAAAUGAUCAUGGUUAUCAAUAAAGUUGCUUAAAAUCCAACUUGUUCUUUUAAAGAUUGAUUUCAACCUCCGGGAAUAUUUCAACCUCCCUUCUCUCAUUGUAAACUCCAUUAGAAGAUCUAACAAUUUGUACACAUUUCCUUUCUGUAAACUAACAACGAAUAUAAGGAGAAUUAGUGAUCAGUGUUAUGAACUGAUGAAGCUAAAAGUGAUAUUAAUACUAAAGGAUAAAAACAAUAUAAAUAUAGACAAUUUUUUUUUUAUUUCUUCCAAAGUGUACCUAAGUCUCUUCAAAGUGUAUAGAUUGUUGUGUACAAAUAACCAACAAUUUAAUAGGACAUCAUAGAGUAAAAAUCAAAAGGUAUCAUAAUCAUGCCAUUAAUUUCUUGAGAGUGUGGGAAGAUUAUGAAGGUGUGAAGAUUAAUGAUGAGAUAGUGGAGGUGUGGUAUUAAUACACAUUAUGAUAAAAAUUACACCUAAAACUGAUCAGAUGGAGAAACGAAAAGUUUCUCUAAUAGUUUUUCGUAACUUUAUAAUUAAUUAUUUUUACAACUCCUCAUUCUCCUAACUUUAUUUUAACAAAAAAGUGAAUCAACUUUAGCAAUUUAGGCAUAUUUAAUAUUUAAUUAAUUAGAUAUUUUAUAAUAUUUUAAUUUAGUAUAGGGAUAAAAUGGUAAUUCAACUUUCAACUUUUUUUGUUCAUGCUUAUAGUAAUAUAUGAUAUGAUAAAACUAAAAUGCUUAUUAUCUAAUGAAACUAGGUAAAAAUUAAAUCAUAUUAAUUUUGUUAAAUGACAUUGCUAAUUGUAAUUUGUGGUACUAAUUAAUGAUUGUGAAUUUCAGAAAAUUAUCAAGCAUUAAUCUGAAAGGGGAGCUAUCUGGAGAUAUCGAAGCGUAUGUCUUCUACUCAUCAUAAUUGAAAAUGUUAAAAUUUGAAAAAAAAAAAUUGCCUAAAUUAUGUUCGCUCUGUUUUAAUUUAUUUGUCUGUUUUGGACUUGACAAAAAAUUAAUGAAAGUAAAUAAGACUUCUGAAUCUUGUGUGGUAAUAUGACCAUUUUUAUUUUUGUGCUCGCCAAAGUGUUCCUAAAGGAUUCAUUACAAAAAAUAGUUUAAUGAUUUAAUUUGGUGUGAUAAAAAUGAAAGUUGAGUAAUCAUCUGUUAAAUUAAUCCUGUUCUUGAAGCACCAUUUUGCUUGUGAUCAAGCAUUGCAUGCACACAAAUAUUUUUGACUGUUGAAAAAGUUUUAAAUUUCUGUUCUGAUUAUCUGUUUCCUUAAUAGGGAUCUAUCAUACAACAAAGGCUUGACAGGUUCACUCCCUCAAUCAAUUGGAAAUUUGAAGAGUUUAUCAAUUCUGUAAGGGUAUUAUUACAUGAUAUGAUUAAAUGUUGUUAAAUUCACCAGCUGAUUUCUUUAGAGUAAUUGCUCCGAGCUGCCUCGCAGGAUCCUUGUUGGUUGUGGGUUUUCUGGACUGAUACCAAACACAAUCGGAUCCCUUAGCCAGCUGGAAUUUCUGCAAGGAUAUCAAUUUCUUCUGUUUGCAGCUUUUUAUGCUUAAUGAAUUCAAGAUAUUGAGGAUAUGGAGUAUUUGAAGAACUUUUAGUACUUAAUGUUUUGUAUAAUAUUGGAAAUUUGGCAUGAGAUGAGUUGGAUGGAGUAACUUGGUCAGUGAGGAUUUAUAUAGCCGACCCCAACUUGUUUGGGACUGACGCUUAGUUAUUUUUGUUGUUGUAGUAAUUCUUGUAUCCCUUUUCGUUGUCAAACUGUGAAGUCUUAGAGCUUCAGGUCUCUAGAUAUGUUAUACUAGAUUGAAAUAUUUUUCCUGUUUCUUCUACUGGGCUACAUUUCUAAAACACUAUCUGAAUCAUGCAGAUAAACAACUUUAUCGGACCGAUACCAGCUUCUGUUGGUAAUUUAUCAAAGCUACGUUGGCUGGACUUAGCUGAUAAUAAGCUCAGUGGACCUCUUCCAAUCUCCCGUGGAAGCACAGCUGGUCUAGACAUGCUUGUUCACACAAAGCAUUUGUGAGUAAUACUGAUUACUGUCUGUUCAUUAAGCAACAUCUUCGUCUCUCAUUUUCAUCUGAUAUACCACUUACCUCGCAGUCACCUGGGGAGAAAUCAGUUCUCAGGUGAGAUUCCAGAUCAGCUAUUCAGCUCAAAUAUGACUCUCAAACAUUUGUAAGUUCCACUAAACUGGAAGUGUGUUUAUAUUUUGACAAUUAUUCGAUGGAUCAACUUCAUUAUUGUCCCACUCCUACGCUAUGGUGCUAGCUCUGACACUUGGCACUACUUCCGUUUGGUUAAUGGUUUCUUCUGUUUGGGUCUUGUAAUUGCACAGGCUGCUUGAGCAAAACCAGCUUACUGGAAAAAUACCCCUUUCAUUAGGACUUGUGCAGACUCUGGAGGUGGUGAUGUUCUGAUUGGAACUCUAUUCUGCUAAGAAAAUGCAUCAAUCUUGAUGUUGUGAUAUUACAGAUUAUGUCUUUCGAUUACUUUAAUUUGAUUAUGUGUCCUAUGGUCAUGUUUUGCAGAGAUAUGAGCAAUAAUACAUUCAGCUCAGCUGAUUUUCCUCAGUGGUUUUCAACUUUGCAGUCAUUGACGACUCUGUAUCCAUCUCUCUCACCCUUUCUCUUUAUCUCAUAACAUGCAUGUGUGUAUUUGUCUCUGAGUUCACGUGCCUCAGCAGAACUCACAUGCAUCUGAAUGUAUAUGUUAUCCUAAUGAAGUGGUUCAUAGAAUUUGUUAUGCACCUCAUUUGUAUUUGUUCUGCUCAUAGUGUAAUGGAGAACACUCAACUUCAAGGAGAAAUUCAGCCAACCCUCUUCAGUCUUUUUCAGUUGCAGACUCUGUGAGUCUUCUUUUACUUUUAGGCCACGGUGCAUGUCAUGCAACUAUUUUCAUUUUUUCGCUGUGUGCUAGUCUUGUAACAAAGUUUGAAAGGCAAUACAGAGUGACCUAGUAUAUGAUUCUAUGUUUUGCAUUUUGAUUUUACGACAAUGAGGUGGUUAUUUAUGACAGCAACUUGAGGGGAAACAAGAUCAAUGGAACCCUGAAUAUUGCAUCCAACUAUAGUAGUCAAUUAAAACUGAUUGAUUUGCAGAACAAUUCCAUCGAUUCAUAUACAGUAAGACCUGGAUUUCCUUUUCAAAUAAUGUAAGUCCUCAAGCCACUUUUUCUCCACUUUAGCAAAGAGAAAGAAAUAAUGGAUCAUUCAUGAUAGGACAUUUGAUUCUUCUGAAUACAAUUUAGUCGUUUAACAAUCUCAGUUUUCUACUUGUUCAUUUGGCAGACUUAUGCAUAAUCCAGUAUGUUAUGAAGAAGGAUCAGAAGACUAUUGUGGCAUUUCCCAAACAAACUUUGGAUAUUCAACUCCACAAGAUAAUUGCCUUAAAACACAAUGCAGUUUUGAUCAAAUUCUUAGCCCUACCUGUAAAUGUGCUUAUCCGUACACAGGCGACUUAUUCUUCAGAGCUCCUUCCUUUUCUGACUUAACAAACACAAGCAUUUAUGAGUCACUUCAGAAGUCUAUGCUAUCUUCUUUUAGCCAAAAUCAGGUGCCAGUAGAUUCAGUUUCCUUGAGUAAUCCAAAAAAGAAUUCAGAGUACUACCUUGACACCUGCAAGUUUUUCCAUUUUGCCAAGAUCAUUUCAACCGUACAGGGAUUGCUACAAUUGGAUUUGCACUUAGCCACCAGACUUACAAACCCCCACCAAAUUUUGAACCAUUCUUUUUCUAACUUACUAGAUUAAGCACUAACUUCUUUUGAAUGACUUAAUUAAGUAGUUGACACUUGACAAUGACCCUUAAAUUUUGAUAUUCCUAAAAGAAGAAAAAAACUACUACUUUAAUUUCGAGAAAAAACUAGACUUUAUUUAAUUAUCUAAACCUAAUCAAGUUGUUAAUAUUCAUCUUAUUUAGGAUUAACACUCAAUAUGGUCAAUUAUUAUUAUGAGAAAUAUUCAAUAUUUGAUCGAUGCUUGUGAUGAAGUUUUUUUCCCAAUAAAUUGGUAUAGAGGGAGAAGAUUACUAUUCAGCUGCAAGUGAAAGUUUAAGUGACCAACUAGCUGAGCUACUAAGUAGGGAUGACCAGUGGCGAAUCUAUUUGUAAAAAAUAGGGCAUCGGAACCCGUGGUCUCUUCGUAAAACUAGAUAUUUUAUGUAUAUAUUUUCUAAAAUUUGUAUUUUAUUAUAUUCUUGCACCCGUGCUAUAAGAAGUCUAUCUGGUCCACUUUUUACCUUGAGGAUGAAGAAUCAAUUCUCACUUAAUACAUUUUUCUUGAUGCAUCCAUGUUCGGAUCAAUUUCCACUUAAUACAUUUUUCUGGGUGCACCCAUGUUUGAAAAAUCCUAGAUUCGCCUCUGGGAAUGACAAUUGGGUGAGGCGGGGCAGGUGAAGCCUUGCAUACACAUUUCAAGUUGAAAGAGUAAUAUCGUCUCUGAAAAAAUGAGUCAUGGUUAUUUUAGGAAUUUUCUAUAAACUCUUUUUUGUUAUUUUGAACUAUGAACUAUUUAUAUCUUUAGCUUUAAUUAUAUGUUCAGUAAAGGAUCUAUUAUAUAUAUGUAUAUAAACUACAAAAAUUUAGCAGGUUGAUAUGCUCAAGUUACCAGGGAAAAAGAAGGUUAAAAGUUUAGAUGCCAACAUGCCAAUGAAAUUUUUUAGAAAGAAACUAUAAUGUGAAUGAGAAAUAUAUUUUGAAGUACAUACUAGUGUAUCACUGUGACACAAUUUAUGAUUUAAAGGACAAAAAAGAAGGAUUCUAUCUAAAUAAGAAAAGUAGAAAAUAUUUCAAAGAAAAAAAAUACAAGGCAAGAUCAUAGGAAAAGAAGCUACAUAAAGCUGCACAACCCAUUUAUUGUUCUCUGAAAAUGUACUUUGACCUGCCCUGCCACAAUUGUCAUCCCUACUAGAGAAAAUGGUCUAAAACCCCCCCAAUCUAUACUCGAAAUCUCAACUACACACUCCAACUUUACGGGUGUCCUAUUACCCACCUGAACUUUAUAUUUCUCUAUUUUAUACACACCUAAGUGCUGACCUGUCAUGGGAGGUGUUCUCACCUCCUCUAGGCGCGUUAAAAGGUUAAUUUUGACGAAAAAUUCCUCCUUCUCCAAUGGUCAUCUUCCCCACUUUUAAAUAAACCAUUAUUUCUUUUUCCCCACCAUUAACCCUUGGUCCUUAUAUAAAAAAAUCACAAUUUCCUCUCAAAAUUUAGUAGGGUUUAGUUGUUAAUGUUCAUUUCUACUUCAAAUCUUGAAUUUAGGAUUUGUAAUAUGCUCUAAUUUCUUAUUUAGGUCUCUAAUUUUAAUUUUGAAUUUUCUCGAAAUUCAUCAAAAAUGGCAAGUGGAAACUUGAAUAAGCUUUGUAUGGAUGAAUCAAACCUAAUUGGAACGAUCUGAAUCACUCCCUCCGAAAGAUGAACAACGCGCCUAGAGGAGGUGAGAACACCUCCCAUGACAGGUCAGCACUUAGGUGUGUAUAAAAUAGAGAAAUAUAAAGUUCAGGUGGGUAAUAGGACAUCCGUAAAGUUGGAGUGUGUAGUUGGGAUUUCGGAUAUAGAUUGGGGGGGUUCUAGACCAUUUUCUCUCCCUACUACUAAGGUUGUUUUAUGUUAUCAAGUUGGCUAUUCAAAGUUCUAUUAUGCUUAAUAAAAUAUUGAAAGACAUUUUCAAUCGUUUUGUGUUGCCUCAUUUUUAAAACGGAAAAGGGCCAAAAACUUGUAAUCAUAUUUUAAACGGAAAAGGGCCAAAAAUAUCCUUGGAGUAUUUGAAAAGGUUUAAAUAUACCCCUCAUCCAUCUAUUUGGCUAGAAAUACCCCUCAAUCCACCUUUUUGGCCUAUUUUUACCCUUAAAGCUUAACAGAUUUUUUAAAAUUAUUAUUAUUAGUAGUAGUUAUUACAUGGCGUUUUUCUAUUGGAUAAAAUUUAAAUUUCCAACCCAUUGGAUUUUUUCCGAUCCAAACCCACAACCCAUGACCCAAAUCCAAUUAAACUUAAUAAUGAAUCAACUCCUAUAUCUCUCCCUUAACCACAUUAAUCUCUGCAAUGUACUACUGUAGUUAUGGGAGAAGAGUAUUGAGAAUGCAGAUGAAGUAAUCAUAAUUUUUACGGUUUGAUAUAAAGAAGUUUUCCUUUUUAAUUUGAAAUUAUUGGAAAUUUAUAAAUUGAAGUAACGAGGUGUUCUGCUUAAGCACAGGUUUUUGAAAAAUAGGCAGUAGUGAUUUCUCAAUUAUGUGCUUUAAAUGAUUAUUGAAGCAAUGCCAACCAGAUAAACAAGAAGAACACUAUUAUAAAUAUGAGAAGAAAAAAAAAAGAGUCCACAUUAUUCGUCGAUCAAUAAAUGAGAAAUCACGAAAUCAAUGUGAUUCUGUUUCUGGGAAGUUUCGAAUUUUUUCUUUUCAGAAAGAAAUAAUUUUUUGCAUUUCCUGAUUUCAUUUCAAAACAAUAAUUAAAGAAAUAACAUUUGACAAUAAAAAAUACUUUUAGAGAAAAUCUAAAUAUUGUAAAAAUGCAAGACCAAAUGCUCCAGUAAACUAAAAGUUCAGAAAAACUUUCGUUGUAGUAAUGAAUCUUUGGUGAAGAGCCAGGGAAGGAAGAGAUACGACGUACUUGAUUGAUUGUGAGGUUUAAUUGAAUUUGGGUCUGGAUCCGGGGCGGGUUGAAAAAAAAUUAAUGGGUUGGGAAUUUAAUUAUAUCCAAUAGGAAGAUGCCACGUAAUAAAUUAUAAUAAUUUAAAAAAAUUGUUAAGUUUUAAGGGUAAAAGUAGGCCAAAAAGGUGGAUUGAGGGGUAUUUUUAGUCAAAUAGAUGGAUGAAGGGUAUUUUUAAACCUUUUCAAAUACUUCAAGGGUAUUUUUUGCCCUUUUCCGUUUUUAAAAUAACACCAACAGUGGUAUCAAGAGCUUCAUUAAUCUUAAGGGAUUUGAGAAAUCUUCAAAAAAAACUACCAUACAUUUUUUAACCCGUAAGAGUUACCUUUUUAACCCAUCAGGGCUAUCCAUUUUAACUCAUUCAGAGUUACCUUUCAACUCGUGCUUUUCUCAACGCACAAGCUUUUCUAAACCAUUUUUAAUGAAAAUAAUGUCAAGCAAUAGUCUCUCUUUGAAUGCCCAAAAAAAUUCACUGGUGAAAACUAUCAAUUUGGUCAGUGAAAAUGAAAUCGUAUCUUGAACCCUAUGAUCUGUGGAAAGUUGUAAUGGAAGAUAUACCCGUACAACCUCUCCCUACAAAUCCUAUCCUUGCUCAAAUUAAAUCUCAUUCGAAUGAAAAAUCAAAAAUGUCAAAGCCAAAACUGUAAUUCAAAAUUCAGUUGCGUAUUUGAUUUUUUCUAAAAAUUCUUAUGACAACUCCAGAGAGAUUCGAAUCUAAAUUUCAUCUCGGGAAGAGUCUGAAGAUCUCUCUACUAUUUCUAUUGAAGAACGAAUAAGUGUUCUUCAAGCACAAGAGCAAAGAAGAGCCUUCAGGCAAGAUAAUGUUACUGAGGAUGCCUUUUAUGCACAAAAAGAGAAGAGAAAAAGGUAAUUACUCUUUGCAAAUACUGCAAAAGAAAAAUACACUUGGAAAAUUUUUGUUGGUGGAAACCUGAUGCAAAAUGUGGAAAUUGCAAACAAGCCGGUCGUGCUACAAAAGUAUGCAAGCUAAAAAACAAUUUUCAAGCACAAGUUGUAGAAGCAGAAAUCGAGGAGGAGCAACUUUUUUAAAUUGCAGUAUCUAAAACAAAGGAGGAGUGAUGAAUUUGUUUUUUAGUUAUUGCAUUCAUUUUUUAAAAUAAUAAGUUACCUUGUUUUUGGAUGAAUUUGAAUUUUAAAUAUUUGUUAAAAGUUAUUUUAAUUGUUGAGAUUAUGUUAUCAAGUUGACUGCAGCUUAAUAAAAUAUUGAGAAACAUUUUCGAUAGUGUUGUGCUGCCCUUUUUAAAAAAAAACGAGAGUAGGUGAAAUGAAGCAAUCCCUUAUUCAACUCCUUUACAAGUAAAUGCAUCAGAUAGCUGUCAUUGAUAGGCAGAACUUGAAAAGGGAUUUGAAGUUGAAGUUGUCUUGUCGAUUUUAAUUUCUGAAGUUGAUCACAUAUAUGGUAGUUUCUAUGGCAAUGAUGCUGCGAAUUUUCGUCAGUUUUCUGGUUGUUUUGAUCCAAGUUCUGUCAGUAGCAGCACGAACUAAUCCUGUUGAUUGUAAGUUGCUUUUGUUCUUCUCUAUCAAAUGUUUCUUAACCAGUGUACAGAGAUAUUUGAUUUAUCUGUGAGUACUGGUGUUCAAAUCUUAGUUCCUUUUUGUAAUCAUAUGAAGAACUUGUCUCUUAAUUGCAAUAAUCUUGAGGGAACAUUAAAUAUUUCCUGUUCUCUUCUAGAUAUGGUCAAUUAAGUGUUCUAGUGACGAACUGAUUCAAUAUUUUAUACAGCUGCUGCUUUAAAGUCUCUCAAGGAUUCUUGGUAUGGUCCUUCCAAUUGGACAGGAGAAGAUCCCUGUGGGAGUAGUUGGGAAGGAGUUGGAUGCAGAAAUUCACGAGUGAUUUCUAUGUAAGAAUUCGGUGUGUAUCCUUUUGUCAACUGCUUAAAAUUACAGAAAUCAUAUGGUUGAUGCCAUCUUUCUCAAUUUCAGAACACUGUCAAGUAUGGAUUUGAACGGUCAGCUAUCUGGAGACGUCCAAGGAUUAUCUGAAUUGGAGACUUUGUAGGUCUUCCUUUCACAUUUCGUGUUUCUACUUCACUCCCUUUUUUCUUUUGACGGAGCAAUACUUUGUCAGUUCUAAUUAUGGACUGCUCCUUAUAGGGAUCUAUCAUACAACAAAGAUUUGACCGGAUAUCUUUCUCAGUCUAUUGGAAAAUUGACAAAGUUAUCAAAUUUGUAAGUGAAUGUGAAUAAUCAUCACUCGAGUAUUCACUUACCAGCUAAUCUCGUGAUAAUAUGCUGAUGUUUUCUUGAUUUCAUGACAGGAUCCUUGUUGGUUGUGGAUUUUCUGGACCAAUACCAGACUCCAUAGGAUCUCUGACCCAGCUGUUUUUUCUGUAAGCAUUAUGUGGCACUCUUUGUACUUUGAAUGUGCGACCAGUACGUGACAUAUUUUACCAGAAUGCAAGGGUCAUACACUAUCUGCUUAAAAUUGUUAACGUAAUGUGUGCUUUUGGUGCUAGCUGUACUCAAAUUUUGGUCCAUCUCUGGGACAGGCAAUGCACUUCUAAACAGAGAAAUCAGUUCAUGAGGAGUUCAAUCCAUACUGCUAUUCUUGUGUUUUAUACGUUAUCAAAAGUUGAACUGUUGUGUUUACCAUAUCUAUCUGUAUAUGAUUUCUUUCAACCCUUCUUCUGGUAUAUGCUCUAAAACAGCCCCAUUCUGUAUUAUGCAGAUCUUUGAACUCUAACAAAUUUACUGGAGGAAUACCUGCUACCAUUGGCUAUCUGACAGAGCUUUAUUGGCUCGAUUUAUCUGACAAUCAGAUAGAAGGAAACAUUCCAGUCUCUAGUGGGAGCAACCCUGGUCUUGAUAUGCUUGUUAACACUAAACACUUGUACGCAUCUCCUUUUUCUUGAUGUUGUUUCGUCUCUCAACUGCAUUUUCUAAGAUUAUUUACAUUUCUUCAGUCACUUUGGGAAGAAUCAGCUAUCCGGUGAAAUUCCAGCUCGUCUUUUCCAUUCUAAAAUGACUCUGAUACAUCUGUAAGUUCCAUCGAAUUGGAGAAUGGAGUGAAUGAAUAAUUUUGUCCGUAAAUAUUGGGGACCUCACUUGUAGUUGAGCUUGCCUUUUGAUAUUCUUGUUAGUGCAUGUUUUUACUUCUGAGAGUAGUCAUGUGAAAGAAGCUUGAUAAUUAUAUCACAAACAACUUUCCUUUACGGUUUCCUCAUGCUUGUAUAUUCCAACUUGUAGGCUAGUUGAGAACAACAGGUUUACCGGGGUAAUCCCAGAUACAUUAGGAUUUGUCCAGACGAUGGAAGUGCUGUAAGUAUUGCUAUCUUGUGCUUUCCCUUUAUCAUCUAGUAAAGUUGCUUUCUGAAUUGUUUCUGGUAUUGCAAUAGUCGUCUUGACAGGAAUUCAUUCAGUGGAUCUGUUCCACAAAACCUCAACAAUCUCACACAUGUCAAUGAACUGUAAGUAGAAAAUGAAACAAUUUUCUGAACCUACUGUAGGUCCUCUUGAUUUUUUGAAGUAGUAUAUUUUGACCAUGUAUUACAGCGACAUAUCAAACAACAAUUUGAAUGGCCUUUUGCCGAAUCUCACUGGCAUGAAUGUCCUCAACUACUUGUAAGUUGCUUAUCCUAAGUUUUGUGUCUUUAUCCCUUUGAGUUGACAAUCCAUUAUUCUCAACAUAGUACUAUAAAUAUUUCUCCCCAAUCACGAUUCACGGGCACUUUUUUUUUGCAGGGACAUGAGUAGUAAUACAUUUAAUGCAUCAGAUAUUCCAUCAUGGAUCCUAAGCCUGCAAUCAUUAACAACAUUGUAUACUCUCUCUCUCUCUCUUUUUUACUAGAUUUGGGAACGUGCGUUGCACGUUUAUCCCAAAAUACUUAUAUAAAUUUUGUAUUGCAAAUGACAUAUUUUAUCCCCUUCAAAUCUUUGGUAUUUACAAAGAAAAAUCUAUCAUUGUUUCUAUAGGAACUACAUAUAUCUUCCUAAUUAAAAAAAAUAUACCUUUAACUAUAAAAUUGACUAAAAGUUAAUAAAGUAAAAAUAACUAACUAUUGCACAAAUUCAAUAUUCAAAUGAGGAUACUAAAACACCACAUGCUAGGCUAAUGUAUACAAAACAACAAACCAUGAUAAAUUCUCAAUAAUAACAACACAACAAUAGAAAGUUGUACAAUAACAACAAACAAGAAAAAUAAAUGUUAAACUAAACAAAUAAAAAGAGACAAGAGAAGAGAGCAUAGAGAUUUUCUCAUAUUUUUUUUCAAUUGGUUUAAGUGUGUAAAUUAUUGUGUCAAAUGUCAUUAUUUAUAGGAUAGCAUUGAGGAACACAAAGAGUUGUCAUAAAUAUGAUAUUAAUCCAUUUGAGAUUAUUGAUGAGAGUAAAAACAUAAUGAAUAUAAUUGGUGGGAAUUACAUACAUAUAAUGAAGAGUUAGUGGUAAUUUAUGUAUACUAAUAUGAUGAUUUACUAUUUACUACUAUUUAAUUUAUUAAACAAUUUAUAACAUUUAAAUAUAAUGUAGAAAUAAAACCGUUAUCUAAGGAUAAAAUAUGUAAAAGAAUUCAAAUAUAUUAAAUGUGUAGUGAAAAAUCAUUAUGACUAAUUAUUAAAAAAUUCAUAGUAACUAUGAUUAUGAAAAAUCAUUACUAUUACUACAUGGAAGAUGUAAAGAUGGUUGUUUUUUUCUUGCUAAUAAUAACUUACAAUUUAAUAAUGAGUAUUGAAUUGUAAGUCUAGCUGGAAAUAGGAGUGUUAACUACCAUAAUACGAACAAUCAAAAUUCAUUGAAUCCCAAAAUAAAUAUUAAAUGAAAAAAUAAUAUUUUAAAUAAAUUCAAGAAAAUAAAUUAAUAGUUAAAGGGUAUUUUCGUAAUUCAACUUUUGACUUAGAUUCUUCCCACUUUUAAUAUAACUAGUUCUCGACACGUGCGUUGCACGUGCAUCCCAUAUUAAGUAAUAUAAUUCAUAAUUAAAUUGGAGGUUAAUGAGCAACAAAUUAUAUGGAUAUGCUCCAUGUAUGAAAUUCAAAAGUCCAUGUUAUAUGGAUAUGCUCCAUGAAAUGAGGAAAAGAAGUUGCAUGUUAUCAGAAGUCCAAAAGUCCAGGUAAGAUGGAUAUACUCCAUGUAUGAAAUUAAUUAAAUGAAUUUAAUCAUUAAUAACUAACGAAAAUUAUAAUGCCAUAACUACAGAAUCAAAAUGCAAUUGCUAGACUUCUAAUUCAGUAAAUAAAAUAUGAUUAUUUCAUUAAAUUUACUGGUUAAUUAAAUAUUUAAUUAUAUUUUAAUUUAGUGUGGGGUAAAUUCGUAAUUCAACUUUUAAGUUAUGAGCUUCCCACUGUUAAUAUAAAAUAUAAAAUAAUAAUAUGAUUUAUUGGUUAAUUAUAUUUUAAUUUAGUGUGGGGGUAAAAUCGUAAUUCAACUUUUAAGUUAUGAGCUUCCACUUUUAGUAUUACUAGUAUCUGGACACGUGCCAUGUUAUUUUGUUCAAACUUAUUCAUUAAGAUGGAGGGAAUAUAUAAUAGUUAAAUAUAUUGGUUUUAAAAAAUGAAAGCUUAUACUUACUAAAAUAAAAAAAUUACAACACAUAUCAAUUCUCUCUUUACAUAUAAAGUAGAAACAACUGCUAAAAGUAUAACAAGAAUAUUUGAAUCCUAAAAUUAAAAUAUUACAUGUUGGAAUAAUAAUACAUAAACAUUGUGCAUUACAAUAAAUCUGUAUUGAACUUUGUUUAGUGAAGUUGAUGUUACUGGCUAAUCGAACUCUAGACGCCAAUAGCUUUAGAUACUUUCCAUUCUCUCAAAUUGUUGCUUUCUCUUCAAGAACAAAAAAGAAGAUGAAAUUAAUUAAUAAAUUAAAAUUAUGCAAGAGCCUAUAAAAAUGGUGAGAAAGAAUUCAAGAAUCCUUUCUUGCCUUUUAUAGCUAUUUUUUGAGUAAGAAUUCAAGAAUCCUUUCUUGUUUUUUUAUAGCUAUAUUUCAAUUUUCAUUCCUUGAACCUUUUCUUUCAUUAGUCUACAUUUAAUUAUUCAAUGCAACUCUUCCUAUUCUCCAAACUAUUUAGCAAUGAAUAACGCACACUUAAAUUUGAUUAAUGGGUAAAUCAUUAAGGGCUACAUUUAAAUUGGACUUUUGAAUAUCUACAGAUUCACAAAUCUCAUGUAAAUUUAAAUACAAUUACUACUAUUUCAAUUAGAUUAGGCAUUUUAUUUUAAUUAAAUAUAAGAGAAAAAUUGUAAUCUAACUUUAAACACUUGUUUUAUUUUUCUCCAUUUUUAUUCAUGUUUAGUACAUUCACCUCAGACUAAUAUUCUACUUUGAACAGAAAUAACACAAAGCAAUAAAUAUAUAGAGAUACAUAUUCCAAGCCAUAAUAAAUGUCAUUAUUUUUUAUUAUGGAUACAUUCACCUCAGUUCUCACUCCAUGAAUUUCCGUAACAUUUCAUUAAUUUGACUGGAAACAUAAUAAGUAUCAUUAUCUUUUAGUUGGAAUAUGAAUGUCAAAGAGUGCCCUCUCUUUUUUUGUGUGGAUAAUUUAGUGAUUUUAUAUUUAUGUAUAUUAAUUUUGAAGAGAUAAUACAUUUUUAUUAUUAUUUAUUUAGAUUAGAUGUUGUAUCUAUUACAUUUUAAUUAAGUAUAGGGGUAAAAUUGUAAUUUAACUUUGAAGAUAGGUGCUUCCCACUUUUAGUAAUUAGUAAAAAUUACUCCCUCUAUCCCUAAUUACUUGUUCACUUUUGAAUUGACACACCUAUUAAGAAAACAAUUAUUGACAUAGUGAGUGUACCAUUUUACCCCUAUUAUUAAUUAUAAAGUGGAUGGAUUAAAAAUUUAAGAUUUUCAAGAAAUUUUACCUUUUUCAAAGUAUUUAAUUGAGGGUAUAGUAGGUAAAAUUAUUUUGUCCUUUCUUGAUUUGUCAAAAUGAACAAGUAAUUAGGGAUAAUUAUAAAAGGAAAAGUGGACAAGUAGUUAGGGACAGAGGGAGUAGUAAAUUAGUAAUAUAUAUAAUAUAUAUAUAAUAUAAUAUAUGAUAUGAUGUGUGUGUGUAUGCACGACCAUGAGCAGGUGCAUGUGUGUAUGGGGCUCGUGUAUAUGCCUGCAUCCAUUUGAAUAUGGACUGAUUUUAUUUUUUCUUGUUUUUAUGGAUUCAAUUCCUAGAUGUUCUUUUUAACCGUUUGACUGACCUUGUAUUGUCAGGGUGUUGGAAGACACGGGACUUCAGGGAUCAGUUCCAGCUAACCUUUUCAGCCUACACCAGUUGCAGACAGUGCAAGUGUCCCUUUUACUUUGUGUCGUUUUUGUAUGAAGUAUAGAUUGAGUAUCUGAAGUUGAAUUUAUCUUUGCUGAAAUUUCCGAACUCUGUAUUAUGCUGAUAGUUGUUGACAAUGUGCUCGUUGCUUACAGCAUCUUGAGGAAUAACAAACUCAACGGCUCUCUUGAAACUGGAACCACAUAUAGCAACCAGUUGAAGCUCAUUGAUGUGCAAAAUAAUCUUAUCGAAUCAUUUACUCAAAGACCAGGGUAUCCCUUUCAGAUAAAGUACGCACUAUUCCAUGAUUCUUCAAGCCAUAAAAUCUCCAAGUUGAUAAGAAACACCAUACGCGAGACAGUUUUUUGCCUAGCUUGUUGUGUCGUGUGAUUAUUCUAUGCUCAACUUGACUAUAUACUCGUUUAUUUACUUUUUCCUAUGCAGGCUUGCAGGCAAUCCUAUCUGCAAUGAAAGAGGAGAAGGGAGAAAAACUUACUGUAUGGAAACUCAACAAACUGAGACAUACUCAACCCCACCAGAGAAUUGCUUGCCAACUGAGUGCAGCUCUAAUCAAGUUUCUAGUCCUACCUGUAAAUGUGCCUUUCCAUAUACAGGAAACCUAGUCUUCAGAGCUCCUUCCUUUUCAAACUUGGGAAAUAGAACUACUUAUGAGACUCUCCAAAAGUCUUUGUUGCUUUUCUUCCAAAAACGUCAACUGCCUGUGGAAUCAGUUUCCCUCCGUAACCCAAUAAGAGAUUUAAAUGACCACCUUGUAAUACAGCUGCAAGUUUUUCCAUCUAGCCAAGAUCGUUUCACUUGGACUGGUGUUUCUGGAAUAGCUUCUGUGCUUAGUAAUCAGACUUUCAAGACCCCAUCGUCAUUUGGACCUUUCUUCUUCAUUGGUGAAACCUAUAAAUACUUUGUCGGUAAUAGAACUAUUUCCUUUUCCUAUUUAUCACUCAUUUCUCAUCUCCUACAUAUAUGUGCAGCCUAAUCUAUAAUUACAGAAAGUUGGUGGCUGAAGAAACAAUAUAUAUUUGAAAUCUUGAUGAUUAAGUUUGUAUGUACUUUCGUUUGACAGAAGAAUUUACUGUAUUUUUAAGACUUUGAACGUGAAUAGCAACUAUUACAGAUCUACUGUUUUGAUAACUAUAUCAAUCCUUUCUGAAGUAUUCAAUUUAGAAGUACAAGACCCAAAAAAAAUUGUCUAGUCAUUGAAUUUGAGACAAAGAUACGAUAAAAAAACUAAAAAUUUAGGCUACGUGCAUGUGAUGGAUCAACUUUCGUUCAUUGUUACUAGUGAUUUUUCUGUUAGAGUUUGCAUAAACUUCAAUGGAUUUAUUAAUAACGUUUUAGUAUAGACGCAGGUUAUUCUGAUCGGUCUCCUUAGAAAAACUGGUUCAUUAAUUGACAGCUGAAAAUUCAAAUUAUUGUUUGGAACAUUAUGGAGCUACAUCUAAACGUUUCAUGUUACUGAAGUCUGAGGCUGUGCUUGCUGUUUUCUAGGGGAAUCCACAGGAUCAAAAAAAUCAGUUAGUACAGGCAUUAUUAUUGGAGCUACAGUUGGUGGUUCUGUCCUUGCAAUUUUAGCACUAAUCAUUGGUAUUUAUGCUUUCCGGCAAAAGAAAAGAGCUGAAGAUGCUGCAAAGAGGAGCGAUCCUUUUGGUAAGAGUUGGAACUAACUAUUAGGCCAUUUACCUAUUACUUCAUCUUACGGUUGUUGUUGCUAUCUUCCUUCUUAAUGCAGCAUCCUGGGACUCAAAUAAACAUAGUGGUGCUGUUCCACAGCUGACAGGAGCUAGAUUUUUCUCAUUUGACGAACUAAAAAAAUGGACUAAUAAUUUUUCAGAAACCAAUGUUAUUGGUUGUGGUGGUUAUGGAAAGGUCAGCUUUUAUGCUCUGAUACACUAAGCAUGUGUUCUGUUAGCAGUACUGCAGCCUUCAUUCGUUCUGAUCUUAAUCAUCUUAGACUUAGUAGUUAGUACUACCAGUUUCUUUGUCAAAGUGUCAGGCUAUUUACAGACGAUAAUGAACUGAUUGUAUAUUUGGAUGGAGAAGUCUUGAUUCUUCCACCCAAGAUAAUUCACAUAUUUUGGUUUCGGAUGUAAUACAAUAGCUCUAAUCUAUUUAAUUAAUAAGAUCCGGUAAGUAUGGAUAUUUUUUAUCUUGUUUGUACCAGCUUCUCUUUCCACUGAAAAGAAAAUUUCUCGACUACAAUUGAAACUGUAUUAAGUUUUUAAACUGUAGAAGUGUGGCUCUACAGGUUUACAGAGGAAGUCUUCUGAACAGAGAAUUGGUUGCAAUUAAAAGAGCUCUACAAGGGUCUAUGCAGGGCACACAUGAGUUCAAAACUGAGAUAGAGCUUCUCUCAAGGGUUCAUCACAAGAAUGUCGUUGGCCUUGCUGGCUUUUGUUUCGAUCAAGCUGAACAGAUGCUUGUGUACGAGUACAUUCCUAAUGGCACCUUAAAAGACGGUCUUUCAGGUAUAUGUUGAUCCCUUCUUGUUGAUUAAUUGAAACUAGCUCCUUUUAACUUAACCAAAAUGCAAAUGGAAUGAAAUUUGUACUUGUAGGUAAGACUGGGGUCAGGUUAGAUUGGAUGAGGAGAUUGAAGAUAGCCAUUGGAGCAGCCAGAGGUUUGCAGUAUUUGCAUGACCAUGUCAAUCCCCCCAUUGUACACAGGGACAUCAAGUCCAACAAUAUUUUGCUAGCUGAUCACCUAAACGCAAAAGUUGCUGAUUUUGGCCUGUCCAAGCUUCUAGGUGAAAGGGGUCAUAUUACCACUCAAGUCAAAGGAACAAUGGUAAGUAAAGAUUCUAUAAACACCUGCCUGAACUUGUUUCGUUUUAGAAUAAUGUAUGCUCCCUCAAAUUUCUGAUGUCCAGAAAGUUCAGAAAUUAAAUGUGUCGAUAAUUUCUAGUCCUGUAAUAACCAUUACAAGCACUAUUUCAUUGUCUAGUAAGAACACCUGAAGCUCCUCCUUUCUCAUCGACCACCCUUCCCUCCACUAAAAAUGAGUAAAUAAAUAAGUAGGAACAGGAAAAUACGAAAACGUUUUAUUUAUUUCUUGAUAUUCUCUCAAGGUAAGGGACUUGUAGGUAAUGAUGCUUAAAAACACCAAAUUUAAGGAGAAAUACUACCUUGAUUAGGAAACAAUGAGUUAUUGCCCAUAGCAGAUAGAAGCUUUUUAACGUUCAUAUAAUGUGAUCUUGCCAUGUAUGAAAGGAAACAAGUUGAGAUGUUGCAGAAAAAUGUGUCAGUAUUUACCUUAUAAUCUAUGUCCUUUUGAUGGUUGCCUUUUAUUUAUUAGGGAUACAUGGAUCCUGAAUAUUACAUGACAAACCAGUUGACAGAGAAGAGUGAUGUUUUUAGCUUUGGAGUGGUGCUGCUUGAGAUAGUCACAGGAAAAGUUCCUAUUGAUAAAGGAAGAUAUAUUGUCAAGGAAGUGAAGGAUGCAAUGGACAUGACAAAAGAUUUGUAUAACCUUCAUGAAAUUUUGGAUCCUGCAGUUUGUUCGGGUGCAACUCCUAGAAGCUUAGAGAAGUUUGUGGAUCUAGCACUCAAGUGUGUUGAAGAAAAAGGAGUCAAUAGACCUAAAAUGAGUGAAGUGGUGAAACAGAUUGAAUAUAUUAUGGAGAUCGAAGGCCUGAACCCCGAUGAUGAAUCUGCAUCUACUUCAGCAACCUAUGAAGGAGCAAACAAAGGCUUGAACCAUCCUUAUACUGAAAGUCUCUUUGUCUAUAGUGAAGCAUAAUUUUCUCAUCUUGUAUUUUUUCAAUUGGAUUACAAAAAAGCACAAAACAAAAGAAGAAAAGAAGGAAAAAUAGUCAGUAUAGGGUUGGUCGCUUGUACUUGAAUGAGAAGUAAAAUUGCCAUCAUUUUAGGGAGUUAAUAUUUCAUAUGGUCACUCAACUUUGAAUAAUUCACUUAGAAAGUCACUCAACUUUGAGUUGUUUAUUUAAAAAGUCACUCACCUUUGUUUUAUAAUUCAAAAGUCACUCAACUACUGAUGUUUUAUUUAGAAAGUCACCCAACUAUUUAUAUUUCACUUGAAAGUCAUUCAAUCAAUUUAAAUAAUUUUAUCAUAAAAUAUUUUUAAAGAAAUAAUAAGAUAUCUAUUUUAAUUAUCUUAUUGUUCCGCUUCAAUUAUUAUAAUUAUAAUUUUUCUAAAAACACGUAGAGUAGCGAUUGACCCCCCAAAAAAACUUUUCCGUUCCAGUAAUUGUAAAACUAGAAUUAAAUUGUUAAAAAAUAAUCAAGAAGAAAGGUUGGAAUUGAUAAUAAGUAAUUAAAAAAAAAGGGACAAUAACAAUCUUCUACUAUUUUUUUUUAAGAAAAGGUAAAAACAAAAACUAUAUAUCAACAAACUUCAAUAAAAUAAUUUAAAUAAGUAUCUUAUUUUAAUUUUUUAAAAAUAGUUUAAUUAUUUUUUAUAUUUUUACAAAUUUUAAUGAAAAAAUUAUUUAAAUUGAUUAAGUGACUUUCUAAGUGAAAUAUAAAUAGUUGGGUGACUUUCUAAGUGAAACAACAAUAGUUGAGUGACUUUUGAGUUAUAAAACAAAGUUAGAGGAAGGGCUUAAAAUAGUCCAUUAUCUUUGAGAUUAGACUCAAAAUAGUCCUAUUUCUUUUUUAGUGGAGCAUUAAUAGUCCUGAUUUUUAGCGGAGCAUUAAUGCUAAAACUAGAGCUGCUGAACCAUCUGCUUGAAAAACAACAAGUGAAAGUGAGCUACCUGGGUUGUUUUUCUUCUUGGCUAAGAAAACUGGACAAUGUGCCUUCCAAUGGCCUGACAUCUUGCAAUGAAAACACUUGCCCUUAGACUUUUUCACGCCCCCAGUUGGAGGUGCAAUUGCCUUAGCUUUGUGAGCCUUUUUCUUCUUCUGUCCACCUUGCGGUUUAGAAGUAGAAACUUUCUCAGUUAGUGCCAUGGAAGGUGCCUUUUUGACAAGUGUCUCUGCCGCCUGCAGCUCAUUCAACAAUUGUGCCAAAGAUAGACUCAUCUUAUUCAUAUUAUAAUUUAGGCAAAACUGUUGAAAACUGUCAGGCAGAGACUGCAAUAUCAUCUCAACUUGGGAGUCAUUGUCAAUUUCAGCCCCCAAGACCUCUAGUUCAUUCAGAAGACCUAUCAUAUUUAGAACAUGGUCUCUUACAGGAGUGCCUUCAACCAUCUUAGUGUUCAUGAGAGUUCUCAUGGCAGUCUGCUUAGCUGAUCGACCCUGGUCUCCAAACAUUUGUUUGAGAUUCUCCAGAAUUUCAAAAGCAGAUAACAUAGCUUGAUGUUGAUGUUGCAACACAUUUGACAUUGAAGCCAUAAUGUAACAUCGCGCCAUCUCAUCAACUUUGCGCCAUUUCUGAUAAGCUAGCUUAUCCUCAUCACUAGACUGUUCAUUUGGUUUCAAUGGACACUCUUCAUGAAGUACCAACUUAUAUUCUUCAGCAGUUAACACAAUGUCAAGAUUUCUCCUCCAGUCAACAUAGUUAGAACCCUCUAGUUUAUUCUGACCCAAAAUAGUACUAAUGGGAUUAAAAGGAGACAUGUUGAAUCUGAGAUUGAAGAAAAAGUUACAAUAGAUCAAUCUAAACAGUCAUAUAAUCAUUGAAUAUUUACAUUCAAACUCAUCAUAUACAUAUACAUUCAUGCAUCUUGAAUAGCCAAUCGAUGGGAUUGGAGAACUACUCAUACAAUAUAAAUAUAUAAUGACCGAUUAUUCACUCCAUAAACUUAUUUAGACCUAACUCAGAUGGAGAGUCUACUGUUAGUUUAAGUCAAGUGAAAAUCCUCUAGUUACAUUGAUCCAAUCAUAUAUUACUCAGUUUUAGGAGAGUUAAUAAAGAUUAUCAAACUAGCGAUUAAAUACGUAGUGACUUGUAUUAAAUUCAUCCGAUGGGGAGGAAGGUCUAAGCCAACACAUAAAUUUAAUACUUCAUUACUAUUUUAAUCUUGGUAAUUAAAGAAAGAAUCCUCAUCACCAUUUUAUUUCUUCAAAUUUUAUACAAAAAUUUCCAGAAAAUAAAGCGUAAACAUGACCAGUUCAAUUUGUUUAAAUAUACCAUACAAUGACAUAUAACAUAAACAAUAUUCCAGAGCAUCUUGUUCACUGCCGCCUUAACACAAAUAAUGCACACAACUUUUAACUAUUACUAUUCAAUCAAUUGAAAAGUUUUUAAUUUGCGUUAAUCAGAAAAGGAAAACAUGCAGGUCCACCAUGAAACAAAAUUUCAUAAAGAAGUUGAUACCUAUUCAUGUGAAUUACGGGCAUACAACCUUUUAAAAUAUACACGGUUAGAAAAAAAAUCCCACCGAGCCGCCGUCGUCAGAACUCUUGUGCUAUCACAAUAAUCUUUUAAAAUUAAUCAAUGCAGAUUGACCACAACUUUUACCAACGAAUUUACAUGUCUGAUUAUCGUAUGCACUCAUCAAAACAAACCAGUCUAGUUUCAUCAAUUCUGCCUUCAUCGUGAUAAAAUAAAAUUCACCAACCACGAUUCACGCAUACAAUUUCACAUACGCAUAUUUUAGGUUAUCUAUAAAGAUGCAAGUAUGGCUCAUGAUGCCAAUUGUUAGAAAAUAGCAUUCACAGCGGAAGCAUACCAGAAUCAUACAUCUUGCAUGAGUAUAGACAACAAUCACAAAUACGUAUCACAUACAAGGUAUGCUGAAAAUUAACUCAGGAUUACCUCUUGAAGCGUGUGCAGAUAUCUUGAAGCAAAUCCAACUCCAGCUCUACAGUCUUCUACAGUGAUCCCAAUUAACAAUUGAACUCUCUCAAUACUUGGGUGGGCAAGUAUCGUAUAGAAUACUGAAUUCUCUUUCUAGGUUAGAAGAAUCCCUACUUAUAGAGAUGUCUUCCCAGUCCAAAAAAGGAGAAGAAAGUAUAAAUCCUUAUUCUUCAAGAAAACCCCAAAACUCACGUUUCUUUCUUGGAGGAAAAUAUACACGUUACUUUUCCUUCUUCUACUAGAAAAUAGGAUUCUGAGUUCUAGUUAAAUUGGGCACUGGAGGGACCACAGAAUUUAUUACUGAGGCUUCCUAUUAUGGAAAUAAUUCCAAAUAAUUAAUUUGAAUUAUUCUUACCAUAAUAAAUUACAAAUCAUUCCACUAAAAAUUCGUAAUUGCACUCCUCUAUUUAUAUUUCGAAAUUCACCAUUAAACACUUAUGUAAUUCCCCAUGUUAAGAUUCCAGAUACUAAUCAAUAAAUUAAAUUACUGACGAAUUUAAUUCAAUGAUUAAUUUCCUUUAGAGCAACACUUAACUUAUUUCAUGUGCCAGAUUCAUAAAUCUACCGGCCGGGUUUACACAUGAAAACUUAUAAGUUUCUCAUAAAAAGGUGUAUCAUCAAUCUCUAUACUGAGACAUGGAUUCCAUCAACUAACUAAUUAUUUCACCAAUAUAUAUUAUUAUCAUCCAAUCUACCAGGCAUAUUGACCCAUCUCAGAAUCUCACCUUUUAAUAAAUCAAAACAAUAAUUAAUAUAUACAGAUCAUAAUCGUUAUAUCAAGAUUAAGAAUAUAAGUACAUUUAACAGUUUAGAGAAUAUGUUUUUAUCAGUCAGUCUAAAACAUCUAUCUCUGCUUGGUCCCGUUCAAUACAUACAAAAUGCACUAGCACGAGAAGUUAGAACUAUACCAUUCUCAUAAUCAAGAUAGAUUACAUUUAAUCUCGUGCUACAAUCUUUCUGAUGGUUUUGUCCAAAAUUUCCAUCUACGAUUGUGAACUAUAACUUUUAACUUAUAAGAACCGAUGAUUUAAUCUUCUGUGUAUAAGCUUAAACUCUAUACACCAAAUCAUCUACUAUAUAAGUUAAGGACACAUAUAUGACAAUUGAUCUAUUUAAUGUAACACUUUAUUGAAUUGAAUAAAUGAAUAAACAAUUGUUCAAUAAUAAUACUAUAUCAAAACGCAUGGUUAAUAGUAUAUCCUAACACCAUCCAAAUUCAUGGAAGUUUUUACAAUGGUUACAUUCGUUUCUUUCAUCCUAGCAACCGUACCGGGGAAUUCUAUCGCACUCCGUGCUUUUGAUCAUGCAGAAUCUACCAAAGGUUCAAGCCAGAUUGUAGGAAGUGGGUGAUACAUUUUUGUAUUUCUAUGAGAAGCUCAACGGAACCCACGAUUCCCAGUGGUAAGUUGUUCGGCAUAUCACGCGUAAACUCUAUUCGAUUAGAAUUUUUUUUAGAUUUAAAUAGAGAUAGUCCUAGAUCAAAAUAUUAGGAAUCAAAGCAAGGAAAGUAGCAUUGAUGGAAUGGGGGAUCACACCUUCAGCAAAGAAAUAAAGUGACCAGCUGGAAGUUUUUGAAAUCCCAACAAUAAUUUCUAUAUAAAAAGAAUUUGGAAAACCUGAUGGCUUUAAAAGAUAGGGGUUCAAUUGUUCCCUGACGCUCGGUUGACAUAACUUGAUCCUUAAUUUACUACUUCAAGAGUCAAAUAAUUUAUUUUACUACAGUUUUCUGAUUAUUUUUUAAAACAUUUUGAAUUAUUAGCUAUGUUAACUUGUAAUACUUUUCAUAUUAAUUUUAAAUAUGUAAAGUUUAUUGAAUCUAUACCCGAAAUCAUAAUCAAUAUGAAUGUCACUUAUUUUCCUACUAAGUCAUUUUCAUGUCACUUAUUUUCCUACUGAGUCAUUUUCAAAACCUUAUUUUUUUAGAAAAAAUAAUUUCUGAAAAUUUUGACCAAUAAACAUUAAUGAAAAAAAAAAAAAGAGAAUUUUAUUGAUAUCUUUUUCUCAAUAAAUUCUUUCCAAAAUAUCAAUAGCAUAUAUAUAUAUAUAUAUAUAUAAAAUUACUCUUAGAUAGGGCUACUUGCCAAAUUCCCUUUCUUUGGACAACCAAUAUGAGUAGUGAGUGAACCCACCUCAUUAAGACCAACAUAUCUACCUUAGUCAACACAAUGGACCCAGGCCCUUGCUUCGGAUGAUCAUAAAACAAUCAAUAUUAAAGUCACAAUAAAUGAUAGGAAACUUACAUAUUUGGCCGCUCACCCAAAAAUAAAAAUCCGCAUAUAAAAAUAUCUUAUAUAUAUUUUCUUUUCGUUCAUUUUUACUGAUUCAUGUUUGAAUUGAGAUACCAUUUAAGAAAAUUCUAUAUUCAAGAGAACUCGAGCCUAUGACCUCUGGUUAACAUUUAUACUUUAAAAAAAUAAAUUAGGAUGGACUAUUUUUUCAUCUUAGAAGAGACAAAAUCAUUCUAAGAGUACUGUACAAGUUAUUUAUAUGGGGUCCAAUUAAUGCAUGAUGUAAGUUGAAACAUAACCUUACAUAAAGGGAACUGUGUUUUUUAGCCCCUACAAGGGUGUCUCUGUUUUCGUGGACUUAGAAUGUUCACUACUUACUACAGUAGUAGUAUUUAGAAUGAUUAUGUUAUCACGUCGUUCGAUUGGAAACAAGGUAUUUUAUAAUUAUUAAUUCCAGAAUAAAUUAUUUCAUUAUUACGUAUAUGGAAUAAUUUAUCUUAUUACUAAGAUAUAAAUUGUGAGAUAAAUAAUCUCAGGACUGUCUAAUACCUCCAAUUAAACGCACAGUAAAAAGUAGGCCUACAUUUUAUUUCUAAAAUUAUUACAUAUCUUGUACCUUAUACCAAACACGACUGCUUAGAGAGAGAAGACUUGUAUACGUAGAGAGAUAUUAUCCUCUUGCUGUUUAGAGAACAGUUUAAUCCUCAAAACAAACCAAACACUUGUGGUUUCUCUUUCUUCCCAUUACUCUUCUUUUCUCUUUCUUUUUAGUACACAUAUUGGCCCCUAAGAAGAAACUAAGGUUGCAUGGUGGUGGAUUUAAACAAUGGUCCAAACAAGAACAAUCCAACUGAUCAUCUUUUGUCUGCUUAUUAUUUCUAUGCAAGUUUUGGUGCAGCUGGGAGCUUCAACAAAUUCUGGUGACUGUAAGUCCUACUUAUCACAUCUCUUUUGUUGUUUUUUUAACUGUAUAAUUAUGAAUUUAACUUAUAUACACCAUAUCGCGAAUAAAAAAUAAAGUUAUACUAGUACCUAGCACAGUUUAACAUGUUAUAUCGUAAGUUACUUAUUGUAAAUAGUUCUUGUUUUAGAUGAUCUGAGUUAUGAAAGCAAAUUGUUUUCAUUUCUUUUCUUUUUUUUUUAGUAGGGAAUAUAUUAGUGUCCACUAUUUUAACUCCAAUUUAUUUUGAUCCCUUUUUCGAGUUCAUUACUUAAAAGGUCAUUUCAAUUAUUGAACAUAGUUAUGUUUUUCGUUGUUUUGUAUCAGAAAAGUCAAAUAUGAUUUUCUUCAUCAAUUUCAUUCCGUAUGUUCUGAAUUUUUUUAAAAAUAAUUAGUGUAUGGUAUUUUUGUUCAAAAAUAAAAUGAUUGGUGCAGAUGUUGUGUUAGAGCCACUGAAGGAAGAGUGGGAAAACAUACCUCCAAGUUGGGAUGGGUCUGAUCCUUGUAACGAUCCAUGGGAAGGCAUCGACUGCAACAAUUCACGUGUUAUUUCUAUGUAAGCUUUUUUUUUUUGUGAUUAAAUUAAAAUUGUUAAAAGAGAAUCAUAUUAAUCGGAAAUAAUAACAAUAUUACCACUCUUUAAAUUAUUCCUAAAUUUAUGAAUAAAAUGUUGAAAUUAAGAAAUAAAAACACAAGUGCACUCUGUCAAAAAUUCCAUUUUUCCUUAGCUCGACAACGUCACAUGUUUAAUUCAAUGUUCACCCACCUCAUUUAUGCCAGCUAAAUAAUAUCUUCGAUUUUUAAAAAAUAAAAUAAAAUUUAAACACUAGAAUAAUUAAGGAACUAUUUCCAAAAAAACAGCAAAAUAUUUUUUUUCUUAAAAAAUCUUAAUUAGUAAGAAAGUACAAAAAUAUGUAACUGUUACUGUAUUUACUCUUCCAUUUUGGUCAGUUCAUGUGUAUAUAUAAUAAUAAAACUAAAAUGCUUAUUAUCUAAUGAAACUAGGUUAAAAUUAAAUCAUAUUAAUUUUGUUAAAUGACAUUGCUAAUUGUAAUUUGAGGUACUAAUUAAUGAUUGUGAAUUUCAGAAAAUUAUCAAGCAUUAAUCUGAAAGGGGAGCUAUCUGGAGAUAUCGAAGGCUUGUCUGAAUUGCAGAUAUUGUAUGUCUUCUACUCAUCAUAAUUGAAAGUGUUAAAAUUUGGAGAAAAAAAAUUGUCUUAAUUAUGUUCGCUCUGUUUCAAUUUAUUUGUCUGAUUUGAAUUUGACACAUAAUUAAUGAAAGUAAAUAAGAUUUUUGAAUCUUGUGUGGAAUAUGACCAUUUUUGUUUUUGUGCUCGCCAAAGUGUUCCUAAAGGAUUCAUUACAAAAAAUAAUAGUUUAAUGAUUUUAUUUGGUGCGAUAAAAUGAAAGUUGAGUGAUCAUCUGUGAAAUUAAUCCUGUUCUUGAAGCACCAUUUUGCUUGUGAUCAUGCAUUGCAUGCACACAAAUAUUUUUGACUGUUGAAAAAGUUUUAAAUUUCUGUUCUGAUUAUCUGUUUCCUUAAUAGGGAUCUAUCAUACAACAAAGGCUUGACAGGUUCACUCCCUCAAUCAAUUGGAAAUUUGAAGAGUUUAUCAAUUCUGUAAGGGUAUUAUUACAUGAUAAUGAUUAAAUGUUGUUAAAUUCACCAGCUGAUUUCAUUAGAGUAAUUGCUCCGAGCUGCCUCGCAGGAUCCUUGUUGGUUGUGGGUUUUCUGGACUGAUACCAAACACAAUCGGAUCCCUUAGCCAGCUGGAAUAUCUGUAAGGAUAUCAAUUUCUUCUGUUUGCAACUUUUUAUGCUUAACGAAUUCAAGAUAUUGAGUAUUUGAAGAACUUUUAGUCCUUUAUGUUUUGUAUAAAAUUGGAAAUUUGGCAUGAGAUGAGUUGGAUGGAGUAACUUGGUCAGUGAGGAUUUAUAUAGCCGACCCCAACUUGUUUGGGGACUAACGCUUAGUUAUUUUUGUUGUUGUAGUAAUUCUUGUAUCCCUUUACGUUGUCAAACUGUGAAGUCUUAGAGCUUCAGGUCUCUAGAUAUGGUAUACUAGAUUGAAAUAUUUUUCCUGUUUCUUCUACUGGGCUACAUUUCUAAAAUACUAUCUGAAUCAUGCAGAUCUUUGAAUUUAAACAACUUUAUCGGACCGAUACCAGCUUCUGUUGGUAAUUUAUCAAAGUUACAUUGGCUGGACUUAGCUGAUAAUAAGCUCAGUGGACCUCUUCCAGUUUCACCUGGUCUAGACAUGCUUGUUCACACAAAGCAUUUGUGAGUAAUACUGAUUACUGUCAGUUUCUUAAGUAACACCUUCGUCUCUCAUUUUCAUCUGAUAUACCACUUACCUCGCAGUCACCUGGGGGGAAAUCAGUUCUCAGGUGAGAUUCCAGAUCAGCUAUUCAGCUCAAAUAUGACUCUCAAACAUUUGUAAGUUCCACUGAACUGGAAGUGUAUAUAUUUUUGAGAAUUAUUUGAUGGAUCAACUUCAUUAUUGUCCCACUCCAACGCUAUGGUGCUAGCUCUGACACUUGUUGCAAACUACACCCGUUUGGCUAAUGGUUUCUUCUGUUUGGGUCUUGUAAUUGCACAGGCUGCUUGACCAAAACCAGCUUACUGGAAAAAUACCCCCUUCAUUAGGACUCGUGCAGACUCUGGAGGUGGUGUAAGUAUUUCCAAAAUCCAUCAUGCUCUUAAAGAAUUCUAAUAAGUGUCCAUCUUUCUUGCUUUUGAUUACCUGGUGAAGUUUUAUUAACUAGAUACCCAUGUCCACUGUAGUCGUCUUGACAGGAAUUCAUUAGACGGAUCGAUUCCAUCAACCCUCAAAAAUCUCGCACUUAUGAGUGAACUGUGAGUGGACAAGCAUUAUGCUAAUAUAAAAAAUCCUUUUUAUGAGUGUAUCAGACCAUCUAUAAAUUUUCCGUAUCACUUGCAGCUUCUUAUCAAACAAUAAAUUCACUGGCCCCCUGCCCAAUCUUGCUGGCAUGAAUGCCCUCUACUACUUGUAAGUUCCUUGAAACUCUUUUCUGCUAAGAAAAUGCAGCAAUCUUGAUAUUGUGAUAAUUACAGAUUAUGUCUUUCGGUUACUUUAAUUUGAUUUUGUUGCCUAUGGUCAUGUUUUGCAGAGAUAUGAGCAAUAAUACAUUCAGCUCAGCUGAUUUUCCGCAGUGGUUUUCAACUUUGCAGUCAUUGACGACUUUGUAUCUAUCUCUCUCUCGCUUUCUCUUUUUCUCUUAACAUGCAUGUGUGUAUCUGUCCCUGAGUUCACGUGCCUCAGCAGAACUCACAUGCGUCUGAGUGUAUAUGUUAUCCUAAUGAAGUGGUUCAUAGAAUUUGUUAUGCACCUCAUUUGUAUUUGUUCUGCUCAUAGGGUAAUGGAGAACACUCAACUUCAAGGAGAAAUUCCGCCAACCCUCUUCAGUCUUUUUCAGUUGCAGACUGUGUGAGUGUUCUUUUACUUUUAGUACAUGGUUCAUGUCAUGCAACUAUUCUCAUUUUCGCUGUGUGCUAGUCUUGUACAAAGUUUGAAAGGUAGUACAAAGUGACCUAGUAUAUAAUUCUAUGUUUUGCAUUUCGAUUUUACGACAAUGAGGUGGUUAUUUAUGACAGCAACUUGAGGGGAAACAAGAUCAAUGGAACCCUGAAUAUUGCAUCCAACUAUAGCAGUCAAUUAAAACUGAUUGAUUUGCAGAACAAUUCCAUCGAUGCAUAUACAGUAAGACCUGGAUUUCCUUUUCAAAUAAUGUAAGUCCUCAAGCCACUUUUUCUCCACUUUAGCAAUGAGAAAGAAAUAAUGGAUCAUUCAUGUUAGGACAUUUGAUUCGUCUGAAUACAAUUUAGUCGUUUAACAAUCUCAGUUUUCUACUUGGUCACUUGGCAGACUUAUGCAUAAUCCAGUUUGUUAUGAAGAAAGAUCAGAAGACUAUUGUGGCAUUUCCCAAACGAACUUUGUAUAUUCAACUCCACAAGAAAAUUGCCUUAAAACACAAUGCAGUUCUGAUCAAAUUCUUAGCCCUACCUGUAAAUGUGCUUAUCCGUACACAGGCGACUUAUUCUUCAGAGCUCCUUCCUUUUCUGACUUGACAAACACAAGCAUUUAUGAGUCACUUCAGAAGUCUAUGCUAUCUUCUUUUAGCCCAAAUCAGGUGCCAGUAGAUUCAGUUUCCUUGAGUAAUCCAAAAAAGAACUCAGAGUACUACCUUGUGUUGCACCUGCAAGUUUUUCCAUUUGGCCAAGAUCAUUUCAACCGUACAGGGAUUGCCACAAUUGGAUUUGCACUUAGCAACCAGACUUACAAACCCCCACCAAAGUUUGGACCAUUCUUUUUCAGUGGUGAAAGCUACAAAUACUUCGAAGGUGAUUGGUCAUUUCAUUUCAUUGAUAUGUAAAUGUAUUUCCUAUGCACAAGUUUCAUCUGAUAGCCGUACUAUUAGUCGUGGUAUUACUCUUGUAGUUUAUUGCCCUUUGAGUUAGGUUAUCGUCUAUAGUUUUUUUACACUUCGAUAUAUUGUUUUCAGUUGGAUCAAGAGGAACUCACAAGUCAAUCACUAAAGGAAUUAUAAUUGGAGCAGCUGCUGGUGGUGCUGUCCUUUUAAUUUUAUCAGUAAUAAUAGGAGUUUUAGUUUGCCAAAAGAAAAGAGAUCAAGAAGCUAUUAGAAAGAGUAACCCUUUCGGUGUGUUCUGUUACUGUUCUUUAGUGUUGCUUCUAACUUUUUAUUUCGCUGAUGGUUAUCGUCUUUUUUAUCUGUCCAGCUACAUGGGAUUCUAUAAAAGACAGCGGUGGUGUUCCACAGUUAAAAGGUGUCAAAUGUUUCACAUUUGAAGAGUUGAAAAAAUACACCAAUAAUUUUUCAGAAAGCAAUUACAUUGGAUCUGGUGGUUAUGGGAAGGUUGGUUUCUAUUGACUUUUGAUAAUACAAUGUUAUAUUAUGAUGACUGGUUAAAAAGCUGUUGCUUUAAUUCUAUCCAUACUAUCUGCACCAUCUUUCGGGCAAGCUAAAGUUAGUUGAUCACUUAAAACUUCUCGUGAACUUACAGGUAUACAAAGGCACACUUCCAGAUGGACAACUUAUUGCAAUUAAAAGAGCAGAACAAGCAUCUAAGCAAGGCGCCCUCGAGUUUAAAACUGAGAUUGAGAUUCUUUCAAGGUUUCAUCACAAAAAUGUUGUCAGCCUUGUAGGAUUUUGUUUCAGGCAAGGUGAACAGAUGCUGGUCUAUGAGUUUAUACCAAAUGGAUCCUUGAAAGAGAGUCUUUCAGGUAUUUUGAACUCUCAUCGACUGUUGUUUUGAAAAUCAGCUGUAGGUUGGAAUGUCUGGGCAUUGAUAAGUUAGUGUUAACUUCUGCAGGAAAGUCCGGGAUUAAGUUAGAUUGGAAGAGGAGACUUCGGAUAGCCCUUGGAGCAGCCAGAGGUUUGCAAUAUCUUCAUGAUCAUGUUGACCCUCCUAUCAUCCACAGAGAUAUCAAAUCGAAUAACAUCUUGCUGGAUGAGCGCUUGACUGCAAAAGUUGCUGAUUUUGGUCUUUCCAAGACGAUGUAUGAGCCAGACAAGGGUUACGUCAGUACUCAGGUUAAAGGAACAAUGGUAAGUCCAGACUUUACAAAUGUUGUCAUAUGGUAGCAUUUCUCAGUUUCUAUAUUUCUUAAGUCACUGGAAACUCCUGUCCUUUAAUAGUUAUAGACUGGUGAUCGUCUUGGUUCAAUUCUUAAAAGUUAACACUGAAGUUGCGUCCUGAUCAAUUACACAUUGUGCUGAACUUAUGUAUGUAAGUUCAUACAACGAAAGGAGUUCAUUGGUUAAACUGCUUAAAAAGACUAAAACAACAGUUGAUUUGUAAUUUUCGCAGAGUAGAAAACUUGAAACCUGAACACUUGAUAUCAACAUUGUUUGAAGAAUCUGUAACAGAACAUUUAAUUAAUACGAGCUGCUUUGUACAUUUAUCGGCUUAGGGCUACAUGGAUCCAGAGUACUACACAACACAACAGUUGACUGAGAAGAGUGAUGUCUAUAGCUUCGGAGUUCUGCUGCUAGAGCUUAUAACAGCACGGAGUCCUAUUGUGAGAGGAAAAUACAUUGUGAAGGAAUUGAGGCAAGCGAUAGACAAGUCUAAAGACAUGUACAACAUUGAUGAGUUUGUUGAUCCUGCUAUCCCCUCAAACAUGACACCUAUAAGCUUCAGGAAGUUUGUGGAUCUAGCUUUCACAUGCCUCGAAGAUGCAGGAGCUAAUAGGCCAACAAUGGCUGAGGUAGUGAAAGAGAUUGAGAAUAUCAUGGAAAUAGAUGGAUUGAACAGUUGUGCUGAAUCCAGAUCAACUUCUGUGAGCCACGAAGGAACCAGCGCAACCUUUGAUCAUCCUUACAGUGAGGAAAGCCUAAAUCGUUACAAUGGGGUCACCAAUUCGCGAUAAACACCAACUCUUCUCCUGGAACCAGGUACAUUGUCAUAGAAAUGGAAAGUGAUUCAAGCAACUGUUGUGCUUUUGUGUUAGCUGUGUACAUUCUGUGAACCUCUGUGUGCGGCGUAAACAGCCUUGUAUGUUUCAACUGUUUGCUUCUGAUAAUCCAGGAGCUAGACUCCGUGGAUUCAAAAUGAGUGAUUUUAUUGUACGUAUACAUUUUAAUUUUGAUUUAUUUUUACCUAUGUAUACAUAAUACGAAUCAAAAAGUAAUGCUUCAAUUGAACCUACACAGAACCACCCUAGAUCAGGAAAAAUUUAGGCUGUGUUGAAACUUGUCUAAUCUUUAAAACUCUACUGCUAUCAUCGGUACGACUUUAACCAAUUUGUUUACCCAAAAAACGGUAUAAUUGAAUUUAUACGAGGUCAAGAGUACUAAUUAAUCUAACUCUGUGAUACUUCAAUUACAAUUGUGGCAUUUUGGUAAUUCAUUAUACAUUUCUUUUUUAUUUGAAAAGUCUAAUAAGAAUAGGUCAAUACCAAUUUGAUUGAUUAGUUGACCUGCUAAGAUAGUACAGGUAAAUGACUGACCCCAUCUCAUAAAAACCUUAAUUAUGAUACCGAUUUAUGAUGGGACAUAUAUUGUCUACUAUUAUCUUUGUAAGUCAAUUCGACUCAUUUUUUAAGUUCGUUAAAUUUAAAAUAUUUUUAAAAAAUUAUAGUACAAAUUAUGGCUUUUCUUAGUUUAAUUUGAUAAAAAAAAUUAUAUUUUCAAAUAUUGAUCAAAGUUUAUCUUAUUUGACUCUCGAAAAGGCUGGGGCAUAUUUACUAUGCAAAAUACAGUACAUAUGAACCCAUGAUCUUCUCCAAUAAAAUGUCAAUUCUCAAUUAAUCAUGCUAGUUGGAAACUAGAACUUUAUAAUCAUAGCAACCACUUGUGAAAUUAAUUAAUGAGUGGAUCCAUAUUAUAAAGAUGCUCCUGUUAUCAUAUUGUCUCUCCAACUUUUAAAAAAGGAAAAAUCUUUUUGGCCAGAAAAUUUUGUCAGAAUUUGAUCAAAUGAUAUUUUUCUAUGUUAUUUUAAUUUUUUAAACAUUCUUACCCUUUUAAAUUAAAUACAUUUUAACUAAAAAUAGAAAAAAGAUCUAUUUGUUUUAAAAUAAAAAAGAUAUUAUAGUUUUUUUAAUUUGCUAGCCAUUUAGCACUUCUCUUUUAAAAAUAUCCACAUUAUGAUAUUGAAAAUUGUUGGACUUGAUUAUUUUGACACAUACUCGCCAAUGACUAGGAUUACGUCAAUUCAGAUGUUAAUUGCCCUAGCUUCAGUAUAUGAUCUUGAAAUCCAUCAAAGGGAUGUGAAAACCACCUUCUUAAAUGGAGAGCUGGAGGAAGAGAUUUACAUGGAACAACCUGAGGGCUUCGUAGUUCUCGGUAAAGAAAAGAAAGUAUGCAAACUUGUUAAGUCACUUUAUGGACUAAAACAAGCACCGAAACAAUGACAUGCAAAAUUUGAUCAAACCAUGUUGUCAAAUGGAUUUAAGAUCAAUGAAUGUGAUAAAUGUGUCUACAUUAAUGACACUCCAAAUCAGGAGGUCAUUGCAUGUCUAUAUGUGGAUGACAUGCUGCUAAUGAGCCAAGACAUUGCUAAUGUAAAACUACUAAGCGUAUGCUCGCUAGUAAGUUAGAUACGAAAGAUUUAGGAGUUGCCGAUCUUAUAUUAGGAAACACUUCCUUUAGUUCUUAAAGGAAAAUUGAUGUGAUUGAUAAUAUUUUUGGAAAAAAUUUAUUUAAUCAAUCUCAUUAAUUGAUUUCCUUUCUCUUAUAAAUUAAUUCAGGAUGUUAGUUAAUUAACAUAAUUAAUUUCGCGUAACGAAAUUUAUUUGAAAUUCGCGUGUAACGGUAAAAACGUUCUGAAGGGACCUGUUCCUUCUGAAAAGGCGUUACUUUUCCCAAAAAGACACAACGUUCUGGAAAGAUACCAUUGUCCGAACAGACGUGUUCCUUGCUGCAAAUGGCUAUAAAUAAGAGGUCUUUUUCGUUUUUCAUUCACUGAAAAACUUUCCUCUCUGCAUAUAUUUUCUUAUAUAAACAAAUUGUCGAUCGACUAAGUCUGUGUGUGCUCUCGUUACUGUUCUUGCGUUUGCUGAAAUUAUUGAAGUUUGAGGUACCGCUACUUCUCUAAUGGAAAAAUCACCCCAUAUACACAUUUAAAAGUAAAUAUUACGAGUUUUAAGCCUACUUUUAAAAAUUUCUUGAUUAUAACAGAAUAUUUACUGGUUAUGACAUAUCAAUUAAAAUUAUUUUUAUUUUUAUUUUAAAUUUAAAUUAUAUUUAUUUAAUAAAUCAUUAAUAUAUUUAUAGGUUUUUAAUAUUAGUUAAUAAUAGAUAAUUAAUUUGUUUUUUACUUCCUUUUUUAAAAAGAAAAUGUCAAUUACCCAAAUUUAGGGAUUUACUCAAUAUCUUUUCCUUGUUUACUGUUACCCUCACCAAUCGUACACCCCACCCCCACCCCACACGUUUCUUCACUCACACACACCUCAACCCACCACCGACUAUCAUUCUCUCUCCAUUGUUUCUCAUCUUCUCCAAAAUCAAACCGCCAAAACCCACCAACACUCCAAAAUCAAACCGAUUAAUCAUGUCUAAGAAAUCGAUGGAAACUCCAAGAAAGAGCCCCAGAUUUGAUGAAACCUUAAUCGAUGAUGCUCAUGCUCCAUCCUUUUAACAUACUGUCUGAAGAUGGCGCGAUUAGCAAAAGCGAAGUUACGGGGACAGUUGCUAGCAAAUAUGGUGGACCUCGGAUAGCAAAAGAACACAUUCCGGAUACAAUCGAUUAUCCUACACCAAUACCACCGAUUAAAAAGUCGAAAUAGUUGGUUGGAUAAUUAUUAUUUUUUAACUUUUGGAUAAUUUUUUCAUGUUUAACUUUGGAUAAUUCUUUACCGUUUAAGUAUUUGAUGAUAUAUACUACAAUAUGUUAUCAAAACAAUUGAUUGCACCUUUUUAUUCUUGUUUGAGUGUUAUAAAAUAGUUAACAAUGUGCACAUAGUGUCUGGUAUGAAUUUUUUUUUUAUAAUGUUUGGGUUUCAUAAGUUCAGGACAAAAUUACUAUACAUAAUUCAUACAGCUCGGAUACACUAUCUUUUAAGCAGUAAUGUGUAUAUUGAAUGUAUGAAACAGGUAUGAAAUACCAGUUAUAUCAAUAUGAUUAUGAAUUUACUAUUAAAAACGCGAAUUGUGCUCUCGUUACUGUUCUUGCGUUUGCUGAAAUUAUUGAAGUUUGAGGUACCGCUACUUCUCUAAUAGGUUAAUCCGUUUUAUCUUGGAAGGAAUUAAUCUGCAACCUCAGAUACUUGAGGGGAUUAAAUUUCUUAAGAAAAUACAGUGGAUUCUGUGGACUCGAAUUAUUAUUUAUGUCUGUUUCAUCUAUUUUUAUGUUUCUGUUUUGCUAACCUCAAUAGAGGACAUAACAGAAACUCCAAUUCAGCUAUCAAUGGUUAUUUACUAAGGUAAUGAUUCAAAUUUUCAAAAAAAUUCUUAGUACUAAAAAAUAUGCCAUGGUCCUCCCCUCCCAUUUAAUUCAAACAGUUAAUAAUUUCCUUUUCCUUUUCAUUUUUUGGUAGUGGAGGAUGGCGAUUUUUUCUAUUGCGAAUUAGUGGGAAGUUUUCCCAUCUUAUUCCUUCGAACUAGCUCGUUAUAAAAAUACAUGGUGAAAAAUAGAUUUUUAUCGAAAUACUGAGAAUAGUGAUUUGAACAUUUUUUCUUUUCUCACUAACUCAAUCAAAAUAUCUAUGAAAAUAGUCACCGAAUAUUUUUAGUGGAAAAUUUCAAUGAAGAAAUAAUAAUUUUUAAGUAGUGGAUUUCACUUGUGAUCAAAGAAGUUCAUAUUUAUAUAUUCAAAAACUAUAUAAUAUAAAAAUUACUCACUUCUCUUCUCAUUUUUAUGCUUUUUUUUUUUUUUUUUGGUUUGUACAAAGUAGUAAUUAAUCAAGUACUAUCAUCACUAUUGGUAGGGCUAGAAAGCACUUGCUUUUUAAGGUUGUCAAUGAUCAUAACCAACUUUGUGUUCAACCGAUUCACGAAGCAUUUUGGUAACCAUCCUGCUGGAUCCAACUGCAAAUUUUCAUCCAAAAAAAAUAAAUUAAUUUCCAUUUUUAUUUAAUGAAAUUACAAAAUAUAUAUACGCAUAAACUACGGUCAAUAAAACGAAUGAAAACUAUAAUUCAACUGACAAAAAAAAAGAAAUACUCCAUCAGGUAAUUAAUUUCUCUUAUCUAUCCAAAUUUUGAAAUAAUCGAGAUAUGUGCGAAUUGACAUUGAACAUUACCUGGACAACGUAAGUGACCAUGCAAGAAUCAUGGUCAAUUUUCUCAACAACCCAUCCAGAUUGCAACAAUAAACCUCUUAUUGCAUUGUUUUGCUUUGGGUGCAAACCUGCUGCUAUCUCUUUUGGAAGUGAAGCUACUGCUACUACCUACAACAUUAAUUAACAUUUAACAAAAAAACAUCAUAUGUGCGUUUGUUUGUUAUCAACUUGCAAUUAAAAUAAUACGUACCAGUGUUCCAUCAUCCAUAGUUUCACGACGUUCAUAGACAAUAAAUUCUCUGUUUCUGAAUAAAGGCUUCGAAUUUUCCCCAAAUCUAAGACGUAUAAUACUCAAAUUAUCUUCCAAAUCCUUUAUGUAUCUUGCUUCUACUAAGUCCCCGUCCCAUUGCUGUCAUUUUCAUUCAUCAAACAAUAAACUAAUUUGAUCGAUAAUACUUGUUAUUUUAGAAAAUGCGCGAUAAUUUAUUCAAACUUACCCUUGCAGCAUCGAUGGCGUUAGCUACGGUGAUGAAUUGUUCAGGAGAGACAGAUUUGAGUAACCAACGGCUACGGAAAGUGUGAAGUGAACCUGAACGGCGUUUAGAUAUCUCAACGCCGUUAUCUACGCCAAGUAUUUUCCAGCCAUCGUUACAACUUUUUGAAUCUGAAGCUGAUAAUAAUUCUUGGAUGCAAUUUUCACUUGCAUAGAACACAUAUCUUCUCAAUGAGUCCUCACUGAUUGACCUAUACAACAAGUAAACAACGAGUCUGAACGACAACCUACUUGCAAAAGUUGAACUUAUAGACAUACGCGUGACAUAAAUAAAAAAGUAUGUAGUAGUAUAACUUACCAUGAUCUACUACAAGGAACAGGACUAGAAGUAAGAUUACUCAUCUUGAGCCACAAAAAGGAUAUAUGAGAGAGUUUUAUUUUAGUUUUGUUCCUCAAACUCAGGGAAAAGAUAGAUGAAUUUAAGGAUAUAUAUGGUUGAGAGGAGGGUGGGGGGUUGUUAGAUCAAAGUACAAUGUUAGAUUGUUUUGAAAGAAAAGAAGGGGAAUUGGUUAAUAUAUUACUAUAUGUGUGUAAUGUUUAAAUAAUAAGUGGGAAGAGUUGAUUGUUGCACAUGGAAUGCCAGAGAAAACUCCAUGAUUAAAAUUGCUAGUCAUUAUCUCCACUCUUCUUUCAAUUUUUCUCUUCUCUUUUUUAUCUCUUCUAAAAAAAACUCCAUGAUUAAAGAUGUUUAUUGGUUUCGACUACUGCACUAUUUUGUUGUUAUUCGUAUUCUUUCUUUUAUUAGUUAUUAUGUUUGUCAUUGUUUUCUUUUUCUUUAUAUUUGAAAUUGCUGCACUUGAGUCGAAGGUCUUUCGAAAACAGUCUUUCUACCUCGCGAGGUAAUAAUGGUAAAGUCUGAGUAUACUUUAUCUAGGUAUGUUGUUGUUGAUGAUGUUGUAAUAUAAAAGAGGCUACCAAACAUGCCAUGUGCAUCGUCAUCCCCACUCUCUUAGCCCUUUGUACCUCUUUUUUCGAAUAAAAUUAAAGAAUCUUUUUUUUUUUGUUUAAAGUCUACAAAAGAAAUGAAAUGAAGAAAAAGACUAACAACUAAAGCCAGACUAAUAUUGUUGAGAAUUCAUUUAUUUUUCUACCCAAACUUGCUUUGGCUAUGGGUGACAACAACAUACCCCAAAGGUUCCAUCUUUUAACUUUGGUCCCCUCAAUCACGUGCCACUUAGCUAACUCACAAAAAAAAAAAUUGUAACACAAACAAAAACAAAAAAACCCUAAGACAAAACUUAAAUUACUUUUUUUCUACUAGUGUUGGAAUUUGUUAUUAUAAAUUUGAAUCCAUUCAAAGUAGUAGAAUAAUUCAGCAGUACCGUAGCCAAAUCAGUUCUCUGUACUUAUUAAGUAAGACAAUUUCACUUAUUACUUUAUACUAUUUUUAUAACUUAUCUUUUCAGUGAUCGAAAAAAAAUAAUCAGUUUUGGAGCUAUUCUUCUGAAUUCUGAUUCUCACACAUUGACAGAGCAUGGAGUGGGAAGGAAUUCAAGAAAGCAUCAACAAUCAAUCUUUUUAAAAGCAAAAAUAUGCACCAUUUUGGAUUUGAUCAACAACAACAUACUCGAUAUAGUCCCACAAAUUGGAUCUGAAAAGAAUAUCAUGCAUGUUAUCUAUGUAAAAGAUAGAUGAGUCGUUUCUGGCUGACCCUCAACUCAAGUAAAACAUAUCAAAAUCAAGUAUCAUAACAAAAUACUGACGAUAAGAAUAUAGUAAUAGAAGCAAAAGAAACAACAUGAAAUAAUAAAAUUGAAGAAAAAAAUUAGGAGAGUAAUAAUAUCAAAUACUAAUCGAUUGAUGAAAAAAUAAAUUAACAAUCAUUCCUAAAAUUUUGUUCUAUGUAAAAAGGAAAAGUCUUAUCAUAAAGUUCAAUAUGUCAUGGUUAUUAACGGACCCUUGUUAAUCAUAAAUUUUUAAAUAAGUGUCCGUUAACAAGGGUAAUCUAUUGUUUUAAUCAUUACUUUGAAUUUAAAAACAAAAAAGGGGCCAUGAUCCAUUUAAUCUCAUUGGAAAUCUAAAGCAGGUAUAAUAAUUAUCACCAUAGGGUUUCUAAUAAAUGAAUUAAAUUACCCAAAAAGACGGAUACUAAUAAAUCAUUUCAUUUAAUGGUUAUUAUGAAUCCAUCUAAGCAAAAAGAUGAAUUUUCUAAAAGCAAGUGUGGGAUCAAGAUAAUUAAUUGAGCAAGCCUUUGGCUUUAAGGCUAUUCACUGUAUCCUUAAUUGCAUCUUCAACUGGGGUGAAAAUUAGUCCCAAAUCAAUCAAUUUUUUAGCAGCAUCUUUGCAAGCCACCAAGCCUGGCUGGGUCUCCCCUGUGAACCUGUAUUCAAUUUUAUCCACUAUUAUUGGAGACAAGACCAGACCAAUCAUACAAAAAGGUAUCUAAUAAAAAAUGGUAUCUUAUGCAAUUGAAACUAAGACAUGAAAGAAAUUCUCAAAGGGGGCAAUUAUAACAACUUAUCAAACAUAUCCAGUGUAAUCCCACGAGAGGAGUCUGGGGAGGUAGUGUGUACGCAGACUUUCCUACCUUGAGAGGUAGAGAGGUUGUUUCUGAUAGAUCCUCCGCUCAAGGACAAGUUUAUCAAAGCAGUUCGGAAAAAGCAAUAACAGAAGUGAGGAACUUUCAAUUUGAUUAAAGCACAUUGAAUGCUAAAAAAAUGAAGCCUAGAGUCAACCUGGUUAUAAGUCAUAGCUAAAUAAAUGCACUGAGGAAACAUUUCAAUAGAGGCACAUGGUAGUUAGGAGCAAUUGGAUGGUUGAUAACUAAAAUUUAUAAUGUACUAACCUCAGUAUACAUUUGAAAUUCAGUUAUCAAAUAAAGUUAAGCUGAUUAUGCAGAGACCCUGAUACAAAUCAGGUCGACCAUGAAUUACAAAUUACUUAAAACAACAUAUUAACGAGAUUUACAUAUGACUAAAAGAUGCUGAGGCUGAACUUCAGCAAUAAGUCUCAGUCGUAAAACUAUUCAGGAUAACGAGAAUAGAAUCACUAAAAGGAAGGAUAAGCUGAAUAGGUAACAUGGAAGGUGACCAGUGGGACUUGGAAUGCUAUAGAUGUAGCUAGCACUUCAUAGUGGGGUUUCUUUGGGUAGCCUUACAGUUUUAAAGUGGGGUUGUUAAAGGCCUGGAUAACAUAAAGGUGAUCUUGAUUCUUGACAGUUGUGACUUCUGAAUGUGUGUUGUGCAAUUAAAAUUCCUUUGAAGCUAAUACUUGAGGUGGGGUCAGGUAAGACCAAUUUGUAUCUAUACUCCUGCAAGUUAGGUAUCUACUGCACAUGUUGGUUUUCAUACCGAAGAAGUGGAAGGCUGUCUAUAUCACACCCCUUGGAGUGCGGCCCUGCCCUGUACCCUUCUAACGGGGGAUGCUUUGUACACCGGGCUGCACUUCAUACCAAAGUGUAGAAUGGAAGCUCCUGCCACCCCACUACUAUAAACCAUGUCGUAAUUGAUUUUACAUUAAAUGAAAUACUAUUGUCAUGUAAUAAUCACUUCAUUUUGCACAAGAUUUUUCUAUUGAGUAUAGUAUAUUAAUCUCCCUCCUAUUUUUAUUGACCUACUUCCAGUGUACCACCAACAAUUUAUAUGUGAAUAUAAACUAAUACUUCUUUUAAGCUAUUCAAGUUAAAUGUCAUAUGUUCAUGAUUCAACUUAAUGCUGUAAGCAAUUUUAACCAUAUUCAGUAUAAAAUCCCAAUCAAACAGUUCACUGAUAUUUGGAGAGUCUAAGGUGGUUGGUUGAGGGGAUGUAGGAAGUAGCUUUAAAUGACAAAAAAGGGAGUAAUUAGUUGAAAAGUUGUUUCAUCUUUUAAAUAACAUAAACUAAUUUUUCAGUUGAGGAGUUGGUGUGCAGAAAAAGUUAGUCAGCAUUUAUUUGGGAAAGGCCAAACAAAAUUAAGAGUUUUCCAACGAGAUGGAGAGAGUAUUAAACUAUUGAGGUAGUAAUAGAAGUGACUGUCUAUAUGUUAUGCCUGAAGAAAAUCUAGUUAACAAAACUUCGUUCCCAAGUUCUUCAGGUGGAGAUCAGUUCUUAAUGACUCAAGCUGCUCAUUUCUUACUGUUGAAUUGUAAAACAACAUCGAAAUUUAAGUUUAUCAUCAUUCAGUUAAAGAUAGCAUAGCUGAAUUAUACGCCUUUUGAGUAACAGAGGAGAACAAAUAACUAGUUGGCUAUGUCAAAUCCAGUGUUGAUAAAGAUUAAAUGUUAUUAGCUGAGACGAAGACUGGACUGGAUUAACAGAUGUAAAAACAUCCCUUUCAAUAUAUGUCCUAUUUUUGCAUAUAACAGAAGAUUAAACUUGAGGAUAGUUACGAUAGAGAGAGAAGCAAACCUGUAGACAGAGAAUUCAGGAGAAAGUUUUGAGACUCUGUCAGCAAAAUCACCAAACUGGUAAAUGCCAUUGGUACAUAAGUAUCUUCCAGAAGCACGAGGGCUCUCAAAUAACAAAAUCUGUGCCGCUGCCACAUCUUUGACGUGCACAGCCCCUAACCAAUGAUACUCUUGGGUAUCUGUUGAUCCCUGAAGCAGUUGUUGCAAAACAGCGCAGCUUGCAUUCAGUCCAGGUUGCAGAAGUUGACCAAGACAUGUAGCUGGAUUAAUUGCUACCACAUCCAAUCCAUUCUUCUCCGCAAACUCCCAUGCAGCCUUCUCAGCAAGUGUCUUUGAGACUGGGUACCAUUUCUGUCAUUGAACUCAAUUAUGAUUUAUAAUGUUUAAGAGCUCUUCGUCAUGCAUGAGAGGUAAUUAUAUCAUACUAUAUGUCAAUGGGGGAAUCAGGAACGGUAAGUUUUGAAUCCUUGCAACUUUGUUUAAAAUAAAAGUAAAUUUAGAAGUCAAGGAAAUCAAAUAGAAAGUGUCCAUUUAUUAGGACAUGGUAAAUAAUUGAGUAGAUCACUCAACAAUAUUGGAUUAUACUACAUUAUUAGAGAAGUGGAUUAUGCAAGCAGUAAUCUCGAUAUAAGCCUAAAGCUCUGCAAUAAGAAGUUUUAACAUGUUGAUUCUCAAUUACCCAAAAUACUUCAAUUGGUACACGCACGAAAUAGGCUAAUUAAACAGUCUUUUGUUCAAUCUCUCGUGGAGUCAAAGGAGUACUGAUCCCCUAAAGCGAAGGUAGUGUUCUUUUAAUUAUUAUAAUUAAUCGCUCACCUCCAGCUGAAACUUUAAUUCCCUACUACUUGUGGCAUAUUUGGUUAACAAGGAAUGAUAAUCUCUUUAAUAAUAAAAAAAACUUCCUAUUUCAUGUACACGGGCUACUCAACAAGCCACAGAAUAUCAUUUUUUGGCUAGGGCAUCAACUCCCAAGGUGCCUAGAACCCAAUUACAACUCAAAUGGAUACCCCGAAACCAAAUUAUUAUAAACUCAAUACUGAUGGGGCCUUUACAAAUAUGUCGGAUAGUGGAGGCAUAGGAGGAGUUUUUAGGAACACAGAUGGUCAUUGGAUACUAGGCUACUGUAUGCAUAUUCCAUAUACUACUAUCACUGAAGCUGAACUAAAGGGUCUAUUCCAUGGCCUAUGCUUAGCUAUGCUUAUGAACCUAUCUCCAAUUCAAGUGGAAAUUGAUAUAAAAGAGGUAAUCACAUUGCUAUCAUCUUCCAAUGCAAAAUAUGCUGAUAUUUUACUUGAUUGCAGGUCCACACUUCGACAAGUCUGUGAAACACUCGUCACUCACAUUUACAGGGAGCAGAAUCAGGUAGCAGAUAGUCUAGCUAACCAUGGAGCAACAAUGGAGCUUUGACUACAUUACCACUUUUUGAUAGCCCAACCCCUUUUACAGAAUCGAUGGUCGAAGCAGAUAGUCUAGACACCACUUUUUGUCGACAAACAACUUUUUGUAACUUACCAACUGAUAGUCUAACUAGUGAGGCAUGUAGUGCAUUUCACACUACAAUGCCAGUAACCUCUUUUUGUACUUCUAGAAUAGGGCCAUCUACUCCCUGUAAUGUUUUAUAUUAAUUAAUGCAACUCAUCUAUUUCUACCCAAAAAAAAAAAAAAAGUAGUGUUCCUCUAUUGGAAUGUUAAUUAUUGGCUCAAUCUCCUCUAGAUGUUUGUUUAACAAAACAUCAACUUUAUUUAAAGUCAAACGUGCUUUUUGUUUCUUUUUUAACCUUAGAUAACCCACAGCCGGCCUAAGGAUAAGCAUUUUGUGCACACGAAGUACAUAGCCUACAAACCACACCGAAGAUGUAAACCGCACUACAAAAGCUUUAUGCAACAGACUCAACUCUGAAGGGAUUGAGGUGGGGGACCGAUCCAUAUGGAUAACCACCCUCCAAACCCAAACCAACCGAGUCAUCCGAAGACGUGUUAAUUUUUUAUUAAUAGAACUAAUUCUUUUUUUUUUUUCAACAGCAAAGUUGGCGUUAUAAUUCAUUGAGCUGAAAUACGAUGUUUGGCAGCUCAGUUCCAGAAUCUAAAUAGACAAAAUGUAUUGCCAAACUGAAGCAGCUUUAUUCAGGGGUUGUAGCAGCAAAACUAAAGAGUAAUAACAUAACAUACAAAGACAUCUCUACGUUGUCUUGCACAAUUCAUGCGACAGCAAAGUUGGCACUAUAAUCCAUUGAGCUGAAAUACGAUGUUUGGCAGCUCAGUUCCAGAAUCUAAAUAGACAAAAUGUAUUGCCAAACUGAAGCAGCUUUAUUCAGGGGUUGUAGCAGCAAAACUAAAGAGUAAUAACAUAACAUACAAAGACAUCUCUACGUUGUCUUGCACAAUUCAUGCGACAGCAAAGUUGGCACUAUAAUUCAUUGAGCUGAAAUACGAUGUUUGGCAGCUCAGUUCCAGAAUCUAAAUAGACAAAAUGUAUUGCCAAACUGAAGCAGCUUUAUUCAGGGGUUGUAGCAGCAAAACUAAAGAGUAAUAACAUAACAUACAAAGACAUCUCUACGUUGUCUUGCACAAUUCAUGCGACAGCAAAGUUGGCACUAUAAUCCAUUGAGCUGAAAUACGAUGUUUGGCAGCUUAGCUCCAGAAUCUAAAUAGACAAAAUGUAUUGCCUACAAAUGAUGAUUAUGAAAAAGGCUAAAUAACGAUGACAUCCUCAUCUGGAUGAUUUUCCGGUGCGCCUUGACCUCUUGCCCUCAUCCCAGGCUCCAUAUCAACACCAUCAUGAUUGCUCCCCAGCAGAUCGUUCUUAUGGAAGAAUGGCGGUUCCCCACCACUUCCACUCUCACAACCAUCGGUGAGUUUGGCAAUCACAUCAAUUAAUGCUUGUUCAUGUUCCUUGAGCAUUUUCUUUGCCUUUGCAAGCUCAGCCAGAUCAGGGCGACUUGCAUCAAUAACCUUCUUUAUCAGUGUUGCUGUGUGCAGAAUCUCAAUUUCAUCUGAUGUCUUCUGUACGAUUCUAUUCUCUGAUGCAUUGACAUCAUUCUCAAAUUGUUGCCUAGCAAAUCUCCUCCCUCUUCCAGCAUUUAGAGUAUUAACUCCUCCAUAGCCUGGCCCACCACCUCCUCCUACUCGAGAUAUUCCAGGAUCACCACCUAUCCAACGAAUAUCCAUGGAGUGAAUCUCUUUGGGAUCAACCUAUUCCCAAGUUUCAUUUGGUGUAUUCAUAUCAUACACCAAAGCAUGCCGAGCAUCGACAGCGCUGUAGUCAGUUAUAAUGGCCUUGUAGAAGUUGUUGUCAUGUGGCCACCUAGUCAUCACUCUUCUCCCAAUCAAGGGGUCGUGGUGCGGUCUUUCAGCAAAUUCAGCAGAACGAAGAGCACUUGAAGAACCAGGACCAGCCUGCUGAUAAUGAACAGGCCUUGAAGAGGAGAACAGUUGCUGGCCAGGUCUAGACGUAAAUCCUCCAUUUCCUGGGGCUGCUGCCCAUUUUGCACCUGGAGUAGUAGGUUGCGUGCUUGCUGCAAUUGUCUGAUGGUGCAAGGACUCCAACGGGGCACCAAGUGGCACUAUCACAGAUUUUGUUGAUCCAGAAACUGUUGGACUGGGGAGUUGAUCUUGGUUUCCAUUGGUCUUUCUCCACUCCCUGAUACUAUGAAUACGGUUAUCGGCAUUGACGUUGGUCAGUAGGUCUCUGUGCUCAUCGUCUGAGUUGUGUUAUCAAGCUUUCCUUUUCCCAUGUAAGAGCAUCAGACUGUGCUUUGAAAGCUCGAAGGAUUGCACCAUAUGCAUCCUGCUCAAGGUUGUGAAUUUCGACUUCCAUAUCAACAUACAUCCCCUUUGGUAUGGGGAUGAACUUAUACUAGACCUACCGUUUCCACCUAUAUAUAAUACUAUGUGAUUGAGGCCGAUCAUCAUCACUACCCCUGCUGAUUUCUAAAAGUCCAUACACCGGAUCUUCAAGCUAUAUUAAUCUCACAAUUUCACAAAUUAAACGAAACGGCUUUCUCAUGCAGAAAAGAUUGUUGUUUAAUGCCCUUCAACUAAUUCCAACUUAUUUAUAUUAAUAAUAAUAAUAAUUUGAGUUUUACACCUAACAAAUUUUAAAAAGUUCAUUUUAACCUAUUUAAUUUCUAAGUAAUCAUAAAUAAAUUAAUUUUAGAUAUCACGUGAAAAGCACGUGUAUAUUGGUGAGAGAAUGACACCUGGCGAGACUUGCAGUAGUCAAGAUCAGUCCACGACGACUCAUCGAACACCUUAUUUUCCGGCCAACCAGGAUUGGGAACCAUGGCGGAAAUGGAGGAAGUGAGCACCACGCGCCGAACAUUAAACCUCUUCGCCGCCGUGAGCACAUUGAUCGUACCCUGUACGGCCGGCUCAACCAGCUCCUUCUGCGGGUCCACCGGAUCCUCUAGCGUACACGGCGACGCCACGUGGAAAACCCCACCGCCGCCGCAUCCUGCUAUUGCUCUGGAGACUGCAUCGGCGUCAAGGAUGUUGACUUCGUGAACCAAUAUUCGCACGCCGGGGUUAGAUGCGCCGGCGAGAGAGUGGAGGUGCGAAGGAUCGGUACCGGGGAAGAUGGCGGCGUGGAUGGUGGUGUAGCCGCGGUUGAGGAGCGUCUGAACCACCCAUGAACCGAUGAAUCCGUUGGCUCCGGUGACGCAAACCGGUGGUUUUUCGGUAGACAUUGCUGGAAUUGCGUAACAAACCGAUUAAUUGUUGAACUGUUCAGUAGUGACAAAAAGGAUAUAAUGAUAGCGAUGUGCUUAGUUAAAUGAAAUAAAAAUUAGUUAGGGAAGUAAUUAAUAUAAAUACGAAUUGGAUUUGCGUUAAGAGUUAUAGAUAAAACAAAAUUUUAUCCUUUAAUCCCAAUUUGAUUUAAUCCAUUAGAGUCGUAAUUUUUCGUUACACGUUGCUCCGAUAUUUGCUUAGGGAGUAUGAUUCAGAUAAACAACAAUACUUGUACUCUUUAUCUUUACAAUUAAAUUAGCACCGUUAUAAUUGACUGAUUUUAUAGAUAAGGAAAAUGAUCUUUUUUAAUAGGAUUAAAGAAAAUAAAUUUUAGUGAUAUUUUAUAUUCAUUGUUUAUACCCAUUUUUCAUUGCAAAAAAUAAAAGUUUUCAAGGCUAGCUAUGCUUAUUCGUUUCUGAGCUCAUGACAAUUCACUUAGACACCUCAACUAAGAUUAGUACCUAUUGAACACUUUUAUCUAUUUAAAACUUGUUCCUAUUAGAUAUUUUUCGAUAAUAAGUAAAACAAACAAAGUGUGUAAUACACUUGUUGUGAUGUGGCAAAAUGACAAAUUACAAGAUAACAUGUGGCGUUGAGCCCAACAAUUAUAGAAAAAAAAGAAUUUUUAUGUUAAAAAGAAUUAAAAUCAUUUCAAAUAUAUUUUUCAUCUAUUUUUUUAUUAAAAAAAAUAAAUGAGAAUCCCAACCCUACCCCAGCCCCCUUUCUUCUUCAUCUUCUUCCAAGCAAGAUUUUCUUUCUCAAACGAUAAAAUUCAAUUUCUUUGUUAUUUGCUUAUAUAAUUAUUUUUUAUUCCUAAUACAUGAGAAAGAGAUAUUCAAAGAGACUGAUACAAGAGUGAUGAAGAAAGUGAAUCUGUCAAUCGUCUUGAAAUCGAUAGCAAAGAGAAAUCGAGAGAACAUAAAUUAAUUUUAUCGAAUCAAUCUGAUAUUAUUUUUGAUAAGUUUAGUGGGUUUACAUUUUAAUUUGAAUGAUAAUAUUUGUUCGAAGGUGACUGAAAUGGACAUCGAUCGGCUAACUUUUUUCAGCCUCCCUCCAAAUUCAAUUAGCUUAUUCAAUUUUUAUUUUUUAAAGUUAAAAAAAAACAAUGAAGUGCACUGUCUUUGUGAAGAAAACGACUUAAAGGGGGUGGGGUGGUUUUUUUUUUUGUUUUGAUUUAAGAAUUAGUAUUACUUUUAAAAUUAUUCUUUAAGAAAUUAAAUUAUUUAAAUGCCAAGUGGCAGUCAAAGAAGAAAAAGUAUUAAGUUUUUUUGAAAAAAGUAAAAAUAAAAUAUUAUUUAAGAUUGUUUCACGCUCUUAGCGGAAGUGAAAAACACUUCUUUUGCCACAUCAACAUUUUGUGUUUAAUAGGUAUACUUUUUAAACAAUUAGGUGGUAAUAGUCAUAGUUGAGGUGCCUAAGUGAAAUAUGCGGACAACUUUAAGGGGAUGCAGAUGACUUAAACAACUACAUAGUCAUAUUAGUGUUUGUACAAAUAAAAUUUAACUUAUCAUAUCAAUAAAUAAAUUAAUAAAGUGAUAAUGUACAUUAAUUAACUAUAGUCAAGUAAACAAAGUGAAUAUGCAAAUAUAUAAAUAUACUUGGUAUAAUCACCAGACACGACUUAGUUUUUACAUUUGAAAACUACGACAAAGAAUCAUAGAUUAGGGUGGCAAAAUAGUCGUUCAAAUAACUCAUUCAUUAAUUAGAUCAAUUUAUUUUAGCUCAAUUCAAUUGAUAUGUAAUUGACUCAUAAGAAAUUUUGUUAAAAUGUUUUGAAAAUAACUUUUUUUUAUUUGAUAUGUUAAAUGUAGCGAUAAUAAAGACAAAAAUAACACUAAUUUUUUUAUAAAAGAAUAAUUAAAAUUGAAUAAGAAUUGAUCAUAUUGAAUUAUGAUCCAUAUUUUAACCAAUUUUUAGCACAAAUAACUUCUGGACAAAUUAUUAACCCAUCUAUUUAUUAUUAUAGCUCAUUGACCCACCCAAAUACGACUCGAUCUAGCCAUUUGACACCUCUAAUCAUAAAUAUUGAUAUACAAUAUUGAAAUUUUUCAGUUGAUUGUUUGAGGUUUGAAGAAGAGAUCCUAGAGGGCUACAAAAUUCAAUGGAUCGUUUCGUUUGGGUAUGCACUUGGGCUGGCCCAUUAGUCAUAACAACUACAAUAACAUAUUUCAUAUAGUAUUUCAUGAGUAUACGCAGAUCUUUUCAUUGUCUUGGUGGGGUAGAAUAAUUUUUUCGAUAGACUCUUGGCUUCAGAAAAUACAAGUGUAGAAGCUACGUCAAAAGAUUCAAAGAAAGAAAAUUACUGACAACACAAAUAUUAAAGAUAAUUAAAGAAAAAAAAAUUGCUAAUAGAGUCAACACAUGAGAAAAUGUUAGCAUAGUCCUAACUCCUAAGCCUCCAUGCUCUCUCAUGUAAAGUCAUAUCCUCGAUUAGCUAAUGACUAUUCAUGACUUUUCUAAUCAUCUCUCCUCAAUUUUUCUUCGAUCUCCCCCAACCUCUCUUCAACCCUCCUAUUGUCAACCUCUCACACCUUCAUAAAGGAGCACACAAGUGUUUCUUGUCUCCACAUUUCUGAACCAUCUCAACCUUAUUUUCCGUAUCUUAUCCACUAAUAUGGUUACUCCCACCUUGGCCCUUGACCCCUAUAUCUUAUUUCCCAUAUUGUCUCUUUUUUUUUCAAUUUUUUUUUAUCAUUUGUUUUCUAGUUUUUAAAUUUAAAAAGAUGCAACUGAAAAAGCCCACUUGUGCAUGGACCGCAUUUUGGGCUUGAACCCAGGAGUGAACUGAACCCAAUUCAAGAUGCUACUUAUAAUCGUAUUUCAUCUUAUUUCUGAGAUGUAAUUUCCAAAUAUGUUUGAGACGCGUCUUAUAAAUCAUAUAUUUGAGAUGAGAAUUAUAAAUCAUUGUUGUAAAUUUGAUUUCUAGAGGCUACGUAUAAAUUUAAAGGCGAAGUCACAGUUCUAGAUGAUAAAUUGCACUUUUAAAAUGUGAAUUGUAAAUCGCUAAUAUGUAUGAAUAUUUACUAAUUUGAUUUAUAAUUACCAUCUGAAAGUCCAAAUAAGUUGCAUUUCAUAAAAUGUGAUUUUUACAAAGUGGUGUUUCUCUCAAAAACUAAUCCUAGGAUUUAAGUUUUAAAAAUUAGUAGUCAUGUAAUGAUUUUCUUACCCUAUAUAUGCAGUGUAAUUUGAGAUGAUAUCUAGUAGGUUAUCUUGCAAUUUAUUCUAGGUUAUCAAAAGAUAAUGUUAUUAAAUAAAAUAACUGUAUUAUAUUUUACUAGACCGUAUCAUUGUAUACAUGUAUUUUGUACUACAGUUAAUGUAUAAAACUUAAACUCAUAGAAAUAUUAACUUUAAUUCAAAGAAAUCAAAAUUAAGUUUCCUCACCACCAUUUCACAAUAUGGUAGUAAAUCGACAAUCCAGACAAGAGAAAUUAAAAUCUUACUAUACUACAUUAUAUAAGACAAGCAAAUAACUUGUAAAGUUGUUUUCUACUAAUUUGUACAUUCUCACAUGGAAUGAAAAUAACACAUACAUCUGGGAUAAGACCAUCAAAGAAUCUGAUGCAUUGGGUGAGACUGCUUUUUUCUUAAUCAGAUGUUUCGAACUUGAGCAUCGAAUUUGGAUUAAUCAGGCCCUAAUACAAAUACUAGACACUGAAGGAAAACAAAAUAAACAAACAAACAAACAAAUAAGAGAAGAUAUAUAGUUGUACAUUAAUGUUGUGUCAAUUUUUAGCUGAGAUAGAAAAAAGGAAUCACGAGAUGUUUGUCUUCUUUGCCUAUCCCAGCCCAUUUGUUUCAUGUCACUAUUCUACUAACCUUUUGCCUUCCUAUGAAUACAAAGGAGAUCAAAUCGUAAUUUAAAGUUCUUAAGUUCAGAAUAAAUAUAAAUUUAUUUUUAGAAAAAUAUUAAAUUCAGAUGAACUCGCUUGUCAUGUUCUCUUAUAGAAGAAGAGCCAGUUGAGAGGCUUCACCUUUCUUUUCAUCGUCAUGCUUGCUUCUAAACACAAAGGCAGUUUCAAGUGCCAAAACAGGAGCAAAUCAACAUACCUGCUUUGGCACUUGUUUUGUAAUUUUUGUGUGGUUUCUUUAUUUUUAUUUGUUUAUCUUAUCUUCUAAUUAGUCUUUUACGUACUCCCUCCGUCCACUUUUAAUUGUCAUGUUGCGCUUUUUGAAAGUCAAUUUGACUAAUUUUCAAAGUUAAAUUAGAUUACGUUAAUUCAUUAUUUUAAACCAAAAAAAUUAGAUUUUCAAAAAACAUACGAAAAGUACAAUAAAUUGCAUUUUUUUUUGCAUAUCAAUAUGAUAAAAAAAUACAUCCUAAAAUGUUAGUCAAAAUUCUUAUAGUUUGAUUCGAAAAAAGGAAACCAUGACAAUUAAAAGUGGACGGGAGAAUAUAUUGAAAAAUUGCAUAAAAACAUUAUAAAUAGCUAUAGUACUAACAUUUACAAUAAGUAGAAACUAAAAAUAUUUAAAAAUCCAAUUAAAAAUCGAAUUAACUUUUUAAAUCAUUUAAAUUAAAAAAAAUAAAAAAUAUAUAUAUAUAUUAAGCCCGUGUUAACACGGACUUCUGAAUCUAGUAUUUAUACACCCAAGACAAAUAAGGAAUCGAUAAUGAAGUGAUGAGGGAAUUGGAGAGCAAUGAUAUGAUAAGAACAUUCAGAGAAGAAAUAAAGAAUUAAAUUCUGACAGUCAAAAGAGAAAUAAAUGAGUAUAAUGGUAGUACUAGUAUAGUCAGAGAGUCAAACAAACAUGUAAGACCUAAGUUUUAAUUAGCAUCGGUGAUGCAAUAAAUGAAACAAAUGGGCCACUCACUACAAUUAAAUCCCAUCGGUGGUUUUGGUCUAUGGGGUCCCCAAACGUUUAAUUUAAGGGUGGUUAGGUCAAGUAGUCCUCUUCUUUUUCGAUUUAAUUAUUCGGUACUAAAGUCCGACUAAUUCAGAUAUCAAAAAUAAUACUUCUAGUUUGGAGGAGAAUUAAAAAAAAUCAUUUUAUCAAAAAUUAAAAUAAUUUUUUUACUUAUUUCGAUCGGAGAAUCUAAUAGAGACGAUAUUAUAGAUAUUUUGAUCGAUGCAUUUAGAUAUUUCAUGUCCUUGGAGAUGCUUUGUAGAUGUGUGUAAGGUGAGCCAAUUGGGGAGAAUAUGCAAAGCGUUCUGUAUCGGAGGUUGAACUCAAGAAGAAUCUCAAUCAUCCCGUCACACUAUCUUUUGCUACAAUUAUCAUGUCCAUUUUUCUUUUUAGGUUUAAUAAUCUAUAUUAGAGUCACACACCGAAUGAAAAAGGGAUGAACGUACAGUUUCUUUAUAUAGUCUUGAGCAAUCCUCUUCUUUUGAGCUAGUUUUUGGAUUAAAUUUAUAUCCAAUGUCCAUUUCUUUAAUAAUAUCGAAGAUUACUAAUCAAUUAUUCAAAUUCAUGUUAUCAAGGGGGAGGAAAGAGUUUCUCAUAUUAAAAAAUGUUCUUCGAUCAUCGAGCUCGAGAUAUUUAAUUAAGGGGAAUUAAGGAACACUGAUGAUCCUAGCUACCACACCUCUGAGCUGCAAUAGUUUGGUCCACACUAAAAUCUAAAUCAACCUCAGUCACAUUAUUCUUUUUAUUUAGGUUAUCUUUUGUCAUAUGUUAUUAUUAUUAUUAGUAUAAAGUGUUCAAGCAGUCACUAUAUAUUAUCAACAAUUUGUGUGUAUAAUAGCAGCCGCAUUGCCCACUUGGCAUUAAAGGGGUUGGCAGAUAUUUAACCAUAACUUUGCUCUCAAUAUUGUUAUCGAUCAAUUUUGGUAAGUUAGUUACGUUAACGGAGAUAUAAAGUAAUUACAAUAGCAAAGACUAUAUAUUUCUUAUCCCGAAAUAAUAUGAAAUAAAUAUCAAUUUAUGACAAGAAAUAACAUCUUAGAAACUCCAUUUAUUCAAAUCCAAAUUUAUGUAGAAAUUAAAUUGUGAUAAUUAACGGUACUUUUUAUACAAACGCGUUUGCAAUUGGAAAUAAACAUAUGAAGUACACGUACAAAAGUACAUGUGGUUCAAUAUAAAACACGUUGUUUAAUUAUUACUUAGGUCUCUCGGACAACUUUUUUUGGCUAUGUACGAUUGAGAGAGGAACAAUUGGUGCUUAGAUCAUAAUCCCUUUUUUAUGGGUCAAGGACGAUAAGUUCGGUAAGGGAUAACGAUGAGAUUCAAACACAUAACCUUUAUCUGUCUGCUCUAAUAUUAUAUUAAUCGUAUUGUUGAAAAAAUUCAGGACUAUAUAUCAACUUGUGGCAGCACUAAAUUCACAAGUACAAAUUUGUAUUUGAUUUCUCUUUCUUCAGCCAAUAAUAUUCUUGCCCUAUUUUGCACGCUUGGUGCCGUUAUACGUAUAGUGAACUUUAUUGCAAGUUGGGUUUAUUAUGCAUGUAACUCUGAAAGCCUAGUUUCUUUUUUGGAUCAGCUAAUUUUUUCUUUUUAAAUAAAAAAUAAUAAUAUUUGCCUAUCAUAUUGUAUUAAAUUGGAAAACGUGCACUUGUUUUUCGACGAAAAUACAUUGUUAUUAAUAAUGUGAUUUAUGUUAUAUCAUUUGGAGGUUGUCAAAAAAAUGAAAUCAUAAAAGUGAAUGAGAAAAGUUUAACGUCUAUUUGCUUAAUGUUGUUUGUAUAAAGAUUGUGAUAUCUGAAUCUAAAUGAGUAUAUAAUGAUUAAGAUAUUAUUUCUAGAUUUGAAUGUUGAGUAAUUAAGGACCCGUUUGGUUAUGCGAUAUGGUAUCAUAAUAUGGAAUUAUGAUGUGAUAUCAUAAUAUGGAAUUAUGAGAUGAAAUUGAAGUUUUGUUUGGAAUGCGAUAUGAAAUUUUUGUGUUGUAUAUUUUCUCAUAAACCUAAGAAUUUCAUAAGUUGUAAAACUAUUAAAAUAGCCCCAAUUGUUUAUUCAAUCUUACCAAAUAAACAAAAAUUAUAAAAUCGCAUAAUAGAUUAUUACAAAGCUAUUUGUUCUCCACUUAAAUAACUCUUUCAUCUAACUUUAAUUCAAUAAAAGAAAUUGAACAUAAAUUGUAGUGUACUAGUCUUUAAUAUAAUCCUCCCACAUAGUACGGACAAUUUCCUCACGUUGAACUUGCAUUUCUCGAUCAUGUGACCGAGAAAACGAACCAACAUUGUUACUUUGAGUUGUAAUAAAUACAAAACGGUAGAAGUAAUAAAUUAGGUGUUGGAGUAAAUGAAGAGAACAAAUUUAUUACUCAACAAUCGGUUGGUGUGAGUUAAAGUGACUUAUAUGUUGGUGAGAAUAAUAAUUUUUAUAAAGUAAUGAUGUGAUUAUAAAUUUUAUUUAUAUAUGAAAUAAAUGGUUAGUAGAUAUAAAUGUGUGGUUGUUUUAACAAAAUAUAAACUUGUGGAUUAAUUUUUAUAUUAAAAAUAUCUCAAAUCAUGAUAUGAAAUUCACAUAUCAUGGUUUUGGAGAAUAUGGAAUCAGCAUAAAAUCGCAUGUCCAAACUCUGAUUCCAUCUCACGAUUCCAUAUCGUGAUAUGGUAUUGCAUGGCCAACGCCUACUAAGUCUAUACUAUCCGAUUUUCAACAUCUAAAUGAAUAAAAUUUAUUUAAAAAAUUAAAUUAUGUUCGCUAGUGAUAGUGGAGAUAGUUGGACCUAGUGGCUAGUAUGAUGGUGGUGAUAGUUAUGAUGGUGGAGGAGGUUAAUAUUAUAGUGAUUGUCGCGAUGGCGAUAGUUCAUAUAGUGGUGACGGUGAUUGUGAUUGUGUAGUUGGUCGUGGUGGUGGUGGUGACGACGUUGUGGUCGGAUGUAGUUGAUAGUAGGGAUUAGCCGUUGUGAUGUUAGUGAUUGAUAGUGAUGGUGGUGUCACGUGGUGGCGAUGACAACGGAGAUAAUGAAUAUAAAUUAUAGUAUAUGUGGUAUCAAUUGACAAUAGAAAUUGACAAUGAUGAUAAUUGUCAGUGACAGUUGUGAUAACAGAGGUGAUUGGUGGUGGCUUAUGCUGGUGGCCUAGCGAGAUGAUAAAAAUUAUCCAUACAAAAAUAUAUAUUUUAAUGAUAUGAAAAUCUUGAAGAUCUUAACGAUACAAGCAAAAAAGUGCAUUAAAUUUUAAUUUAAAUAUAUGCAUUUAGCCUAAAACGUGAAUAAUUAAGAUUCAAACCUCCAUAUUUCAAACAAUAAUACAUGAAUUGUAGCGUAAGUAUUAUUUACUAGUACUGUUUAUUAAGUUUGAUGCAUUAAAAAUCAUUACGCAAAUGCAUAUUUUUUAAGAUAUACUUUUUUUUUUUUCUCAAAAUAAAAUAUUGGUUAUUAGAUGAAGGGUUACAAACCAAACGUCCCCCUUAUGGUUGCCCUAGUUUGAGAAGAAAAAAAAAAACAGAAGGAAAUUAGGGUUGCCUUGUCUCUAGGCAUAUUUACAUACCCCUACAUUAAAUGUGUGACGAUGAGAUCAACAAUAUUGUUGAAAUUAAAAUUGACUAGAAUAAAUUAAGAAAGGGGUUUUAAUUUAUAUUUAACUGAUUGAAAGAGAUAGGCUUCAAGUUGAAGAAAAAUGCCAAUUUAGAUCCAAGACUUUGAUAUCAUUUCAUUAAAUUCAAAAUUUUAUUUUGGGAUGGAAACAUGGGAACUAAUUAAUAUCAAUUAAUAAAAAAUAUAUAUACAUAUAUGUGAAUUAUCUAGUAAAUCAGGUAGUUGGCUGCCCUAUUUGCUCAUUGUAAUUUUCUAGUAUCUUCAUUGUACGACAACAGCUAAUUUACCUACAUGCAACUAAUAAUUUUUUCAAUUUCUUUUUUUGGUAUUUGGUUUCAAUUCUUGAUGUAUUUUAUAUUUUUAUCGCUAUGCCACUAAAUAGUUGUGCGUUGAAUCUUCAGAUUAAUUCAAAUUUGUAUCGUGUAAGACCUGUUAUAAGAGAUCAAGUGUUUUUAUUAGAAUUUUUUUUUCAAUCUAAAGUUCGAACUCAAGACCUUUGAUUAAAGGUAUAUAGAGUAGUAGAGGAACAUAUAUAUCCAUCCCGCCACAAUUCUUGAUGAUGUUGUUCUUCAUAUCAUUGGUUUAAACUCAAGACCUUUGAUUAAGGGUAAAAGAACGUACAUAUUCAUCCUGCCACAAUCCUUGAUAUUAUUAUUCUUCAAAAAUAAUCUAAGGAAUACUUUAAUUUAGUUAAGACAACCUAAUUCACUCGAAAGCUAGCUUGGAAAUUGAAAAUUUGUUAAGUAUUUGUUUUUUUUAAAUAUUUCUUGGGUUACCAACUAUGUGUCACUCACAAGACUAAUGAAAUCUAAAAUACUUCACCUAAGACUUAAUUUGUCAAAAUCUUGAAAUCUUGAAAUCUCACAAGAGAAAAUGUGAGCCUAAAAAAAGAUCCAAAGUUGUCAAGAUCAAGAUUCAUGCCACUCUAGAGAAAACUACAAAUUAGGACUUUUUACAAAAGUGAGGAUAAAAUACAUUAAUUAGGCCUACUAAUAAGUAAAUGCAAACGAAAAAAAUAUGAAACAUCAAUCAUAUUCUAAGAAAUAAAAGUUAAAAGUGAAUAAAGAAAAAUGUGUGGUUUGGUAAUGCCCCAAGUAGAAAGCGAUUAAAAAUGACAUAUGCAUAGUGACAAAUAAGUGUGCCUUAAAAGAAACAUAAAAAGAUUGGUCGGACGGCUUAUGAUCACAAAAUGGUCGGUGAUUUAUUGGAAAGAUAUUAUAUUUUGGACCUCUUGCAUUUAAUAAGGAAUGUACAAACUUCAAUUCCUAUGGAUUUUCUUGGAGAAAGGUUAAUGUUAAUUGUCAAAUGAUCUAGUAUAGCUAGUUUAACAAAAUGGAGGAGAACUUGUGACUAGGGGCAAAGAGCAAUCAAGAUUGGAUAUAGUUGAUUUUUCGUGAAAUCUAUUUCAGUAAAAUAUAUAAUGUUGAUGGUCCCAAGCAGAGCACUCAAUAGGAAUAGAUUAGAGUGACCUUAUUUCGUUUUAUCAAUUUAGUGAGAAACAGAACUUCAGUUCCAAUAGAAGCAAAACAUAUUGGGUGAUAUCUUCUCAUUUAAUCAAGUUUUGUUAGGCGAAAUUAUUAGAUAUAUAUGUGUACACUAGCUCGAACACUAUUAUCAUAAAAAAAGAACUCUGAUAUAAUUAUUUCCACGCAAAGAUAAAAAUACUCUAUACUUUUCUUGUCUACUCCUUUCAAACAUAAAUAUAUAUUUUUAAACGAUCUUAAUUCUUGAACUUCAAAACACGAAACAAAGUAGACAUUUGCGAGACAUUUUAGUUUAAUAAACUAUAUCAUUCUUUUAAGAAAAACUUCUUAUACAGACAAAAGACAAGAAAAAUGUAUUCAGAGUAUAUAUUACCACGAUAAAAAUAAAUAUCUAAUAGAAGGUAUUUUGUUUUGUGAUACAAGAGAAAGGGUUGACAACCGCCAAAAUGGUCCAGGCCACGGGAAUUUCGUGUGGGAUAACACAAAUUAUUGAUGGGCCCCCAUCUCCCUUAUGGGGCCCAUUUUUCACCACUAUUACGAUACAAAUUUUGAAUUAACCGAAUCGGAUCGGAUUGAAUGGUAAACCACUUUUCAUUUUCAACUUUAAGAUUAUAAAUUUAGGUAUAAAAAAAAAAAAAUUAGCAGAGAACAAGGGUCCAACAAUUAGGAAUACACCAAAACGAACCAUUUUCUACUAGUGAAAAAAUCAUAAAUUAGACACUUUUUAAUCAUGUAAUUUAGAAAUUAAUUAAUGUCCUAAAGUUUUUAAAAUACAAGUUAAAUUCCAUAGUACUAAUUAAUAUCCUGAAAUUUUUACGUAUCAAAAAGUAACUUAGGGGACGUUCUUAUAGGCUAUGUUCUACUGCUCAUCCCAACUUUGAAUUUAUCAUAUUUUUUGGGAUAAUGCAUAAGUACCCCUUAGACUAUGAUUGAAAUCUUAGAGACACACCUAAACUUAACUAAGGUCUUAUUACACCCUUAAACUAAUUUAAAAUGGAAUAAAUAUACCACAAACACUGACAUGGCAUAGAGAGUGUGCACACUCUCUAAAAGGCAAGUGAUAAGUGCACAUAUUUAGUUAGUACACAUAUUUAUUGACAAUAAAACUUAUAUAUAUAUUUAAUUAUUUUAAUUUCUUUCUUUGUAAAAUAUUUAUUUUAAUUUCUUUUCACUUUAGACUUUUUUCUAAUUUUUUUUUUUACUUUUAAUUAUUUUUAAAAAAUUAUGUGUAUUUUUAAAAAUAAUAAUUUAUAAGUGUCCUUUAAUUUUAACAUUUUUUUGUAUGUUUUAUUUGAUUUUCUUCACUUAUUUUGAUAUCCGUUCAAAAUUAACUUAUUUUAAAUAUAAGACAUUUGAAAUCAAAUCAAAACGAAAGACAAAGAAAAUAAAAUCAAUAGAAAAAUAAAACAGAAAAAACAAUGAAUGUAAUGUGUAUUAAUUAAUUUAAAUACAAGAUUAAAAAUAUAAGAUUAUUUUUUAAAAAAAAUUGAUUUUUUUUAAAUAAGAAAAAAAUAUUAAUUUUUUUAAAAAAAGUAAUUUUUAAUUAAAAAAAUAAUAUUUACACACGUGGCAGGCGAGUGUGUACAAAUACAACCCACUUGGGUGGUUGAAGGUGCCACAUCAGCACAAAAGGUGUUCAAAAAUACGAAACAAAUGAGUUCAGGGGUAAUAGGAUCUUUGUUAAGUUUAGGUGUGUCUCUGGAAUUUCGGUUAUACUCUAGGGGUACUUAUGCCUUAUCCCUACUUUUUUCCUCAUCUUUUUCAAUCCAUAAUUUUUAAAAUUUACAAUAAGUUUGAUAUAAAAUUAAAUUCAUAGAAUUAAUAUCUUGAUUUCGUCUUAAUGAUGGAUGUACCUAAAUAUGGGAAUCAUGAAUCACUGCAGAGAACUUUUAUAAUUAAUUCUUGAAACUGUCGGAAGGGCUUCAAUAAUUUUACUAUAUGACUACUGGUGAUAUACUUAAAUAUAAAUUGAAUAAAUCUUUUAUAAUUAUUUUCUCCGUUUCAAUUUAUUCUUUAUACAUUCUUUUUUAGUCUAGCUAUUUAAAAAAAUAUUUGUUUCUUGGUUUAAUAAUUUUUUUAAUUUCAUUUUUCUACGUGACAUGUUUAAGAUUACGAGAUUCUAUUUUAUUUUAUUUUUUGCUUUCUCAAAUUUUGUGUUAAGUAAAAAUAGGAUAAACAAGUUAAAACGGAGAAAGUAUUUUCUUUGUAUGCACUUUUUUGGGUGGAAUGUCAUUUUUUAAGAAUUUUAUAGUUUUUUUUUUGUUUCUCACCCGGUGUUCGGUACCCACAUUGGAAUCCAAUUACAUUUGGAUUCGCAUCGGAAAGUCCCAUAUUGAAAUGGUAAAACACUCCCUAACAAAGGCAACUCUAUACCCAAAGUGCUCGAACCCGAGACUGCACUUUUUUGGGUGGAAAUGUCCUUUUUAAAGCAUUUUAUAGUUUUUUUUGUUUCUUACCCGGUGCCCGAUACCACAUUGGAGCCCGAUCAAAUUCGAAUUCGCACCGAAAAGUCCCACAUUGAAAAGGUAAAACAAUCCCUAACAAAGGCAACUUUGUAUCCAAGGGGCUCGAACCCGAAACCUCUUGGUUAAGGAUGAAAGAUUAUUUACCACUCCACUACCACCCUUAUUGAUAUUUUAUAGUUUUCAUUGUUAUAGGUCACAUCUGCAUAAAAUAUACACUAUGAAUCGUUUUGCCUCAAUUUUACAAGCAAUGAGAUCAUUCAAAAGAACAUUGGAGAAGUAUAUUCAAUUGUUGUUCACUCAUAAAUAAAUAAAAAGUAGCGUAGUAAUAAAUUAAUCACAAGUCCAAAUAGGGAAAUAAUCACUCUACCUAGCUACUUCUCUUUAACCUAACUCUUUCCGUAUUCAUAUAUAUACUUAUGGUUGUUCUAUUCUAUUACUUUUUUUAGACUGAUCAAUUCAUUUGAUAUAUUUCUCUUUUACCUGUCCCAAAAAAGAGUAUCAUCUUUUUAUAAUUAAAAAUUUAAAAAUUUUCUUUUAUUCUAAAUUAAAUGAUUUAUAGUUAUAUAAAUGCUUAGGAUUUGUUUCAAACCAUAAACUUAAUAAAUCUUUUUAAUAUCAGAUCAGACGAGGCCACAUAAAUUAUGACAUGGGAGGUAUUUUUAUGUGAUAGAUAUAAUCAACUACCUUGCUAGAAUGGGGAAGAAAUAAAAAGAUUUAGUUUAAGAUUUGAUCAACGAACAUGCUAGGUAAGCAUGGCGUAAGAUGGUUACCUAUACAAUAUUGUCUAAUUUAAUUUGUUAAAGUUUCAUAUGAUUACGAUUGAUUUCUCUAGUAUAAUCUAUCUAGAUUUUUCUAUACGAUAAUGAUUUUCCAUUUAAUUAAAAAGAAGACAUUUCUUAAAAUAUAAUUGAUUUUUAUGUUAGAAGUCUUUUUCGUAAAAAGGCUAGCGGCAACGGUUGUGUUACUUUGCCUUUUAAUCCAUAUUUAUAUACACAAUUGAGGAGACCGAUCAAUAUAAACUUAUAGGGCUAACGAGAAAGUCUCACAUGAGAUUUGAAAUUUCGUAAGUUAAUUUUCAAAUAAGCUAGGACGUUUUCAUUUUAGAAUUAAAAAUAUAGAUAGCUAUGUUGUGAUUCGUAUUUAUCGAAACUCCAUAAUAUACAGGCUGUGGGAUAUAUAUAUGUUGCAUGAAAUAUUGUUUCAUCUAAGCUUUUGACUUAUGACACAUCAAAGACGAGAUGAAGACAAGAUAUAGAAUAAGUAGAAACCAGAAAGGGUAAAGAAGAAAACAAAAUAAUAUAUAGAAACUUAUAAAUACAAAUUAAUGAAAUAAAAUAUACUCUAUGAAGUCAACCAUAUAAAUUGGAAGGUACUUUCACGAGAGAGAAAACAUGUAUAAACUUUUUUUUUUCUUUUUUUUUUUGGUGUGGGGCUAUAAUUAAAUUUCUAGUAGACAAGACAAAAUAAUAUAUCAUGGCUGAAUAUUUAUGUAAAGAUGAAAAAAAAUUAAAUCUGAAUAAUUCUAAGUAGGAGGCCAACUGAUCAGUCCAAUAAAUGGGGUCCAUUGAAAAUGAUUGGGGGUGGCAAAUUUCUGUUUUCCAAUAGGAUUUUCUUGAAUUCUCCUAAUCAAGAAAUUAAACUAAUAGAGUCAAUAGUUAUGUGCACCCUCCACCGGCCGUAUCAUAUUAGUUGAUUAUCUUAUUAAAAAUAGUUAUUUCAUAUUAGUUGUCUAUUUUACUAGAUCAAACAAAUAUCAAUUACUUCCUCCGUCCCAUAUAAUUAGUUGGUUAUUUCUAUAAAUAUUUAUCUCAUAUUACUUGAUCACUUUCUAAGUCAAGAUAGAAUUAAUUAACUUUUUCCAAUUUUUCCCCUACAAAUCAAUAUGGUCUUUGGAGGUUUAAACAAAUUUAAAAAUCUAAGUUUUUUUUAAGAGACUAAUUAACAUGAACAAAGAGAAAAAUAGUAAAAUUGAUUAAUCUAUUAAUUAAUGAUUUCUUAACAGCAAUGAAAAAUAGAAAGAGCUCAUCUAAUAUAUAUGGGAUGGAGGUAGUAAUUUUUUUUAUAUAUAUUACCCUUGUAAUUAUUUCUUGUUGAAAGUGUUCACAUUUGUUUGUAAAAUUUUGAAGAAGUUUUUUAAGGGGUAAGAAUUAGUAAAUUAUCUUCUGAUUUAUAUUUUCUUAAUAUGUGUAAAAAGAAGAUAAAUUACUAUGAGACGAAGGGAGUAGUAUAUAUAGAGUGUUAUUAUAAUUUAAAUGAUAUGAAGUAGGUGAAAAUAAUUAGCCUAACUUUCAUCAUAUUUGUUAAAGCACGUACGAUUUAUACCUAAUUGCAAUCAAAAGCAAAUCAAAUCUCCUUUUCUAGUUGGAUGGACUUAACUAUUAAAGAAACUUUAGGGCUUUAAUAAAAUAAUUUUGAAUUUGCAUGCCAAAUUAUAAUUAAAAAAAAGUUUAGAACAUUCAAGUUAUAUAAAUAUUCUGGAAUUUAUUUUUCUAAUAUGCUUUUCUCGUUUCUUCAAUUUUCAAAGAAGAAAGAGAGAAUUGUGACCUCAUACUCGUGACUUUAGAAAAACUAAUAAAACUAUAUUUUUUGUUCAUAAAAAUUCCAAAAGACCCGUGUAAAUGUCUUGUUUUUCUCUAAAAGAAGACACGUUUUGACUCUUCUAUAUUGCAAAAAAACAAAUUUGUAUAUAUUCUUUUAGGGGUCGAGAUAUCUAUCUUCAUAAAAUGAAAAAGAAAUUUGUUUUAUUGGUAUAUAUGCAUUCAACAAAAUUAGCGUUAUGUCUAAAAGAUAAAUUAUGUAUGUGUGGCACGUAAUGGUUUUCUUUUUAAAAUACAAAAUUCAUCAAGAUCUAAAUCACACCUCAAAAGCUAGCUCAAAAAAGGAAGAUUGUCCCACCCUUAUAAGGAUUGUUAUUUUCGGGGGCUAGCAUUGGUUGAGUUGGAUCCUGCUUUGAUAUUAUGUCAAGAUAGGUUUCGAACCUAACUCACACCCCUCAUAAGUUAGUUCAAAGGGAGGAGAAUUGUCCAAGUCUUAUAAGAAGUCCACCCAUCUUAUUAAUCAUCAAUAUGAGACUUUUUGUCAUUCUUCAACCGUUACCUCGUUAUGCAACUUAGGACAAUAGAGCUAACAUCCUACUUAGAGUUUGAUUAAAGAUCUUACGAGCCAACCAAAAAAUCAAAAAGUAGGUGCUUAUAUACAUAUAUAGAGAGAGAGACUGCGCCAUAACUAGUAUAUAUGCAGCCAACAACUUUAAGGAAUCGAAUCCUCACUCAACACACAACACAGUAAAAAUACAAGUAACCAACCAAUUGAACUAUUAAAAUUUUGCGAUGAAAUUAAAUAAGAUUAAAGUGGUGUAAUAUUAUUGAUAAAGAUGGUAAUUAGUUGUAGUGAGAGUCACGGGGUUCUCUUGACAAUGUUAAGUAGUCUCCCUCACACAAUUAUAUAUAAGUGGACUCCAACCCAUCCCCAGCCUAGCUACCUCUUCAAUUAUCUUGCGUCAAUUUUGCUUCUCUAUAAUUUUUUCUUAAAGUCUAUGUGCAUGCGCGUUCUUCUUAGUGCUUAAAAUGAACCAAAAUCAAAUGAUGGCCUAAAAAAAAAAUUCUUCAACUCAUGACAACCUACCCAAAUCUAACGACUCUCAAAUAACUAAACAUGCAAAAGAAUCAACAUUAUAAUCAUGGUAAUUGUCUUAAUUGUUUAAAUCACUAGUUUAGACCGAUCGCUGCUUUGGAUUAGGCCUCACGUAUAUUUCACGUGCAAGAGGGGAAAAACAACUAAUUUUGCCUUUAAUUAGUUCAUUUCUCAUGUGUGUGCGAGAUCAUUCUCUUUUACUGAUUCAUUUCAAGCUCAAUAAAGAAAUUUCUAAUUAUAUAAGAGAUUAUUGUAUUUCACAUAAGAGAAGUAAAAGGACUCACAAACAGUGGCAUAGCCACAUAUGGUAAUGGGUGGCUAUGAGAAAAUUAUACGAAUUAUAUGAAUAAAAAUGUUAUCUUCAUAUGUAUAUGUAUAUAAUAAAUUUUAAAUACUUUUAACCAAAUUUCUAACUCCAUCAUUGUUUACAAAGAGUCUUUCACUUUGUAUUACCAACUAUUAUAAUACAAAUACCAACAAUUUAAUACUCCUUUGUGUUCAUUUUACUUGUUAUGAUUUUUUUUUGCACGCCACUUAAAAAAAUAUUAACUAUAAAAGUAAUUUGAUAUUAAAUUAUUUAUUUAUUUUUAAUCUCAAUUUAAUACAAUUGUCUAUAUCACAUUCACACUUAAUCUCUCUCUCUCUACAUAGUACUCGUAAAGAUAAAAACUACUCCAUAAUUAAUUAUACCUUAAUACAGCUAUUUUUAAUUAGUAUAUAUGACUAAAAUGUAAGCUAGUGUAAAAAUGAAAAAGAAAUGGAGUGAUAGUAGUAAAAUGUUGGUAACAAAAAUAAGUUAAUUAAUGUGAGAAUUAAGAAAGCUCCAAACCCACCGCUAGCCAAGCUGUCCUAUUAUUUUGUAGUGUCCUUUUCUCAUCUUAACUCAACAUCUUCUCAUGUAGGGUCUCAUCGAUAGCUAUGUAGAUCUUUCUAUUAACUCCUCCCCCCCACCCCACCCCUAAUCUUCUCUCAUAAAAUAAAUAUAAUCUCCGCUUUAAUUUAUAUAUAUAUAUAUAUUUUUUUUUUUAAUUAUUUAUUUUGUUUCCCACCCGGUGUCCGGAGCCCACAUUGGAGCUCCGACUAAAUCCGGAUUGCACUCUGCAGGGUUCAUUUGGGGGUGGCGCUCCCAGCAGAAUUUUCUCUAUACCUAGGGCUCAAACCCGAAACCUUUGGUUAAGGGUGAAACACUCCCACCAGUAUACCACAACCCAUAUGUUGGUCACUUUAUAUAUCUAUAUAUGUACCCUCUAGAGUGUAUAAUUUUUUUAAUUAAUAAAUAAAGACUUUGACUUAUUGUGUGCUUGUUUAUUAUAUCUAUUUUACACUAUCUUUUCUUGUCCACAACUUUCAUUUCUCGUACAAUAACUCCAGGUAAUAUAAAUGGAGGAAGAAACUCUACCCCUUUUUAGUCUAUAUAUCAUUUGAAUUCCCUUCAUGACAAGUUACUACUACUAAAGUUAUAGUAGUAUUUUGUAUGGCAAUUGUCCCUUUUACUACAAACAUGAGUCAAUCCCAACAACAACAUCAACAACAAGAUGAUGAUGAUAACAUCAACAACACUAUUAAAGGAGAUGAUGAUGAUGAUGAUCAUGAACAUGACAUGGUCAUGCCUGGUUUUCGAUUUCAUCCUACUGAGGAAGAACUUGUAGAGUUUUAUCUUCGCCGUAAGGUUGAAGGAAAACGUUUUAAUGUCGAACUCAUCACUUUUCUUGAUCUUUAUCGCUAUGACCCUUGGGAGCUUCCUGGUAUAUACUUCUAUCCAUUUUCUCCAUCCUCUUUUUUUCUCUUCCAAUUUCCAAUUUCCAAUUUCUUUCUACGUAAUAGUAUCAGUUAGAAGCAGAUUCAGAAUUUAAAUUUUAACACAAGUUCAAUCUUUAAGGUUUUAUUAGAUUGAAUUCAUUGAACUUAUGUAAUUAUGAGUUUCAUAAUUCAAUAUACUAUAGUCUAUAUCAAUCUAUAAAAAAAAUGCUGGUUUUUAAUUGAACUUGUUGAACAAAUUGAUACAUCUCCUUUUAGGUUGUGACGGAUGGAGUAUGGAUUUAUCUUAACUCAAUACUUUCGAUGCAGAUCAUAAUUAUUAUUAUUAUUAUAUAUAUAAAAAUCAAGUAAAACUACAACAAAUAGUUUAUCUGAAUGCUUAUUUUUUAAAAUAUUAAGUUUGAACCCUAGAUCCGCCUCUGCUUUUGGGUGCUAGCACAUAAUUUUUGAAGUUGAUUGUAUACAUAAGUUUGUUUGUGUAUUUUGUUUGUUUUUAGCUUUGGCAGCAAUUGGAGAGAAGGAAUGGUAUUUCUAUGUGCCAAGAGAUAGGAAGUAUAGAAAUGGAGAUAGGCCUAAUAGGGUUACAACAUCAGGCUAUUGGAAGGCUACUGGAGCUGAUAGAAUGAUUAGAACGGAGAAUUCGCGGUCGAUUGGCCUGAAAAAGACAUUGGUUUUCUACUCAGGGAAGGCUCCUAAAGGCAUAAGAAGUAGUUGGAUUAUGAAUGAAUAUCGUCUUCCACAUCAUGAGACUGAACGCCUACAAAAGGUACUACUAUUUAGUAUCACAACCUUAAUUCACUAGUUUAUUCAAUAUGUCUUAGUUUCAAAUGGUUCAUUAGAAAACCUAGUUAUUCAUUCUUCUCUAUCUAGAGAUCUCAUGUUUCUUUGAACAUCUCAGAAAUAUUCCGUCAUAAUUAGUUAGCAUAGUCAAACCAACUCUUACACGAGCUCCCAGACAUGGGUAAACUAGGGUCACUUUUGAUUCUGCUUUGUCACUCCAUAAAUGUGUUCAAAUUUAUUGAGUUUCUUAAAUGUCAGACACAAAAACGUCCAACCAAUUGAAUGAGAAUUGACCUCCUCCACUCUUUAAAUUCACAGGCACAAAGAGGUCAAAUUCCGAUUGUUAUAUAAACUACUAAUAUGUAUUACAUUUUUAUUUUUUUUCAGGCAGAAAUUUCACUUUGUCGUGUCUAUAAAAGAGCUGGAGUGGAAGAUCAUCCAUCUCUCCCAAGAUCACUUCUAACAACAAGAGCAUCAUCUUCUUCUUCUUCUAGAGGAACAACUUCCAUCAAGAAACAACAAGUACAACAACAAGAUUCGUCAUUAAUCUCUCCAUUAUACUUAGGACAAUCUUCCCAACAACAAAUCGAUGAAAAAUUAAGUACUGAAACAAGUGCAAGUAGCACUAGUACUGAUCAUCACCACCAUCAUCAUCACCAUCAUGUUGCUACAUCACUCGGGCUCAAUUCCCUCUCAAAUUCCUACACUAACAUCGCGUUAGACCCUAUUGGGAGCGCGGUCAACUCAUCCCUAAAUAUCACAACAUCUACCUUAACACCUUUCACUUCAUUAGUAGCAACAACAAAUAAUACUGAUGAUCUCCAUAGACUAAUCAACUUAGACCAAGUCGUCGCGUUUCAUAAUAAUCAACACCAUUUUCAUCCUCCUCCUGGUGUUGUACCCCAACAAUAUCCUCCAUUGUUAUUGCAACAACCACAAUUAGCACCACAAUCUUUACUUCAUCAGGGAUCACUUCCGUCUUCCGCAGCCGCGGCUUUUUCAGACAGAUUGUGGGAAUGGAAUUCAAUUAAUCAAACAGAUGGAAGCUGCAAAGAUGAUCACUACCAAGACAAUAAUCCCUUCAAGUAAUUUCAUGAUCAUUAAACUGCACAUAUACAACAUAUAUUAUAUAUCUACUGAUAUUUUUAAUUUUGCUAGCUAGCUAGCUCUAUGAUCAAAUUAAAUAAUGUGUGUGUGGUAUCUUUGUUAUUAGGGUUUUGGUUAGUUCUGAUUAGCUAGGGUACUAUUAUUAAGCUAUUGUAAUCUUUCUAAUUACUUUCUGUACUUGAUGAAAUUAGAUAUGUGCUAAUUAAGUUAGCUCUAAAGUUUAAUUCAUCUUCGUAGGGUUUGAUUUUUAAAUUUUAUGGGGAGUAUGGAUGGACCUUUUUUUUUAAUUUUAUAUAUAGGAUUAUAACUUUAAUCUAACUUUUCAUUAAGUAAGAUGAAAAACCAGCUACUACUUUCAUGAAGAAAUAUUUUAGGAAUCAAAACAAUGUGUCUUGAUGUCCCUUUGCUGAUUAUUCAGGUAGCUGGCCAUAGAUAAACUAUUGAUCCCCUCUCGACUCAAUUUAUGUGAUCCACUUUUUUUUAAUUUGUCAAAGUAUAGCACAUGAAUUGAGAAAGAGAUAGAAGUAUUUUUCUAUAGAUGACACAAAAUGACUUUUCCAUUUGGUUGUUAAAAUUAUAUAAAAAUAUUAAUUAAAAAAAAAUAUAAAUUGAUUGUGAUCAAAUUCCUACAUCCCAUGUUACUAAAAAAGAAACUAGACAAAAAAGAAGAAGAAGAAAGAGAAGCAAAAACAAAAGAAAAGAGUUCUGUCUCAUGUUACAUGCAGAUCAUGUGAAAAAAUUAGCCCAUGAAAUUAUAAUUCAUCCAAUCCGUUUAAGUUUGUGUUGAUUAUUAGUACGUACCAAAAAAUAUAUAUAUAAAAAAUAAAUAAAACAAUUAAAACUUAGAAAGAAUUAGGCGAAUUAAGUUUUGACCCAUAUUUUAGUUCAUUUAUGCUCAUGUCAAUUUCAGUUCAAAUAACUAUUAGAGGGACAAUCCAUUUUAAUCCGCCUAAAUUCAGCAUAAUCUGUUCAUUUGACACCUCUAGACUUACAUGCACAUAGAAGCUUUAGGAAUGAAAAUGUAUGCAGUCAGUCUGGUUCCAAUAUACACACUGUUAUUCAUAAGAAUUAAUAAUGAUGCAAUUAUUGAUUCACAGACUUGUGAAGAGACAAAGCUAGAAUGCAAAAUGUUGGAAAAUUAAGGAACACUUGGAGUUGGACCCAUAAAUAUAUUUUCACAAGCCAACAUCUAAAUAGAAGACAAAUGCUUAGUGUCAAGAUUUGCCUAAAUAUAUAGUUUUGGCAGUAACUAAAAGAUUUCAUUGUUUAGUAAAAAAUCAGUUUUAAAGGUAAUUAAUUUUUGCUGGUUGUAUCCAUAUAUAGCUACAUUAAUUCUUUGGAUUAUUAUCUGUCCUAUUGGUUAGCCUGAAAAGUUUUUUACAUAUAGAUUUGCUAUUGACACUACUGCUAAGUGCUGUAUAACUUAUGAACUAUGCUCUUUCACCUAUGUUAUACUCUAUGUUAAUUUGGAGAUGUCCAUGAAGGGAAAAUGAAUGUUUCGAGCUGAAUUUAAACAGGUUAAAAUGAAUUGAAUCAAUGAAUGAGUUAUGGUCCAAUCUUUUAAUUUUAAGAAAUUACUUGCGCUGAGAUGAACUAAGUGAAACUAGGUUAAAGCAAAAUUUAUUUUCUUAAAAUUUGUUUAAUUACUAAACAAAACUAAUAUUUUUAUUUUUAUUUUUUUGUUAUACUUAUAUAUAAUAUACCUAAAAAAAAGAAAAUCAUUGGGCAGAUCAACAGAUCAACUUAAGCCAACUUUUGGGCAGAUCAUUUUAGGCAAAUUUGAAUGAAUUACAUUUUCAUAUCUCAAAGAGAAGUCCAUAGAACAUAACGUGCAUGUUGUGUCAAUUUUUUGUGCCCCUAUUCAAUUCCGCGUGGAUAUAGCUCGUGCAUGUUCUUUGUUUCAACCAAUGCUACUUUACACGGCGAAGCUAGUAAGGCUCGAGGGAUUUAUCUAAAUUCUUUUCAACGGAAAUUUAUAUUAUUCAUAUUUGAUUAAAAUUAUAUUUUAUGUAUAUUUAAUAAAUAUUAAACCACCGUCAACUUUUUUGUGUGUCUAUUUCUUCAUAAUUUAAAUCCCUAGAAGAAAAUCAUUCUCCAAUCUCCGGUCACUAAGUCUCUCUUAAUGAAUUGUGUGACCAACUCAACUAAAAACUUAUUCUCUCCGUCCACUUUUAUUUGUCAUGUUGCGCUUUUCAAAAGUCAAAUUGAUUAAUUUUUAAAAUUAAACUAGAUUAUAUUAAUUCGAUAUUUUGAACAAAAAAAUUAGAUAUUAAAAAACUUUACGAAAAAUACUAUAAAUUGCAAUUUUUUACAUAUCAAUAUGAUGAAAAACUACAUCGUAAAAUGUUAGUCAAAGUUCUUAUAAUUUCACUCUAAAAAAACUGUGACAAUUAAAAGUGGACGAAGGGAGUACCAAUAGUUUCUCACAAACUGCUGUUUAAUUGUCAAUUUUUUCCUAACUUUUUUUUUUUAUGAAAUUGCCAUCACCAAGGUUUGUCACUCUGAUGUCAGGGGUCUGGCUAGACCCUAACUAAAGGGUCAAAAAGUUAUAGUGUAUCUAUAAUUCCUAAUUGGAGAACUUCAUAUUUGUUUGCAAAGAUGAAAUAUAAUUAUAAAUGAUUAGGCGGCCAAAAUAAACUGUAAUUUCACAUGUUGCAAAGGGAAAAACGUGAUUUAGUAUGUAUGUAUAUAUAUUUGCAAUGUUAAUUUCAUUGUUAAGGCAUCUUCAAAAUUCACCAAUAAUUGGCGGUCCAUCUCACAUUCAUAUAAUAUAUACUAUACGAUAGAUACAUCGUGAUUGUGCAGCAAUAAUGCAUGUACUGGGAUUAAAGUUUAUUUAGUAAUAUUUUAUAUAAAAUUGUAAAGUCAAUAAUUAGUACUCUACUUCUUCAUCUUUAAUAUGUUUGUCUCGUUUUGAUUUGACACAAAAUUUAAGAAAAAAAUAAUAAUUAAACUUUGGUAUUAAACAUGACGUACAUGUGAAAAGUUACAAUUAAAGAGUUAUAAAAAAAACAUUUUAAAACUGAAUUUAAAAAACAAGUAAAACAAACAAAUUGAAACGAUAUAUAUAAUCUAUGACAAGUCAAGAGAAAUACGACCCUUUUAAUGUCGUCUUAUUAGACAGAUUCAGAAUUUUGAGUUUAUGGAUUUUGAAGUUUAAAGAAGAUAAACUCAUUGAACUCUCUAUGAUAAAUUAUUUGUACAAAUCAUGUGAAUUUUUGAACUAUUAAAUUUUGUCGAAUCUGAAUCUGUAGCUAGAACUCUAACUUCAAAGUUGUAAGCAAAUUUGCUGAGAUUUUUUUCUUAUUAGACGAAAAAAUGAGGACUAGGAACUUGAAUGUAUACAUUUAGAAUAGAAAAAGUAGAAACAUAUCUGAUAUCAAGAAAGCAUGUUUGAAGUGUUAUAAGAAGUUAUAAUUAAAAAAAAUUAGGAUACAAUACUUUUAAUCUUCAAUAUUUAAGUCCUAUAGAUUAAAAUUAAUUGACAAUAUAUACUUGUAUACAUAUGUAUACAGAAAUAGCUAUGUUUAGAGUUGAACUGGAGCUGAUAAAAAAAAGUUCUAGAUAUUCAUUUAUGAUAUGAUUAUCAGUUAUAUAGGGGUAUGUUAUUACACAAAAAUGACAACUCAUUUUAGAAAUAAUUUUGAACUCAGUUGUUAGCAGCAAUUACAAAACAGACAUCAAACAUAACCUCUAAGUUACAUUAAUGUUGUGUUGGUAGUGUCAACAUCCCGUCUAUGGCAAGGCCCACGAGGGGCUAAAGUAAUCUAGGAUGGAGUUAUGAUUGAACAUAACACGUGCUUGGUGUACUAAGCUAAAAAUAAAGUUGCGUCUUUGCUAUCAACUAUAACUUUUGGAGACAAAAAUACUACUUUGGAGAGCAUUUCUCAUUCUCAGUAGUAGUAGUUCAGAAUUAAUAGUGAUCAUUCAAGUAGUCUGAAUGAGUUACACUCUAUCCUCUCCAAAGUCCAGAUCACAUUUUAAAAUGUCAUUAGAUAUGUUGUUGAGUUUAAUCGCAAACGUAAAAAAUGUCGAAUAACAUAUCAAGGAAUACUUCAGCUAGAUCAGUUCAACAAGUUGCAGAGCAGUAGAAUGUACGCACAUUUUAUCUUACCCCUAAGUUGGAGACUUCAACUAAUUUUAGGAUAAAUUUCACAAUUAAUCAUAUAACUUUGAUUCUUUUUUCUUUCACUAAUAAAGUCAUAUAGCUAUGAUUUCGAAUAUAAAAAUCAUUACACUUUCACUAACUCACACCAAAAUCACAAUUGUCGAAAAUAAACUUUUCGAUGUAAUGUUUUUUCUCCACAAUAAAUAUGUAUUUAUUUUUUAUUUUAUGUAAAUUGCAAGUUAUAGUCUAUCUCAAGUCCAAAUAAAAGAGAAAAAAUAUCCAAAUGGGCCAGCAUGGAUAUAGAUGAAUCGUUUUCCAAGUCCAAUUUGUAGAAAGAUAUUUGUGAUUUUUGUGAGUUAAUAAAAGUACCGUGAUUUUUAUUUUAUGUUAGACAUUACAAUUAUGUAAUUUUGGUGGAAAAACUAAAAAGUCGUAAGCAUAUAACCAUUAGUGAAAUUUUACCCUAAUUUUAUGCUAUCUACUAUCUCUCACUAUAUUGAAUAACUCUGUUCACAAAAAAAUUAAACAUACAAAAAUUCACCUCCAAUAACAAUUUAAACCUAAAACUUUAUAAUUUCACUAGAUAAAACCCUUGAAUGUACGUCUGUGAUUCGUGAGUGCACAGUAAUUUUUUUUAACCCUUUAUACUUUAUAACUUCAAAAAGGGAGAAUUUCGCAAAUAGUCACUAUAAUAAACUUAAUUAGGCUCCUUGACUAUAGUUUAAGCUGCCUCGUUUGUAUAAUUCGCGAAUGAAUUUGUAUAAUUUGCGAAUGAAUUUGUAUAAUUCGCGGGUACUUUUGUAUAAUUGAGCUAUUUUUGUAUAAACUUGAAAUAGCAAAUUUAUACAAAUACAAACAUCUGAACAAUAAACCGUUAUACAAACUAUAUUAUACAAAAUUACAUUAUACAAAAGUUAUACAAAUUUCAAAUUAUACAAACGUGUGAAUUAUACAAAGUUAAAACCGCAACCCACGUAAUUAUCACUGAAUGUUGAUGAUGAGUGAUAAUCAACUAAAAUUAUAAUUAUUAUAAUUAAUUAACUAGAGUAUAUAUUUACUUAACCAUAUAAUUUCCCUUUAAAAAAAAAAAGAAGAAAAGAGCGAAGACCUUUCGAUAACUAAAAUCCAAGUAGUUAUCCGUGCUAUUUAUAUCCCCACAACUUUUAUUGAAAACAACAAAUGUCAAAAUCAAAACCUACAAAUACAACAUCAUAGUUCUUUUUUUUUACUCCGUUUACUUUUAUUUUAAAAAUACUUUUAAAAUAAAAAUAUAACUUUUUUAUAUUUUAUUUUAAUAUUAAUUAUUUAUUUUUCAAAUUAUUUUUAAAAUCCAACACUACACAGCGAUUAUAAUAGAUAUUAUAAUAAAUUACUCAUAUCAAUCAUUUUUUUUUAAAAAUGUUUAAAAUUAAAAAUGAACAAAUAGAGUAACAUCUUUUUUCCUAACAAAUAAAAUAAGAGAAUUUUACACAAAUCUCAUAGUGUUAAGAGCUAAUAACAUUAUAUAUUUAUUCUUUUCCAAAUUAUAAAAAAAAAAACUCUUAAAUUUGGUGUUAUUCGGAUACAUCACGUUUUAAUUUUGGUUACAUCGCUCAACGUCCCGAUACAUCACGUAUCGAUUUUGAAUACAUCACUUAACGUCUAGAUACAUCGCUUACAUCUUGAUUUUGGUGAAAUCCAAAUACAUCACAGAUUGUCUCGAUUUAAAAUACAUCGUUCAACGUCUAGAUACAUUACGUCUCGAUUCAAAUAGAUAAUCAAUGUCUCGAUACAUCACAUAUGUCUCGAUACGUUGCGUAAAGUGAUGUAUCUGAAAAUGUGAGAGAAUAGAGAUUUUUGUAAUUUUUUUAAAUCAUAUUUUUUUUUAGAGAAUAUGGUAAAAUAAGUUGGAUAUGAAUGUAAUUUUUCCAUAAAAUAUUUUCAAGUUGGAGUACAGUAUGAUUUUAACUAGAAAUAAAAAGACUUUUUACAUCAGAUUUCUGACAACUUUUUUUUUUUUUACCAGUAGAGUAGUGAUGCACAAUAUCUGUUUUUACCAAAAAACGAACAAAAAUUAAAAAAAAUAAAGACAGAUAAGAAUCUAAUCAAUUUACCAAAAACCCUUUCCCUCUCUUCCCGCUGUUUUGGUCUCAUUCUCCUCUUUCUCUCCCUACAAUUUCUGCAACUUUACUUCUUACAAUUUUCUCAUAAAAAUCUAAGCUUUUUCUUUAUGAAAUCUUCAUUUUCACUUCACAUAGCAAACUAAUUUUCAAAUUUUGAGCAACAUGAAGUGGAAACUUUAGUUCUUGGGGAAAACCCUAAUUUAUUUCAACCCACUUCUUGUUUUUUUUUUUCAAAGACUCAAUUUUUUUCUUCUUGUGGGGUUGUUAGAAAUUGCGUGUAGACAAGGGUAGUAUGGAAAAUUCGGUACCCAGGACUGUAGAAGAAGUAUUCAGCGAUUUCAAAAGUCGUAGAGCUGCUUUAAUUAAAGCCCUUACCACAGGUUUGUAGUUUUGUUUUUUUAAUUUUCAUGAACUUUUAUGGGUUUUUGAGCUUAAUUACUUUCUGGGUGUUUCUGAAUUUUGUUGGGCUUUGCUAAUUUUUUGAUAUUUUUUUUUAAAAAUAAAAUAAUAUUGCAGAUGUUGAGAAGUUUUAUCAGCAGUGUGAUCCUGGUGAGUUUCUGUUGCUCGUUUUUAGAUUGGAUUGUUGUGGUUCAUCAAUAUUUGCAUAGUUGGUGGUUCUGUUUUUAUUGAGCUUGAGGUGUAUUUCUAAAUGUAGUAUAUUUCUUAUAAGCUUUUAAUUUUUGGGAUUAUUGUCUUCAUAUAAAAAGGUGUUCAUGUUCCUACUGUAUCUUGGAAUUUCAUUGUCAAAUGUGGUAGAAGUGAUUGAGCCACAUGAUUAGGACUUUGUGACUCUUAACAUUUUAGAAUUUUAUAAUUUGCUUCUUGUCCUGUUUUUGUGUCUGUUUUGUAAUUUCAAUUCCGUUGUUCUAGGGAGUGGCCUAAAACAUUUGGUUAGAGCUUUCUGGCUGUUGUCAUCAUUUUUUUCAUUUGUCUUCUUUGGCUUUUAUGCAAGAACAGAAAGAUCAAAUCUUUGUUAAGUAGUUUAUUGCUUCAAUUGAAAAAGCAAUUCUUCUGCAUUCUUACUGUAUCUUGGAAUUUCAUUGUCAAAUGUGGUAAAAGUGAUUAAGCCACUUGAUUAGGACUCUGUGACUCUUUAACAUUUCAGAAUUUUAUAAUUUGUUUCUUGUCCUGUUUUUGUGUCGGUUUUGUUAUUUUGAUUUUCUUGUUCCAGGGAGUGGCCUAAAGUUAGAGCUUUCUGACUGUUGAUAUCAUUUUGUCAUUUGAUGUUCUUCUUUGGCUGUUAUGCAGGAAUGGAAAGAUCGUAUCUUUAUUAAGUAGUUUAUAGCUUCAAUUGAAAAAGCAAUUCUUCUGCAUUUACAACAGAAUUAUCAUGAUUUCAAACUGCAUUCCAGAACAUGAAUUGUAAAAGUGAGAUCAGUACUUAGAAUUUUAUGUCAUUUACAGUGUUGUCAAAGGCGCGCUUAAGCCUUGAAAAAGAGGCUCCAAACGUGUUGAGGGCUUCGACCGACUUAAUGUGCGUUUUAGUGUCAUCGUUAAGGCUCUAAGACAAAAUUUUCCUUGCAAAUGGGUGUUGUCUGAGGAGGCAUUUAACAAUUGAUAUUUCACUUUAUUGUGAAAAUGUUCAAUUUCUUUGUCCAUAGAUUUGUUAUUCAUGCUUAUAUUUAUUAGUUUUGUACUAAUAUUUUUAUUUUUUUUAUGUUUUUUGUAUUUUUUUCAAUUUGCAUCCUUUUUCAUUAAAGCCCACGCUUUAUUUGUGUUUAAAGCCCCAACGGACCUUAGCUUUUUUGCGCUUUUUGCUUUUGAUAAAUUGGUCAUUUAGUUAGGAUGUCAAUGUCAUAAGUGUUCUCAUCGUAAUCCUGUGUAUCAAUUCUCAAGGAAGUAGAGAUGGUAUCAAUUCUCAAGGAAGUAGAGAUGUAAAACUUCUUUUAUGUAGCAGUGAUCAUCAUUUCUCUAUCACAGUGAUGCAGUGUCUCCAACCAUCAUUAAUCUUGUUUAUGAUGUGGGUAAAAGCGCAUAUGAUUGCAUAUUAUUGCAGUGUGAAAGCACUUUGAUGUCUCCAUGACUUUUUUAAUGUAAAUGCAUGCAUUUGCUGUAUACGUAUUUAAGGUUUCUGGAGGCAGGGUAGUUACAGUGGGUGGAUAUUAUACUGUCACCUUAUGAUUAAUAAAUGUUCUUGUCUUUUUUUUUUUCUCUUUCUUGGUAAGUUUUUUUUCUUAUUUUGUUUUUUUUGGGGGAUUAGGGGUUGGGGGUUGGGGAGAUUCUGUUAUUUCUGGUCUAUGGAAAAACAUGGAAAUUCUUAGUUUGUAUUUGGCAGUUUCAGAGAUGUUUUUUUGUGCCAGCACUCGUUAAUUGUUUUUGAAGUAUUUGAUAUAGCAGUGAAACAUACCGUAACUUUACCCCGAACAUUGGACUCCUUUCUUUUAUGUGGUGUCUAACUGUUUUUAUAUAUUUUAUAAUCUCUUUAAAGAACUCUAUUUAAAGAACUGGUUUACAUUCUUUAUUUCAUUUUGCUCCCAUUUAUGGAACUGCUGAUUAUGACCUUUGUGACGAUGUAUAUCAAUAGACUACUCCCUCUCUGUAUCAAACAGUUGUGUCAGUCCUUAUGAUAGUAUCUCUCUCUUAAAUGUUCUUAGUCCUUCUCUGGAAGUUUUAAGGAUAUUAGAUUUUGCUUUUGUGUUGCAUUAUUCUUCUCCCCUUUGUUUCCUUGCUUUGAGGCUUGUUGUGUGUUUCCCCUCACUGGAUGUUCAAUUCUUGUUAUUUUAGAUCACUUAUGCAGAUCAUUUGUGAAUUGUUUAUGAAAAUUUCUGAAUUUAACCAUAUGUAUACUUUCAGAAAAGGAGAACUUGUGUCUCUAUGGGCUUCCUAAUGAAACAUGGGAAGUAAACCUCCCGGUGGAAGAGGUCCCUCCAGAACUUCCGGAACCAGCAUUGGGCAUAAAUUUUGCACGUGAUGGAAUGCAAGAAAAAGACUGGUUAUCACUUGUUGCUGUUCACAGUGAUUCAUGGCUGCUUUCUGUUGCAUUUUACUUUGGUGCAAGGUUUGGGUUCGGCAAGAGUGAAAGGUAAAAUAGCAUCCACCCUCUUUGCCGUGUCUGUUUGGUAAUUUUUGCUCGCAUUUCUUUUUAUCUUCUGGGGUUUAUCUAGUGACAUAUGUUGGGCUAUUUCUUUCCCAUAGCAGUUCCCCUCAUGCUUCUUAAAAUUCAUCUCCCCAAGCAUUUGGUGCAUCCAGAACUUGUAUGCUCCAUUGAUCAAUUUUAGGGAGAUAAGCUUCUGUGAUUGCUGUCCUUUUUUUUUUUCCAUAGCUGAGAUAAUUUUCCAUGAAAAAUCACUGAAGAAAUUUAGUCAACAAUCAUGUAUGAACGUCUCUUUUCCAGCACUGUACUUUCUAACCCAUACAGUUAGAGCUCCCUUUUUCCCUUUGAUCUCUGUUGAAGAAAUAGGUAUAUGUUUCCUUUUUGUUGUCUUCUUGCUUACCACGUAGUGUUUGACCUGUUUGUUGCCUCUCAUUGCGGUAUGUUAACCCAGCAAUCAAUCAAUCAUGAACUAGGCCUAAUCCCAGAUAAGGUGGGUUUGAUUCCCUUAUCUGCUUCAUCUCUCCAAGAUUCAGUAUUUAGAAUUCAUCAUAAUUAGACGAGCUUAUGCUUGCCGUUAAUCUACUCCAAUCGUUCUGCUUCACUGACAUAUUAAGGCUCUUAUAGACAGUUGUGACUGAUUGAUGGUGUUGAGUUUAAAACAUCUUUUUCAUUCUAAGGAUAUACUUUAUAUACAAAAGCACCAAGAAGGUGCAAAUAUAUUGAGUUUAUAACAGUAAAACUCUGAAGUAUAAGUAUUAGCUGUAAUUAGGAUUACUAAGUUGGAACUCUGGAAUGGAGAAUUUCUAGCAGUGAGAUAAUUUGGGCAAUAUGUAGAAGUCCACCUUCAUCCAAAGUUCAUUUAGGCAGUGUUUCAUAUUUUCUGUGUCAUGUAAAGAUGAUAAGAUGUACUGAUAAGCUGGAGUUGCUUUGAAAGUUGACAACACCAUCAAGAGAAUUUGGAAGAUGAUACCUGCAGCCAUUUUUUGGAGUAUCUGGAAUGAUAGGAAUAGAAGAUGCUUUGAUGAAAUAUACAACUACCUACCAAUCUCUAAAAGCUAAUUGCCUCAUGUUUUUGUAUAGUUGGUUUAUUUAUCCCCUCUAGAUUCCCCUGGUUCCUUUCUGAACUGUGUCAGCUCCCUGACUCUUAACUAGCAAUGUAAAGGAGAGCUGACCCUUUGCUACUGUACUUUUGUAACUAUUAUGCAUCUACUUGAUGCCUGCAAUAUAAUAAUUACUUCAUCAAAAAAAAAAAAGAUGUCUUAUUUCUUUGUCUUGGUGACCAUACUGAUGACUUGUUGGAGUGAAAUUCCAGACAUCUUCCAUUUUUAGGUUUCUAUAGAAUUUGUUUAUCAUUACCAUAUAAAUAUGGAAUAUAGAUUUGCAAAGCCCUUUGUCCUUUCACUAUUCUGGAGAAGGUUAUUAGGUGCUAGUUAUUAGACAAAAGCAGAUUCAUUUGCAUAGUGACAUAGUUUGUGGCAUCAUUGGAUCAGAUAAUAUUUGGUUUAGAACCAAGGAUGCCUGACAUGUUGAGAUGCUUACCUUCAGCUGGUGUUUUUGGAUAUAUCAUCAUUGAAUAAAAUAGUAUGUUGAGUGAACAGUAGUUCAGACAUGUUGAGAGAUCAUUCUGUUAUUAUUGGCUGUAGCAUCAUUGAAUAAGUUAGUGCUUAGUUGAGUAGGCAAAGAAUGUCAAACAUGUCGGGACAGCACAAAUGCUGUAUAAUACUUGGAGCAAUUUUUGAGUAGCAGGUCUUUUGCCCCUCUUUUAUACCCUUGGGUUGUCUACUUUUUGUAUCUGCUGCUAUUGUAGGUUAGAGAAACUUCUGGAUGUGAAACUAUGACUGAAAUCAUUAUAAACUGGAUUUUAUACUGGGAAACUGGUGCAUGAGAUUCCGUGAUCAUGUGUACAUGUCCAGAAAUGUUCAACUUAAAUUUGGCUUAUAUUUUGUCAAGUGUAUGGAUAGUUUGCCUAGCUAGUCCAAUCUCAUAAAUGUGUCUUCCACUGGUUUAAUGGUUAUCUGAGAUAUAUUUAGAGAGAAUAAUUGUUUUAUUUUGGAAAUCAUGUAUACAGGAAGAGGCUUUUCCAAAUGAUAAAUGAUCUCCCAACAGUGUUUGAAGUUGUUACCGGAGCUGCUAAACAGACACGUGAUCCCCCUCACAACAAUAGCAACAAAAGCAAAUCAAGUGGAAAGGUUCUCAUAUACUUAACCUAACAUAUAGAAUUACUGUUUUUUUUUUUUCCAUUUUGUUUGAGCAUAUGUUUUCUGCAUCCUCUUUGAUUUGCAGCCUCGACAGCCAGAGUCCCAACUCAAGGCAGUAAAGGUGUCUCCAUCUAAAAUGGAGAACGACAGUGGGGAGGAGGAAGAAGAAGAAGAGGAUGAACAAGGAGCAACUCUCUGUGGAGCUUGUGGUGAUAAUUAUGCGACUGAUGAAUUCUGGAUUUGCUGUGAUAUUUGCGAGAGAUGGUUCCAUGGAAAAUGUGUGAAGAUCACUCCAGCUAAAGCUGAGCAUAUCAAGCAGUACAAGUGUCCUAGUUGCAGUAGCAAGAGAGCUAAAGUCUAGAAUUUGUGGCAAGAACAAUUAAGUGGUGAUGUUGGAAGGUGUAGGAGUUUUAGCUCAAUUAUCAAAUGUCAAAAGUUAAAUGUUUGCUGAUGGAAUUGGGAUGUCCAUUUCAUGAACAUUUGCUUUCUGUUAUCUUGCUUUCGGAUUGUGUUUUAGAUUAAAAGAAAUUGUGCCUGUUAUCAUCUUGUGUUUGAAGAUCCAUUUUCACUUUUUACUUUUGUAUUUAUUAUGAGGAAUUCCCAAACUUUUGUGAUAGUUUUGAGUACCGGAACAACAACCUGCUUAAAACUUAUGAAGGUCUAUCCUUUAUACCAGUCCACCAUGACUACAAGCUUUUAAUACCCCAAUAUAGGUUAUUCUAUCUGCUUCAAUAUUUUCUUUCUUCAUCUUCUACAACAAUUCAACAGCUUCAAUCACACUGCCAUAAGCUGUUAGCAUUCCAAUCUGCUGCAACAGCUCUCUCAGGAAUUUCAUCAAACUGUUGCUGUGCAAUCUCCAAAGACUAAAACUUUCCAUACAUACCCAUAAUCGCAUUCCGAAUGAACCUACCCAACCAUGACCUCUUUUGAUAGUAGGUUAUAACCUCUGAAAAUUGGAAUAAUCUAAGUGAUUGACAGGAAGAACAAUCCACGUACCCAGUGAAAUCUCACACAAUAACAUAAACAUAUUGAUAUCAAAAGCAAGAACUAUAAGAAUAACCUAAUACACAACUUCUGAAUCGUAUACGUAUGAAAAAAAGAAAUUCAGUCUAACUUGAUUUAUCAAAAAAUGUAAAAACUAGUGAAAAAGCUACUCACCUUAAUUCAAUAUUGGAGUUUGUCUUUAUACUCAAAUCACCGCCUUUGCUAUGAUUUAUUUCAUCAGAAGAAAUAUUUACGCAACCCAAUAGGUACACUUGCUCUCUCACAUCUAUUACAACCUCUUCCCUCUUUCUCUAACUUAAUCUCCGCUUUUUCACCAAUAAGUUGAUUUGCAAAAGUAACAAACAAAUAAGUCAAAACCCUGAAAAUUAAUCCCAAAAUUAGUUGGGAACCGUAAAUAAAAUCACAAUAAGAUUAAUUUUUAGGUUAGCAAAUUCAACUUACCAUAGCCCAGAAAAAAAGGAUGAAGAUUGCUUCCGAAGGAACAAUGGUGCAAUUGAAGCCAACAAUUCUUUUGGACUAAUUACAUGUGUUAUCCGCUAUCUCUUAAAACUCUCACCCUAUCACUCAAUUUUUUUUGUUCAUCUUUGUAUCCAAAUCUCAUGAUUCUCAAAUCAUUUUUCACGACUAUUAAAUUAAAGGUAUAUUUAACUUUUUAAAAAUCCUUUAUACUUUUCUCAUUUGAGUAAAAGUAAAACCUCUUGAUAACUAUAAAACCCAAAUAAGCUAUCCGUGGUAUUUAUAUCCCCCAACUUUUAUUGGAAACAACAAAUGUCAAAAUCAAAACCCACAAAACACAAACAUCAUAGCCUUCUUUUUUUUACACCUCUGUCUCAUCAUCAAACAAGAAGAAAGAAAAGAAGACAGAAGAAUCCCUCUCCAUUCUCCAAGGCAAAAUCUUCAUCCUAAAUUCUAGUAAUAAAAUAUUCUCAAGUUGGGAGUAUUACUAUAAUUUAACAACAAAUAAAAAGACAUUUCACAUCAGAUUUCUGCCACAUUUUUUUUUUGAAAGAACCAAUAGAUCCAAGUAUUCGUACACUAGUGCUACAUGUAUCUAUUUACCAAAAAAAAAAAAACUAAAAUAAAUGCUGCUGCUAAAACCCUUUCCCCACCACCCCACUUUCCUCUUUCUUCCUGCUGUUCUCUUUCUCUUUCUAUAUCCGUUUCUUACAAUUUCUCUACUUCUCACAGUUUCUCAUAAAAAAUUGAGUUUUUCUCUUUAUGAAUCUUCAUUUUCACAGUACGUAGCAAACUAAUUUUUAAGUUUGGGUAACAUGAAGAGGAAACCCUAGUUCUUGGGGGGAAAACCCUAAUUUUCUUCAACCCACUUCUUGUUUUUUCUCAAAGACUCAAUUUUUUUCUUGUGGGGUUGUUAGAAAUAUGGAAAAUACGGUACCUAGGACUGUAGAAGAAGUAUUCAACGAUUUCAAAGGUCGUAGAGCUGGUUUAAUCAAAGCACUAACUACAGGUUUGUAGUGUUGUUUCCUUUUUUUUUCUUAGAAUUUUCAUGCACUUUUAUGGGGUUUUGAGCAUAAUUUCUUUCUGGGUGUUUCUGAAUUUUGUUGGUUUUGCUAAUUAUGAUGUUCUUGAUUUUUUUUAAAAAAUUAUGCAGAUGUCGAGAAGUUUUAUCAAUCGUGUGAUCCUGGUGAGUUUUCUGCUGCUCAGUUUUGAUGGAUUGUUGUGGUCCAUCAAUAUUUUCACAUUUGGUUCUUCUGUGCUAUGAGCUUGAGGUGUAUUUCUAAAUGCAGUAUAUUUCCUAUAGGCUAUAGCUUUAAGUUUUCCGGGACUGUUUCUUUAUGAGAAAAUGAUCAAAAUGGUCCUUAAUGUAUGGUCUUUGAUUCCAUUUGGUCCUUAAUGUAUGGAGUUGAUGGAAAUGGUCCUUUAUGUAUCAUAAAUUGUGAUCAAUUUAGUCCUUAACCCUAAAAUUUUAAUGGCAGCAAUUAUUUAAAAAAAAUUUAAACUAAAAUCGCUACACGCGGAGCGAUUUCCCAUUAUUUUUUAAGCAGUCCUCGCCUCGAGAAUUUUUAAUAAAAAAAAUUGAACUUUUUUAAGAAAAUGGCUGCUAUAGCAGCUAUUUCUAUUUUUUAAAUGCUGCUGGGGCAACGUUGUUAAAAAAAUAAAAAUCACAACAGCGAUUUUAAAGAAAAAAGAAAUUUUUUUUUGGACCGGCAGCGAUUUUUAUGUUUUUUAAAGGAGUAACAGCGUCAAUUUUGUCAGAAGAAAAUCACUCCGUCAGAAGCGAUUUUGCCCUUUUGGUUAAGAAAAAAUUGAUGUGUCAUUUUGGAAUUUUUGGAAACAGGGGAAGGAAAGUCUUGAACGAGUGCAUCUUUUACAUAUUCCGUGUAUUUUGACGGCAAAAUAAAAUAAAAUAUUAAUUUUAGGGUUAAGGACCAAAUUAAUCACAAUUUAUGAUACAUAAAGGACCGUUUUCAUCAAGUCCAUACAUUAAGGACCAAAUGGAAUCAAAGCCAUACAUUAAGUACCAUUUUGAUCAUUUUCUCGUUUCUUUAUACUCCUGUUUUUUCUUUAAAUUUCUGUUGUUUUAUGUUCCUACUGUAUUUUGGAAUUUCAUUGUCAAUUUGGUUGAGUGAUUAAGCGACUUGAUUAGGACUUUGUGACUCUUAUAUUCCUAUAAGAGUCAAGCUCAUAUAUUUUCCUAUAAGGCUAUAGCUUUUAAUUUCUGGGACUGUUUCUUUAUAUUCCUGUUUUUUCUUUAAAUUUCUGCUGUUUAAUGUUCCUAAUGUAUUUUGGGAUUUCAUUGUCAAUUUGGUAGAGUGAUUUAGCAACUUGAAUAGGACUUGUGACUUAAUAUUUCAGAAUCUUAUAAUUUGCUUCUUGUCCCGUCUUUGUGUCAGUUUUGGAACUUCAAUGUUGUUUGUCCCAAGGAGUGGCCUAGAACUCAUGGUUAGAGCUUUCUGACUGCCUAUAUAAUUUUGUCAUUUGAUGUUCUUCUUUGGCUGCCAUGCAGGAAUGGAAAGAUCAUAUCUUUAUUAAGUAGUUAAUUGUCGCCUUCAAUUUUGAAAGAGUAAUUUUUCUGCAUUUUCAACAGAAUUAUCAUGAUCUCAAACUGCAUUCCAGAAUAUGAGUUGUAAAAUGAGAUCAUUACUUAGAAUUUUGUGUCAUUUAGUGAGAAUGUCAAUGUCAGAACUGUUCUCGUUGUAGUCUUGAUGACUUUUUGUCAAUUCUCAAGGAAGAAGAGGUUAGAACUUCUUUUAUGUAGCAAUGAUCAUCAUUUCUCUAUCACAGUGGCAGAGUGUCUCCAACCAUUGUUUAUCUUGCUUACAGCAACAACAACAACAACAUACCCAAUAUAAUCCCACAAGUGGGGUCUUGAUCAUUUAUCUUGUUUAUGAUGGGUAAAAGUGCAUAUGAUUGGAGUGUUGAAACCACUUUGAUGUCUUUAUGACAUUUUUUAUGUUGAUGCAUUUGGUGUAUAUACAUACUUAAGGUGUCUGGAGGCAGCUUAGUUAAAGUGGGUUGAAGUAUGUGUUUUCUUUCCUUUUUUUUCUCUUUCUUGGUAAGUUUUUUUCUCUCUUCUCUUUUUCAUUAUUCUUUGGGGUUUUGGUGGGUGGGGUGGGGAUGGGGGGUAGGAGGUGAGAGUACUGUAUUUCUGGUCUGUGAAAAAACAAUUUGGAAAUCCUUAUUUUGCAUUUGGCAAUUUUAGAGGUGCUUUUCUUGUGCCAGUAUUCAUUAAUUGUUUUUGAAGUAUUUGAUAUAGUAGGGAAACAUACCGUGGCUUUAUCCCAAGCAUUUGAUGCAUUUCUUUUAUGCAGUGUCUAACUGUUUAUACUUAUUCGACAGUCUCUGUUAAAAACUCUAUUUUGAAGAACUGGUUUAAAUUCUUUAUUUCGUUGCUGUUAUUUAUUUUGAUCCCAUUUGCUUAAAUGUUCAUUGUGACCUUUGUGACAAUGAUAUCGAUAGACUACUCCCUCUAUAUUUCAAACAGUUGUAUCGGCCUUUAUGACAGUUUAUAUCUCUCUUUAAUGUUUUUAGUCCGAUAGAUUACACAGUUAUUUAAGGUUUCGUAGAUAGUUUAUUAAAGCCUGGAAGUUGUAAGGAUAAUUGAGUUUUCUCUUGUGUUGCAUCAUUCUUAUCCCCUUCAUUUCACAGCUUGCCCUCUCUUUUUCCUUGUAUAGAGGCUUGUUGGGUGUGUUCCUUCAUUGGAUGUUCAAUUCUUGUUUUCUAUAUAGAUCACUUAUGCAGAUCAAUUAUGAAGUGUUUAUGACAAUUUCUGGAUUUAACUAUGUUUACUUUCAGAAAAGGAGAACUUGUGUCUCUAUGGGCUUCCUAAUGAAACAUGGGAAGUAAACCUCCCUGUAGAGGAGGUGCCUCCAGAACUUCCGGAGCCAGCAUUGGGCAUAAACUUCGCACGUGAUGGAAUGCAAGAGAAAGACUGGUUAUCACUUGUUGCUGUUCACAGUGAUUCAUGGCUGCUUUCUGUUGCAUUCUACUUUGGCGCACGGUUUGGGUUCGGCAAGAGUGAAAGGUAAAAUAAAAUCUGUUACCAAUAGAUUUCACCUUUAUCGUUUUAACUGUCUUGCAAACUUGGUCCUACCCAUUAUAUUUUAUUUGAAUGUGUAUGUUUUUCCUGUUUGAUGGAAGACAUUGGAGGCCUUGGGCUACCUUUUGGCAAAUUUAAAUUAGUGUUGUGCCAUGUGCUUCCCUGCUAUUAAAUUCUUUGCGGAUUUCCCGCCCUCCCUUCUAUACUCUGUCUUUGCAUUGUAUAUUAGGUAGAUUUUGCUUGAUUUCUUUUUAUCUAUUCAGGGGUGGAUCUUGUGGCAUAAGUUGAGCUACUUCUUUGCCAUAGUUGUUCCCCUCAAGCUGCUUAAAACUCACAUUUUUCCCGUUGGAGCUUACUUUUCAUUUUUUGUUGAACUCCAUGCUUACUAACUGUUGGCUGAUGGAGGAUUUCCAAGAAGAUAUUCUUGUCAUCAAAGAUGUGAUCCUCUAAGAUGAGAAGAUAUUCUUCAUAUCAAGAUAUGAUCCUCUAAGAUCUUAGUAUAAUUGUGGUAAUCUAGAAUAUCAUAUCUCUGAUUCUUUCUCUUAAUGUAAAGAUUUAGGUGAUUCUAUUCCACAAUCUUUUAUGUAUAUAUAAAGCCAUGUACAUGACAUAGAAAAAUAUGAAUGAAAUUAUUCAAUAAUCUUAUUCCACAAUUGGAUAUGGAGACGACGGAGAUGCAAGGUGUUACCUAAUUAUGCAGUACUAUUCUGGUGGUAGUCUUAGGGAUAUACUUAAUGGUAUGUUGUCUAUUCUUAUUUUCUUUUUUUUUCUUCUAAAAACACAAAGGUUCCACAUGCUUAAUGUAGUUUUAUCUCUCUUUCUACAAAUGUGUGGAUAUGUUAUAAUUUUCUUGAUGCAGACCUGACAUAUGAUUGUGCAUUAAACACUCUAAUUGAUGUGUUUGACGGGCUGCAUCUAAUACAUACCCAUUUUGAACACGGUCGGAUAGUUCAUGCUAAUUUGAACCCGAAAAAUAUAGUGCUUGAUGAGGUAAGCACCAUUCUCAAUGAUCUAGAUCAAAAAAAUCAUCCCCGUAUACCAAAAAACUAAACUUGUAUAUUAAACAUACACCUUCAGGAGUGGAGAGCAGCACUUUGUGAUUUCAGCCUCACUCAUGAGGUUUCUAAAGACGAGGCAAUUUGCCAUAGCAACUACGUUGAAAGAGAAGCAAAAGGUAAGAAUUUUAUGUUUUAAUGAAAAACGACCUGUUCAAAUUUAGCAUGUUAAAAAGUGAUUUUCACUUUAAUCAAUUUAAGAUUCUACUAAGAUAUGAGAUAUGGCUGUCAGUGAACAUGACCAUAUGGUUGGGGAGAGAAAGAGGUUAUGGGUAUGAUUCUUGGAAAAAGGAUUUAUUUCAAAACAAAUAUUAGUCAACAGUUCUUACUAUGAGCAUUGAAUUAGUUGCCUUGCCUUGAUCUUCAUGCAUCUUGGAGUAACCAAAAUCUUUUUCGUUUUUUGUUUUCUUGGCAGGUAGGACAGAGGCAACCCAUGACAAACAAGCAGCAGAGAUAUAUGCAUUGGGAAUAAUCAUGAUUGAAGUUUUAACCAAGGAACCAAUUGGUGCACAGGAACUUGAAAAAACAGUUAGAAGGAAAAUGCAACACAAGGAGUCCAUCCGAGCGAUGAUGGUAGAGCCAAUGAAUUGCUUGACUUGACUCUCUGGUGCAUUAGUAGUGGAAGGAUAGAUCGGCCUCGAGCUUAUGAAGUCUCACACAACCUAAGACGAAUCCGAGACUCAAGUGUGUACAUGAGAAUGGCUAAAGCUGGCGAUUUACAAUCUGCUGAUCCACUAAGCCUUUUCAUGUACUGUUAUUUGAAAUAUUCUAGGACAUCUUUCCACACCAAAUACACUUCGGGAGGUAAUCACUUCACUUGUAUCCUAUUUUGCUUAGACUCUUCAAAAUGUUGUUGCACCCGUGUUGGGUCCUCCAAAAGUGCACUAUUUUAAAGGAUCCAACAUGCAGCCCACAAUUUGUAAAAGAGUCUCAACAACAUAGCUUCUUAUAUAUUUGGGUUUUUCUUGUCUUAGCAUUAUAAGAGUAACAUUUUCUGAGAUGUGGUAUAUUUCACACAUUAUAUAGUUGUUGAUAUGUAUACUCGAGCUACGUUUUGGAACUUGAUGAUUUACUUUAUUUACUUAAAAGGUUUUUAAGAGUACUGUACUAACAAGAAAUUUCUCAUUAGUGUAUCAAUGAGUUUGAGUUCUCCUUAAAUGAAAAGUUCUUCAUAUGUCGGAGCUUCUACAGUUUAGCUAUUUUCGAAUUCAACAUAUAUGGUUUCUCGUAACUAAUGAUUCAGCAGAAGCCUUACAAUAGUGCCAGAUUCUUUUGACUUUUGACUUUUAAUUUUUUGUUUUAAAAUGAGUGUUGACAUGGCUUGUUGAAUUUUUGUAAUGUUAGAAUAAUACUUUUUCUUGUUUUGAGGCGGAGAUUGUAGCUUGUUAAGUUCUCAUUCUCCAUGACAUUUGCCCAUUUUAGCACACCAAAUAUCAGAAGCUGAUAUAUUCUUUUGACUUUUUUUCCGAAGUGAUUCUCUCUUCGCCAUACAAACCCUGUGUCACUUUCAAGUAAAUAAUUCUUUGUUGUCAAAAUUGUCUAGUUCCAUGCUUGGAAAUUCUGCGAAAGUUUCGCCUAAUGGAUCAACAUCGUUUAGUUGAACAACUGAAGGAUUUGGUAGCCCGUGAUAUUGACCAAACAGCUCGUCAACACAGCAAAUUUGAAUCAUUUAAAAAGGAUGUGAUGCAUCUCUUGGAGGAACUCGAACUCAGUAUGUUAUAUUAUCUGUAUAAGAGAUGUCCAUCAUUUGAUUGGGCAAGUGAAAGAUUUGAAAAUCUGAAGGAGGGUCUUAAUCUAAUUGAUAUAACAGAGGAAAAGGUAUGGAAAAGUUUUAUUUCUUUAUGGUUUCAGAAAUUGCUAUACUCUUCUUGUCAUGUUUGUCACUUACUUCCGUACUUGUCUUCUUGUGACCCCAAAAAAAANNNNNNNNNNNNNNNNNNNNNNNNNNNNNNNNNNNNNNNNNNNNNNNNNNNNNNNNNUUACAUGGAGACUUAGAUGAGGAGAUCUAUAUGGAGGUGCCACCUGCUUUUGAAAGCAAGAAGGGAAUGGUGUGUAGACUGAAGAAGGCACUCUAUGGAUUAAAGCAAUCACCUCGUGCAUGGUUUGGAAGAUUUACAAAGGUUAUGAUCAAGCUAGGGUACCGACAAAGUCAAGGAGACCACACCUUGUUCAUACGACACUCAAAAACAGGAAAAGUGACAGCAUUGUUGGUUUAUGUGGAUGACAUCAUAGUAACAGGUGAUGAUUCAGAGGAGAUACAAAAUUUGAAGAAGUGUUUACUCAAGGAAUUUGACAUCAAAGAGCUUGGGAAAUUAAAGUAUUUUUUGGGAAUCGAAGUGGCACACUCAAAACAAGGAAUCUUUAUUUCCCAACAAAAAUAUGUGCUUGAUUUGUUGAAAGAAACAGGAAAAUUAGGGUGUAAACCAGUGGCUACACCAAUUGAAUACAAUCAUAGAUUGUGCAAUGCUCCAGAAGAUUCAGUGGUAGAUAAAGGCUUGUAUCAAAGGCUUGUAGGGAAAUUGAUUUACUUGUCCCAUACAAGGCCGGACAUUGCAUUUGCUGUAAGUGUUGUUAGCCAAUUUAUGCAUGAUCCUAGAGAAAUGCAUCUUCAAGCUGUCAACCGGAUUCUACAAUAUCUUAAAGGAAGUCCAGGAAAAGGAAUAUUAUUCAAAAGAGGAGGAAACAUGGUUUUAGAGGCUUAUACAGAUGCGGACUAUGCUGGUUCAUUAGUGGAUCGAAGGUCAAGUUCUGGAUAUUGCACCUUCUUAGGAGGAAAUCUGGUGACUUGGAGGAGUAAAAAACAAAAUGUAGUAGCUAGAUCAAGUGCAGAAUCUGAGUUUAGAUCCAUGGCGAUGGGAGUUUGUGAGUUGUUAUGGCUAAAGAUAAUCCUUGAUGAUUUGAAGAUAAGAUGGGAAGGACCUAUGAGGCUAUAUUGUGACAAUAAAUCAGCAAUAGUAUAGCUCAUAAUCCUGUACAAUAUGAUCGCACUAAGCAUAUUGAGGUAGACAGACAUUUCAUUAAGGAGAAAUUAGAUAACGGACUCAUUUGUACGCCAUUUGUAUCUACAAAAGAUCAGGUUGCUGAUGUUUUAACAAAAGGACUGCCAAACAAUAUGUUUCAAGAUCUAAUAAGCAAGCUAGGAAUGGAAGAUAUCCAUUCACCCGCUUGAGGGGGAGUGUUGGCUGAUGGAGGAUUUCCAAGAAGAUAUUCUUGUCAUCAAAAGAUGUGAUCCUCUAAGAUGAGAAGAUAUUCUUCAUAUCAAGAUAUGAUCCUCUAAGAUCUUAGUAUAAUUGUGGUAAUCUAGAAUAUCAUAUCUCUGAUUCUUUCUCUUAAUGCAAAGAUUUAGGUGAUUCUAUUCCACAAUCUUUUAUGUAUAUAUAAAGCCAUGUACAUGACAUAGAAAAAAUAUGAAUGAAAUUAUUCAAUAAUCUUAUUCCACACUAACUUGGAACUCUAGAAUAGAGAAUUGCUAGCAGUUAGAUUAUUUAGGCAAUAUAUAGAAGUCCACCUUCAACCAAAGUUCAUUUAGUGCGUUCACCUUCAACCUAAGUUCAUUUGGUCAGUGUUUCAUAUUCUUUGCGUCAUGAUAGAUGUGUUAUUUCUUUGUCUUGGUGAGUAUACUGAUGACUUGUUGCAAUGAUAUUCUUGGUGUGAUGAGAUUCCAGACAUCUCCAAUUUUUAGAAAAUAGAUGUGUUAUUGACUUAUUUCUUUGUCUUGGUGAGUAUACUGAUGACUUGUUGCAAUGAUAUUCUUGGUGUGAUGAGAUUCCAGACAUCUCCCAUUUUUAGUUUUCUACUAUAAUUUUUUUUUACUAUUAUUACCUUUUAAAUAAGGAUUAUAGAUUUGCAAUGCUCUUUGUCCUUUCACCAUUCUAGGAAGGUCAUUUGGUGCUUGUUGUUACAAAGGCAAAUCCAUUCACUUAGUGGCAUUCGUUGUGGCAUCAUUGAAUAAGAUAAUGUUUGGUUCAGCAAAGCUAAGGAUGCCUGACAUGUCGAGAUGUUUACCAUCAGCUGGUGUUUCUGAAUGUAUUAUCUUUGAAUAAAAUAGUGCUCAGCUGAGUGAACAGCAGAAGGUCUGACAUCUUGAGAGAGGUUUACUGUCAGCUGUUAUUAUUGGCUGUAGCCUGUAGCAUCUUUGAAUAUUAGUGCUAAGUGAGUAAGCGAAGGAUGUCUAGCAUGUCGGUACAUUCAGGACGGCACAAAUGCUGUAUAAUGAUGGGAGAAACUUCCAUGUAGCAGGUUUUGGUCCCUCUUUUCUACCCUGGAGUCCACUUUUUGUGUCUGCUGCCAUUGUAAGUUAGAGAAUAUUGAUGGAUGUGAAAAUAUGACUGAAAUCAUUAUAAGCUGGAGUUUAUACUGGGAAACUGGUCACAUGGGAUUCCAUAAUCAUGCGUACAUGUCCAGAAAUGUCAACUUAAAUUUGACUUAUAUCUGUCAAGUAUCUGGAUAGUUUGCCUAGCUAGAGUCCAAUCUCAUUAAUGUGCCUAUGUUGCUCGGAGUGCAUGUCGGAUCCUCCAAAAUUAGUGCAUUUUUUGGAGGAUCUGACACAAGUACGGCAUCAAUAUUGGAGAGUCCGAGCAACAUAGGUGGCUUCCAUUGGUUAAAUGGUUAUCUGAUAUUAAUUUAGGGAGGAUAAUUGUUUUACUUUGGAAAUCAUGUAUACAGGAAGAGGCUUUUCCAAAUGACAAAUGAUCUCCCAACAGUGUUUGAGGUUGUUACUGGAGCUGCUAAGCAGGCACGCGAUGCCGCUCACAACAAUAGCAGCAAAAGCAAAUCAAGUGGAAAGGUUCUCAUAUACUGGACCUAACAUAUAUAGUUACUGUUUCUUUUCCCAUUUUGUUUGAGCAUAUGUUUUCAGCUAUUAUCUUUGAUUUUCAGCCUCGACAGCCAGAGCCCCAGCCCAAGGAAGUAAAGGUGUCUCCACCUAAAAUGGAGGAUGAAAGUGGGGAGGAGGAGGAGGAAGAAGAAGAAGAAGAACAAGGGGCAACUCUCUGUGGAGCUUGUGGUGAUAAUUAUGCCACGGAUGAAUUCUGGAUUUGCUGUGAUAUUUGUGAGAGAUGGUUCCAUGGCAAAUGUGUGAAGAUUACCCCAGCAAAAGCUGAGCAUAUCAAGCAGUACAAGUGUCCUAGUUGCAGUAGCAAGAGAGCUAGAGUUUAAAAUUUGUGGCAAUUUUAGAGCAACAUCAAUUAAGUGGAGGUGUUGGAAGGUCUAGGACUUUUAGCUCAGUUAUCAGAUGUAAUCUAUGUCAAAGUUAAAUGUUUGCUGAUGGAAUUGGGAUGUCCAUUUCAUGAACAUUUGCUUUCUGUUAUCUUACUUUCGGAUUGUGUUUUAGAUGAAAUUUGUGCCUGUCAUCAUCUUGUGUUUGUGAAUCUAUUUUCAUCUUCCUUUACUUUAAUGGGUUAUCUAUAUACUACUACACUGCGGUAGUACGAGGAAUUCAGAAACUUUUUGUGAUCCUUAGUCUUGAAUACAGGAAAUUAUCACCCCUUAACUUUUUGCAUUCAUAAUUUUUCUGGAUCAAGUACACAUUCAUAAUACUAAAAUCAAAUCAACCAAUAGCCUUUCGUGAACCAUUUCUCAAUGUUCAAGUGUAUUUCUAUCCACACAACAUGAAUAUUGCUGCUGGAACAAAACCACCCAGCUGAACAUAGCUGUCAUCAGCAAUCUCCGAGCAUACUGACAAAGAUUCAGCAAAUUGCCAUAGCCUAACAUGAGACUAUUUUUCUGCAACCUAGUCAAUAUUGCUGAUCUGAGAACAAACCAUCUUGUAUCAGUGUGGUUGGUGCAGUAAGGCAUGCCUUACCAAUAGUCUUUACAAGAACAGUGCCCUUCACUGAAGGAGUGAAAUCGAUUAUUAUCCCUAACAAUGAUCUCCCUCCCCUCCAUCUUUGAAAUGAUUUUGAUUGCUGUGUGGCAAUCCCUACAUAUCCUGAGAUUCUUCACCACCCUUAUGACCGAGUGUGGUUCAGUAACAAGAAGAGCAAAAGCCACAGCCAACUUCUCGCUAUGGGUCCCUACCAUCUCUUCCAUCUCUUCUUCUUCAACAUCUUUUAAAACACAGCUCGUAUCAGCCAUAUAUCCAGCUAGCCUCAUCUUCUUUUCUGUUUCAGAGAGCACUCUAUGAAUAUCUGCAGAUCGCUCAUGUGACCUGUCACCCACUAUAAACUUGUGCAUCUCUCCCUCGUGUUCAAUCCAACUCCAUCCAGUUGUCUUCUUUACUCCUCCUAUUGUCAUCAACCCUCUCACCCUGUCUACAUCUUCCCAUCUUCUUGCUGAGGCGUAUAUGUUUGAAAGCAAAACGUAAUUACCUGAAUUUUCUGGUUCUAUUUCAAAGAGCUUACUAGCUGCAAACUCUCCAAGGUCUAUCCUUUUGUGAACUCGACUAGCAUGUAAAAGGGAACCAUAUACUCCUGCAUGUGGAUGCAUUGCCAUACUUCCAAUCAAACAUUUUGCUUCGUCUAGUUUACCAUUUCUACCUAACAAAUCAACCAUGCACGCAUAGUGAUCAGAGUCUGGAUCUUUGAUUGAAUCAAAUAUCCUUUGACCUUCUUCUAGCAGUCCACCAUGACUACAUGCAGUUAGUACCCCAACAUAGGUUAUUCGAUCUGGUUCAAUAUUUUCUUUCUUCAUCUUCCACAAUAAUUCAACAGCUUCAACGGCAUUGCCAUAAGCUGCAAAACCUGUAAUCAAUGUGUUAUAAGAAAUCACAUCUCUGGAGUCCAUCGAUUGGAAAACUUUCUCAGCGUCCUUCAUAUUACCACACUUGGAAUACAUGAAAAUCAGAGCAUUAUCACCUGAAAUGCUCAGUUUGAUUUGAUGCUUUUCCAGGAAAUUCACUGCCCAAUUACCAAAUUCCAAAGCCCCAAGGUGGCCACAGGCUGAGAUCACACUGACCAUGGUGACUUCGUCUGGCAGCACAUCUUUUGCUAUCAUAUCUUUGAAAAGGUCAAUAGCCACUUUUGACUGUCCAUUUUGAGCAUAACCAGCUAUAAUUGAAUUCCAAGAGAUGACGUUCUUCUCAGGCACCGUAUCAAAGAGCCUUCUUGCAGAAGCCAAAUCACCAACUCUUGCAUAUGCUGAAAUCAUUGCAUUCCAUGUAACUAAGUUCUUGUACGUACCUAAUUCAUCAAAGAUCUUUCUAGACAUAGCAAGGUUCCCACACUUGGCAUACAUGUCAAGUAGAGCAGUCUUUGCAAAACAAUUAAAGCGAACACCCUUGUCAUUUAUCAUCUUAACAAGCCCCUCUGCAAGGCUAGCAUCACCAUGCGAAGAACACAAAGAAAUGACAGUAACCCAUGUAGUUUCAUCAGGGCAAACCCCACAACUCAUCAUCUCAUUAAACAACCUUAUAACCUCUUCAGAACACCCAUUUUGAGCAUACCCCGACAGCAUUGCAUUCCAAGACACAACACUCCUCUCCGGCAUUUGAUCAAAAUACUUCCUAGCAUUCUCCAAAUCUUUCCUUCUUGAAUACCCAGUAACCAUAGCAGUCCAAGUAACCACAUUCUUCUCAGGCAUCAAAUCAAACAAACUCCUCGCUUCAACUUCAUUCCCCCAAUUCCAACACCCUGAAAUCAUAGCAUUCCAAUCUGCAACAGCUCUCUCAGGAAUUUCAUCAAACAGUUCCCGCGCAAUCUCCAAAGGCCCAAACUUUCCAUACAUAUCCAUAAUCGCAUUGCGAACGAACCUAUCCCAAUCAUGGCCCAUUUUGAUACAAUGCGCAUGGAAGACAACGCCCCAUUUUCCAGAUGCUUUAAUAAGAAUCGGGUAUACAAAGGCAUCAGGGGCUACAUUGCAUUUCUGCAUUUUGUCAAACAGGUAGAGAACAUCACUGUGGGCACCCAAUUGAGAGUAGAACUUGAGGAUAUUAGUGAAAAUAAAGACAUUGGGUUGGUGGACUGAAUCGAAAACUCGGCUAACAUAAGUGGGCGGAGCGUGGAGGCGCGUGCAGAGUUUGAUGAGCUGCGCCACCCAGUAGUUGUCAGAACAGAGAGAGCGUUGAAAGAGCUGCGCAUGAAGCUGUUUCAAGUGGUUUAAUUUGGUGGCUUUCAAUGCAGCUGUGUGCAAGUGUGACAUUAGAAUUUCAGUGUGCCAACAUUGGCCCUUUUUGUUAACCAACUUAACUAGUUUUUUUUUUUUGUUUCAAUUCAACUUAUAUACCAAGACUAUGUGGUAAAAAAUUGAUAUUCUAUAUUAAUAUACUAGGGAUAAUAUAUAGGGAAAAUUGUAUAUAAUAGCAAACUAUUAAUUUAAAUUAAAUGCUAUAAAUAUAGUUUGAUUUAAUUGUAGCUCAUAGCAAAUUGUUAUUAUUUCACCUCUCUCCUAGUGAAUCUCGCUCGCCACUCUCGUUCUCUCCCUCACCUCUCUCGUUUUUUAUACAAACGCAAGUGUAUAAAGUGCGUUUGUGUUUGUAUAAAGCGAGAGAAUUGUAUAUACAUAUAUUUCCGUUCCCCUCUCUCCCCUCUCCCAGAUCUCGCUCUCUCACUCGCCUCUCUCACUUUAUACAAAAAACGCAAAUUGUAUAAAAUGUGUUUGUGUUUGUAUAAAACGAGAGAAAAUUGUAUAUAUACAUAUAUUUUCGUUCCCCUCUCCCAGAUCUCGCAGAUCUCGCUCGCCACUCUCCNNNNNNNNNNNNNNNNNNNNNNNNNNNNNNNNNNNNNNNNNNNNNNNNNNNNNNNNNNNNNNNNNNNNNNNNNNNNNNNNNNNNNNNNNNNNNNNNNNNNNNNNNNNNNNNNNNNNNNNNNNNNNNNNNNNNNNNNNNNNNNNNNNNNNCUCACUCGCCUCUCUCACUUUAUACAAUUGAUAUUUUUGUAUAUGUAUACCAAAACAGAUUAUACAAUUGUUUUUUUUGUAUAUGUAUAACGAAUUAUACAUAUAUAUGUUUGCUAUGGAGCGUAAUUAUGCAAACUUUGCUAUAGCAUACAAAUAUGAAUUUUGUAUUUGCUCUAUGUGAAAGUUGCUCUAAUAUAUAACCGCCGUUUGAAUUUAUCAGGAUAUUUUAUUUAUACAUGUGAACUAUGCCAUAUUCCAUCUGAACAUCUCAAUUCUUAAUAAGAUGUUUUGAAUUAGAAACUCUCGAUUCAAAUUCUGAAAAGAUUUUUUCGUGUGUUUUCAUUUAGGUAUUAGGUAGUUAAGUCAAUCACAUAAAAUAUUUCAUUUUUUUUAAUUAUAUACAUUCACCUUAAUAAAUCGUAAAACUAUAUUUUCUACUUAAGGUUGAUUUGUAUAAUUUAAGGAGAUGAUAAAUUUUGUGUUUUUUUUCUUCAAAAUUUAAAUCGAAAGUGUCUAGCUGAAACACUUGAUUUAAUUGAGUGUCUAAAUAGAAUAUCUUGAAAUGUCGAAAGUUUAUAUAGGUAUAAAAUGCUUCAAGUAUAAAUUUAUUCGCAAUAUAACAUUUGUUUUGAGAGAACAACAACACGAUGGUCACUACAAUCCCAUAAAAUGUAGUUUGGAAAUGAUAGACGGUAUGCAAACUUUAUAGAGGUAGAGAGACUUUCCGAUAGACUCAAUACUCAAGUGGUUUUAAGAGAAAAAGAUACAAAAAGAGAAAAGGAAGAGAAACAAGAAGAUUCUAAUCCCACUCAAGCCCAAGUGUAACGCAAAACCAAACAAACCCCAAAACUCUUGGGUUGAACCCAUUUGUAAAACCUAAUUCCCAAAAUUCCAUUUCAGCAGCCCAUUUUUCCCCCAAAAAACCCUUAAUUCUUUUCAAACUGCGAAAUCCGUUACCUUCUAAACCCCCAUUAAUCCCUUCGCCGGCGAUUUUGCCGGAAAACCCAACACCAUCUUUCUGAUUAGGUGACCCAUGGCGGAAGAGAGACGCAUGGUAACAGUGGGAGGGAAAGGCUCAUCACUGUCAUCUUCCUCUGUAUUUGAUAUUGCCAGUGGACUCAGUCGUCUGAGCAUAGACUCUUCAGCACUCUCCAAAGUAUCGUCUUCCUCUAAUUCUAAAACCAGCAAGACUAAUGCGCCUACGGUGUCUGCAUCAUUUUCAAUUCUCAGUAAUUUAACACCCGAUGAGGCUAGAGCUUCUCUCGUGGUCCUCCUAAACAAGCUUUUGCUUUCUUCUUCCACUUCUGCAGCUGUUAAUCAGCUCUCUGAUAUCAUCCUUAAGGAUGUGUCGUCGUCCUCUAAUUUACAAAUUUCAUUUGAUAACACUAUUGAUGGCGUUUCUCCAGGUGAUUUUUCUGUGGCAGCAAUAGCUGGAAUCUCCGCUAUCUUGGAUCAUCAAAGUUCAGCUUUGUCUGUUAUUACUGAUGCUAUUGCUGCCUUGUCCUGCGAGGCCUUGGGGGCUGACAUUUCAGCUUUCAAUUUGAAUGAUUCCGGUGAUGGUUCAUCUGCCAAGGACGUUGUUUCUGUGGCUUCUGACUUGAAGAUCUUGCUUAACGGUUCUAAAUUUGUUAACCGUGAGGGUGAUGAACCUGCAGUUUCUGGUGUUCCCGUGGUGCACGGCAAGUUUAGGGAGAUUUCCCGGCUUCUGCACUCCAGCACCCGUGUCCAAUUGAACUCUGCAAUUGUAUCCAAUUCUGGAUCUUCUGGUACAGCCAGCUCCAUGUGCACCACGUUGUUUUCUUUGGCUGUGGCCCUCAAGGAUUUGGGUAACAUCAGUUAUAACCGAGCAAAGCACAUUGUCGAUUCUCGCAUUGCUGGAGAUGAUGAAUUUCCUGCAAUGCUGAUAAAAGAAUGUCCUCGCCCUGAUCAGCUAAAAGCUCUUUUCGCAUCUUUGGUGUCAGCUCACUCGGAUGAGGAAUAUGUUAAGUUCUCACAUGAUGUCAGCUCUUUACUGGUGAUGGUAGAACAAAUAAUUUCUUGGGAAGCCCUGGCUGCUUUCCUUUCCUUGGAAGGAAGGGACUUCAUUACUUCAGGUGAUACGAGUGUAGGCGAGGACAGUGCAAAGACAGCAGGUAAAAAAGGAGCAAAGAAGAAGAAGAUUCUGGGUAAAGGUACCACCGCUCUGGUGCAGUUUUUGAAGGAUAGGCUGCUGAGCAUGCCAAUUCAGACUGAAGUGUCCCAGACUGUCAUGGUUUUGGAGAAUUUGGUUCGCAAUUUCUUGUCACUACUGGACCCAAAAGACUUGGGAUUUGACACUUUACUGAAA